rnacentral:lncRNA from 1 species
CAGUCAGCUCUAUAACGAAACCUUGAAGCCAUUUUGUAUCAAUAUUUGCAGUAGGUUUCAAUCUAAUGACACUUCCUCGGCAGGACAACAACGACCAACACUACCAGUUUAGAAGGGGGCUUCUUCAAAUGUUUCACCUUACACAGUACUACAGUAGCAAGCAAUCAUCUCAUGUACACGCAGUAAUUUUGAAAAGUAACAGAGAAAACAUAUUAGUGUCCAGAUUUCUUUGCUUGAAAUAGUGCUAAUUACUGUCGUCAAAUUUCAUCUUAUUCUUUUUAUUCCCUCACAUGCAUUGUUUUAUUGAUAUUAUACAAGAAAAUGCGUUGUUCAAUAUUAUGCAAAUAUUUUUUUUUUCUCAAAUAAUUUAAAUUUCAAAGAUUGCAAUGAAAUUUAAUUUAAGGAUUGCCCUUGAGCACUGUCAGCUACGACUCCAGUUUCCUGCAACAAUGAAAAAUUCUGUAAUAGUAAAAAGUCUCUCUUUUUUCGCAAUAUUAAGUCAAUAAUUUGAAAGGCAGAUUUAACAACAGGUUGGCCUAAUUUCAAAAUUUAAUCCAUGUAAUAUAGAAAGAAGACUAGUUCAAUGUAUAUGAGUCCACCAAAAAGUUAUUAAAAAUUUAGGAUUAAACACUUGGAAAUGGCAAUUAGGUACUACCUCAAGAGAUUUUACUGCUUGAACCAACCAAGGGGGUAUGUUUGCAAUUGUUGUGACUAAGUAUAAAUAGAUGGUUGGUCAGUGGUAAGAACCAGCCUUCUAGCAUCUUUGGGCACAAAGAACUCAAGAAAAAAGCCCACAUGAGACACAAGACCCAAUGCUCAGCAUGCAGCAAGCUUAUCUAGAUUCAGGUGCUUUAUGGAUCAAAUUCACAUUACAUGAAAAGUUCACUAUUCAGAAUGGCACUCUGUAUGACAGCAAAGAGAUAAGUGGAAGAAAAAAAUCUGAAAAUCAACAUACCUUUUUCUUUGUGAUUAGGUAGUCGAACCCCACUAGCUCGCUUAUUUCAAGCAGCCAGGUCAGCUCAACACGGUCGUCUUGUAUCCUUCAAGAUGCACAACCCCUGUGAAAUUUCCAUCCUGGUUCCUACUAAUUUGCUCCACAAUUGCAUUCCCAAUCUAUUUAUGUGAAUCUUAUUUCCAGAGAUCAACUCGGCAUUGGCAAGGUCCAUCCAUAUUGUUUUUGCACAUGUUGUAGCUUUCACUCCUACACCUUUACGCGUCUUAUGCCUCAGUUUGAUGCGAACUCAUGGUUUGUCAAGGCCAUUGGUAAGAGUCAGUCAGUCAGCAAUAGUAAUAUCUGCCUUUCUUCAAUCACAGCAGCGAGUAUAGGGCACGCAGGAUUAAUAAUCUUCUUAUUAAUAUAGUAGUUCAAAGUUUGUCACGUUCCAAAUGGUUGAGACUGUUUGAAGCCGCCAGAAAAAGUAGAGAUACAAAAGUUAUUCUUCCACUUAAGUGAUAACAAAUACUAUAUGAACUAUGACAAAUUACUUCAGCUACAUUGUCUUAGCAGUUCAAGGAUAAACUGCAUCAGAGACUCAAUUUUCAGUCCCCUACGAAUAAUUCUUUGAAUGGCAAAAAAAAAAAAGAGGAUUAUCUAAUCCAUUCUGUACAAACCACAAAAGUUUGCUAAGAGGCAUGUUACAGCAUUUUCAACCGGCUAAACUCAAAAAUUUGAACCUUUAUAUUCCAUAUCCUCUUGAACCAAAUGGUAUCAAGCAUUACGAGCAUUGUACUCACUAGAUCUCAAACUAAAAGACGUGAGAAUUAGUCCAUAAGUUAGGUAUAUCUUGUAAUUUGACCUGAUUUGAUGGUGGGUCUGGGUUGCAACGACUGGACGGGAUCUCAGACGGACUUGCUGGAAUGUUGCAUGUCAACUUCCUGCUACGACAACACUCCUAACAAUUAACAUCCCAAUUUUGCUUAUGAAAAAACAGGGAGAUAUUAGAAUGAUAUCUCAAUACUUCAAGCCAUUCACAAACAUUUUCCAUGUAAUUGGUUGCAAUACCAGACGAGCUUAAGCCUGCCACCAAUAAUCUGCUUCACCUUAAAUCACGAAUAAGGCAAAAAUGCUAUCCUCCGCUCAUCAUUCGGCCUCAACAGAUCACAGGUGGAAGGUUAAGUGUGUGAGUAGUUAAAGGGGAAAUACCCUUUUUGAUAAAUGUGCCAAGAUGAAAGUCACUAUAGUCAAAAGGGUAUAAAUAUCCCAACACAAGUCUAUAUGGUCAUUUCCGAAACCACGCAAAGACGUCGGUGUCGUUUCCCCACAACAAUAAAUAGAAAUCACCAUACUUCCACAAUUAUCCAAAGAGCGCGAACCCUGACACAUCAUAAAAACUAUUAUAAAUCUAUUUACAGAAUAAACUUGACUGAACGGAGGCAUCGUGUGAUAUUUGCAUCCCCACAAUUUCUUAUCAGAUUCAAUUCAUAAAACAAAUAGGAACACGUAUAAAAUUUAAAUAAAAUUCUUUCAAAUUUUUUUUUUGUUUGGUGCGCGCGCGCCAAAAAUUGAAAUUUUGCAGAUUAAAUUACUACCAGAUGAUGAAGUACAAAACAAAAAUCAUCAUAUUCUGACAAUGACACAUAAUAGAAAACAAAACAAAAAAAAAAUCGAGACUUACGUUGUCAUUCAAAGCUUUGAUCCAAUUUGAGCAUCCUGAAACAGGGUUUUUCUUAAUCAUUCUUAGCGUUUUCUUCGUGAAGUUUGACUUUAUAUGCAAAGGAAAGUAGGUCACUAAUUAUUAAAUUAUCAAAAUACCCUUGACAUUUAAGUGUACAGGAGCUGACGCUUAAGGGUAUCGUAGUCAUUGUAUGGGUUUAGGCACCCAUUUGGGACGAAUAGAAAACUACCGUCCUUAUUUGAGAAAUAAUGCUAUUUGACACAGAAGUAUAAAUAAAUUCUCAACUUCCUCCCGUUUCCGUGAAAAUUUUGUUUUCAGUGCAGUGGAAUUGAAUUAAUCUGAAGGAAAAAAAAAAUUGUUGGUAUGUGGAAAUUAUACUUGAAACGUUGUCGUUUUUGGCAUAAUUGCUGUGAUAUACUUAUUUGCUUUGUGUUUUUAUUUCUUUUUUCUGGGUUUUAGGGUCACAAUCGGAGAGAGAAGACAAUGUCUCGUUGGAACUCUCUGAAGAAGUUCUUCAGAGCAUGGAAGUGGGCAUUUCUUUUAGAGAUUAUGUAAGAGAAUCUUCUAAUAAGUUUCUGUUUGAGGAACAUACUUGAUUUGCGUUUUAAAUGUAUCUGUUUGUUAAUUCAGUGUCGUUUUGUAUUGAUUCGUGUUUUAACAGAAUGGGAGAAUUAGUUCCUUGGAUUUUCAUAAAUCAUCGAGUUAUUUGGUGACGGCUAGUGAUGAUGAAUCUAUACGGCUGUACGAUGUCUCUGCUGCCACUUAAGUUGAUCCUCUGUUUCUUAGGAUUUUAUGUUGUCUCUUGGGAAGUGCUUUUAACUAAGAAAUGGCUUUUGAAUAAGUAUAAAAAGCUGGUUUCAAUCUUGCAAUGUUUGUUUGAAAUUGCAGGAAUAAUAAAGUGUCUCUUUUGAAAUCAAAGGAACCCUUGAAGUGUUUUUCUGGGGAAGUGCUUGAUAUCUGCUUUCAUGGAUAGAACUUUUUGGAUUAGGAAACCACUUGUAGUGCUGUUUGAAGAAGUGCUUCAUAUAUGUUUCAAAGUGAUUUUACUCGAGGGUACUUUCCAUUAAAGCAUUGCUGAACGUAUCAUCUGCGUGUUUGAUGAGCUCAUGAAAGCUACUGUCUUUCUAAGAUGGAGAAAAAUGCUUUUUAGAUGAAACAGAAAAAAAAAAAAAAAAAUAGAACCUUGGAGUGGUUUUCGGGGAAGUGCUUAAGGGAAAUGUAAUUGAUAUAUUUUUCAAGAACUUUUGUAAAAAGGCCUUUUCUUUUCUUUCUUUUUUUUUGUUUGCAUAAGCUCUUUCUAUAAGAUCACUGCCAAAUGCACUUCAGUUGUCUUAGCUGAGCAUGAUAGUUGGUAUUGCAAUUGUUGCUGAGAGCCUUAAUUGAAAUUUCAGAUGUUUGAAGACAAUUAACAGCAAAAAAUAUGGGAAUAUUUGUAUUUUGUUUGUUGGUGGAUUGCUUUACUAGGCACUUAUUUGAUACGUUCAUUUAUUCAGAAUCUCUACGGCUUCUUUCCUCGCACGAUAACAAGUACUUGCGUUACUUCAAAGGUCAUCAUAACAGGUUUGUAAUUCACUUAUUCUUGUAAAUAUUUCGUAAUUAUUAUUAUCUGUAUAUAUGUUUUACUGCUUCUAGGGUUGUUUCACUUAGCCUGUGCUCCUCCAAAGAUUGCUUUAUCUCUGGUUCUCUUGGUCAAUCUGUUCUGCUCUGGGAUCAACGGGCUGAGAAAUGCUAGGUGGAUAUCAUGCCAUCCACCAUUUUCAAUUGUAUUUAUGAUCUCUGUUGGCAAAUACGGGUCUUUUGCAUGUUCAAGGAAGGCCUGCUACAGCAUAUGAUGAUCAAGGGCCUGUCUUUGCAGUUGCCUUUGGAGGAUACAUAAGAAUGUUUGAUGCUCGUAAGUAGGAGAAAGUUAAAAUUAAUAUUUAAAAACAUCUUGGAAGUUUAUAUGUCGUACUUUUAUCAUGCACUAAUUUGGUUAAAUUUGGAUACAUCUUCUCUGAUGGUGGAGAUGUAUCAGAUUCUGAUGCUGGAAAGUUCAGCAAUGAUGGGAGACUUAUGCUUCCGACCUCUAUGGAAGGACAUAUUCAUGUGCUUGACUCAUUCCAAGGCACACUUGUGAGUUGACUUUUUCUUUCUUCAUCUCCCAAAUGUAACAUAUCGUACGUAUAUACCCCUCUAUACACUGGAAUCUCUGUGAAUGAGCUUCUGUUUACUCUUGUUUUUAUUUAUCCACUUAUGAUGCCAAGCCAGUUUCUCGCAAUUCCACAUUGGAGGCAUCUUUCAGCCCGGUAGAGUUUCUCCUUUCAGUUCUUAGGGCACAGUGACUUGGAUAUUUUGUUAAUAUUUGCUUUUGGCUGUUUUGAUAAUUUAUAUUAAAGUUCUUGCACUUGUGCUGUAUAUAAUUCUCAAAUUUGUUACCACCUUGUUGGUAUAUUGAAAUACACGACUUGAAAUGCUGGGCAUCAAGCUUGUUUCCGCAGAAUUCUUUGAAAUAAAUUCAUUUUCUCUUCUUCAUUGACUUGGUUUGAAACCCACUCCCAUCCAUGCAAAUCCAAAUGCGUACGUAUUUUCAUCUGGUUGUGCUUAUUAAUAAAAAUAAAUCAAUGAAAUGCUCAAACAGCAAGUGCACCCACACAUGUGGAAGCAGCCUAGUGUGGCCAAGCACCUCUCAUUUGUUUUAUGUGAUACAAUUGGUUUGUUGCACUCUUUGUGCUAAUUUUACUUUCUCGGUUUGGAAGGUUCUGAUGAUGGUAGUGGAUAUGCUUGGAGUGUACGGAGCGGGAAAGGGGUAUGAUAAGCAAAAUUCCUGGAUUCUCAUGCCUUUUGAAUGCUUAGAAUUCAAAGGGAUGUUAUUUCCCUUACAUUGACCCCAGUCAUAGCAUUCAUUGUCUUCUAGCCAAACCAACAAUGCUUUUGAAUCUACAUUUGAGCUUUGUAUAAGAAGUUGCACCAAUUAUGUAAGGAGAUGUUCAAUUUCCUAUAGUAGUAUGUAAAUGCAUCUGACUUACCUGCUAGUAACCUUUCCUAACAAGUUCUGAAGAAACAACAGUAGAUCUGGUAUCAGUACUUUAUUCAGAAGAGCAUUUCUUCUUACAUGCACAGCUAAGAGUACAUGAAUUGAGCUACUGAAGCCCUUCCUGACCAACCUGGCUAAGGCUCCGUUCAGUUUGUCCUCUUCAUGGUUCUUUGGCAGGCAACAGCGUAAGCAAUUACCUGGACUAUGAGGCCUUUUGUAGCGGGGUGGGCACUGCCUAGGCAGUUUUUGAAAAAAUUAGGAGCUUUAUUUGUCAUUGACAUUUGUAGCACGAUUAGUUGUUACCUGGAUUAAGUUGUAUAUAUUACAUCGUAUACCUAAUCUGACAAAUAACAGGUUGCAAUCCAAGUUUUGUUGAUCAUGAAGGGUUUGAGCAUGAUAGUCCAUUUAGGUCAUUAGGUCUCCCUCGAAUUGCCACGUACACACUUCAAUCCUCUCAACGAGCGUCCCCGCAACGUCACACUCCACAAUAAUCUCAAAUAAUUUAGAACAAUUAUUUACUUCUGGCUGCUCUUAUCUCCCUUCUCACCAACCGAGUCACUGGUUGGUUACAUUUUACUAACACCGCCGAAUGAGAGAUCAUAAUCCCUAUUACGUGUCCACCCUAACUGACCACAACAUUGUCAUUUUUGAUCUAGCGUUAGUAACGCGUUGUUAAAUUGUCAUAGCUUCGAAACCGCUUUAUUUUUGGACUCAAGGCACAAAAAGGAUAAUAAACAAUUUUAAAAGAAAUUAAAGAAAGAAGUAAAAAGUAAUAAAAACUGGUAUUACAGGUAUUCUACUAUUCUUCUUCUCAUGAGCCGACUUUUUUCCCCAAAAAAUAAUAAAUAAAUAAAUAAAAUAAAGUAAAAAGGAAAGAAUAGUUAAUGCACUUCUCUACGUAAACGGUGUACAAUCAUUCUGGAGUCUGCAAGGGCCUUCAAGGGACCAAUUUAACGAGUUUCAAAUAACAAGUUUAUUUAUUUAUUUAUUUAUUUCUUUGGAUGAAAUAACAAUUUUAAUUAAAUAAUACAAAUAUAACUUAUGUACAUUUUUGCUUCUUGACCCUCUGUGUUGAAUGAGAACGAAACUGACAGAUAAGGACAGUAUGGCGUAUCUCUUGUUUAUUUCUUUGAAUUCCCCUCUCUUUAUUCUCUCUCAAUAGCCCUAUCUACAACCCUAUUCCUUUUUAUAAUCCUUUAUCACGCUACAUAUAUCGUAGCGUACUAUUAAAAUUUAACAGUGGGAUUACUUAGAAAUUUGAUAAGCACUCCGCUUCUCCCCCACCCCACCCAAAAAAAUAUUAUAGGUUAAGUGGAUGUAAAUUCUAAUGAUUAACAUGUUGGGAUUAUAUGCUCUUUUAAAGUAUAGUAAUUUAUUUUCUGAUUAAUAAAAUAUUUGAGAUAUUUUCAAUUGCAUAAAUAUAUAUUGAAUAAUGUCCGUUUAAUCAUAUUAUAUGUAUUUUUGUGAUUAUCAUAUAGAUUCACAGAAAACAUAAAUACAAGUUAUCUUAUUAUUAAAUAAAUUCAGUUCGCAGUUGAUAAAUAGAGUUGGACGCUCUAUUUAUGUUUAGACUGUAGUAAAUUUAUUGCAUGAUUUGUCUUAAUCAUAUAUGAAUUUAUUGAUGUAGUACGAUUACAUUGAACAUGAACACAUAUGAGAUUUAAUUAACCUUGAAAUGACUGUCAGACUUAUUAAAUCUCAUAGGCAUUGAUUUUACUGUAAUCUUAAUAUUGAGUUAAUUAUGAUUUCAUGAUUGUAAUUGUUAUUCCAUUUGAGUUACCAAUGGGCACAACACACAAUUGUGGUCAAGAUUACCUAGUAUCUUGGUGGGAGCAUUUAUGAGUAUUGGAGUUAUACAUUAACAAUAUAGAAUUUGUACAACACAUCCUUGAUGAGUUUUUGGCACUUGAUCAUAGAAUUCUCUGGCCAGAGUGUGUCAACAUAUUUAGUAUGUUGAAAAUGAUCAUUAGAGAAAACAAGUAAGCAUCAAGGAAUAAGAUGUAAUUAAAUUGAUUAGACAGUUGAGAUAUCGAUUUAAUUAAUGAUGUGGUACAAAGGAUUAUGCAGUAAAAAAAUUGAUGUGGCCUGCGACGAAUUAUUAUUCGAGCAUACAAUUAUGGAAGUUAGUUCCAAUCUUUUAAUGGAGUAUAUUUGGAAUUAAAUAAUUAGGCUAGUUUAAUUAUAGGCCUAAUUAUUAUAGCCACUAUUGUAUGUUCCCAAAUGAUUCCCGGGUUAGCUCAUUUAAUUGACUACGCCACUACUAGAUUAAUAAACAAGAUAACUAGUUAUUUGGGUUAAAAGCCUAAAUAUAUUAUUUAGUGGGAGGCUUCAAGUAAUGUACUUGUGUCUAAGGGGCAUUGUGUUAUUUUACAAAGUGGGCCCCUAUGACAAGAAAGAAGUAACGUUACUUUUAGUUUAUUAUUUUUAUUUAAAUCAAACUUGAUUUAAUAGAAUUAAAUAAUAUAAAAAAUGGAGUCUAGGGUUUCCACUAGAGAAAAAUAUAAAAGGGCUUAUUUUCUCCCAAAAGAAACAAGCAGCCACUUUAUACAGAUCAGAGAAAAAGAUUUUUCUCUCCGUUGUUGAGAGAAAAAUUUUCUCGUGCUAGUUACUUUGGUAGUGAUAAAGGCGUUCACACGUCAAAUGCAGAUCAAACCUGAGUCAUAACAUAGAAGAUCAUUGGUGACAGUUCGUGAUCUAACAAGUGUUGUGGUCACGGAUCGUGAUCUAACAAGCGUGGUGGUGACAGAUCGUGAUCUAGGAGCCUAAAUCACUUCAAUGGAAAAAGCCAAAUCGGAUUUUCAAUGUACGAUUUCUAGAUUACGUAUUCAUAUAUAUUGUAUGAAAUCAGUCCUAAAACAUUUUAUAAAAAUUUAAAAUAUAGAUUUUUCUCCAACAAUUGGUAUCAGAGCCAUCUUAUAUUAAUAUAUAAUAAUAUUGUAUGAAAUCAAUCUUGAUAUUUAUGUAUUAGAGUGGCACAACUUAUUCAGAUAUAUAUUAUUUAUUUAAUAUAUGAAUAAAAUAUGUUUUUGGUUUGUCUUAAUUCAUGAUUAGAUUCUUUACUGUUUUUUUUUUUUAUCUGUAACAAGAGGAGUGGUUUAUUAUCACCAUAUUUCCCUCUUAAUUUAGUUUAUUGUUAUAGAAAUUUUGUAAGCCUAAAUUGGUGUAGGAAAUUUGUAAGUCACUAGAGUAUAAUCAUGGAUGUCAGAUCAAAGCAACGAAUGCCGGAAAUUUCAGCGUCAGCCAGCGGUGCAUGAUGCACGCGCAGUGGCCAGCAGCACACGCUGCCAGCAGCUGCAGCGCGCGCAAGUUUAGUGCAUUUCCGACGACGCGGCAACGGGUGGCUCGGCGUCGGAGGUCGGCUGGUGUCUGAACAAUGGCAGAGGUUUUUGGAGAUGGCGGCUGGGGAGAAGGAAAAGAAAAAUAAGGAUUUUAGGGUUUCAUGGUUUCUAUCAUUGAGGUCCCUAUAGUUUAAUAAUUAUUUCUUUUGGGCAGUUAAGUUUUAAGCAUUUAAGUCUAAAAAUAGUUUUGGGCUUAAAGAAUCUUAGUUUUAGGCCCAAUUGAAAUUUGGGCUUAAUAGAUUAAAAUACAUAGAUAAAAUUGAACACAUUAAAUUUAUUUUUUGUCCAAAAAUUUUAUUUUAAUAAAAAAUUUAAUUAUUUAUUUAUUUCCUUCUAAAAAAUUAAAAUUGGACCAAUAAUAAAUUUAAAAGCUCAAUUUCCCCUAGUCCAUUAACAAAGAUAAGCCUAUGGAAGGUGGAUAUUGACAAAAAGCCCAAUGAAGAUUAAGCUUAUGGUUAAUGUAUUUUUUUAGGAAAGCCAUGAAUUAAGAUUAUUUAAUUGUAUUUCUAUAUGUUCUGUUUUGGAUGAUAAUAUGCCAUGAUAACAUGUCAUAUAGAAUAGGUAGUGUCACUCUAUGCAUAAUAUUACAUGUCAUUAAUUAAUUAUGAAUCUUAUUAUAUUGUUUGUAAUUUGCAAAUGCUUAAAUAAUAUUGGAUAUCAUAUAGAUAAUAUUAUAGGAAGCAUGAAACAAUAUGUAUGUUUUAAAAAAAGAAAAAACCAAUUUUAAAAUAUUGAGUGGGAGAGGGAAAAUUCAAAAUAAUUUUUCCCACGGGCUCCAUUGUUAGUUCAAUAAUAAAAUUAUAUAUAUACCUCGACUUCAUGAUACGGUGAUGCUCCUUAUGGAGGGUAUAUAUACUAGAUAUUUUAUUUGCUGAACUUUUUCAAAGAUAAAAUUGAAUAUUUUUCAAUCAAUUGUUCACUCCAACGGUGACUAUUGAUAUGAAAAAUACGUAGAUUGAAACAAUGGUUAUACCCUCAACUAAAAGUUGUUUUUAACCUUCCCAACAAAGCUCUGUUAACAACUUUAGGCCCAAAGGGAUAACGAUAAUUAUUUAUCAUGUCUUUACAUGAAAGUAAAUAAUUCAAUGGAUAAUUGGGUCUAGUAAGCAUAUAUUUGUUAUUUUGUUGUGAAUGGGACAUAUAUGGCACCAUUUGCUCCCGUGACCGAUCUUUAUAACAGAUCCAAUUACCCUCGUUAUAGUCACUAGAUAGAAAGCUAACAUAGCACAAUUAUAAUAUGUAAUGUAAGUGAUAGUAGAGUCACAAAUUAUUGUAUAAAUUUAUUUUAUAUAAAUUGAUGAUAAUAUAAAAUAAUAAAAAUAUAAAUCAUGUAGACCAAGAUGUAUUUAAUAUAACUAAUAAAAUUUUACUAGAUUAGUUUAUAUAAGAAUUUGUAAUUUUAUUAUUACUCAUGGUACUUGAACAGUGGCUGAUUGGUUAGCUAGUGGUAUAAGUGGCAACGACCAAAUUGUUGAGUCUCUGACGUGGGUUCUCAAAAUGAGUCAAGAGUCCAGAAAUUAGCUAUCAAGUUAUGACAAUAUUUGUAAACAUGUCUUUGAGAUGAUACAUUGUCAUCAUCAGCAUCAUAUCCUAAUUGAAAAAGAAGGAUUGCGAGGGAAACUAAGCAUGUGCCUUCAUUUUCACUUGAAAUAAAGCGCGAUGGAAAGAUCUCAUGUUAUCACAUAAUGCCGUGUGAUCACCUAAAAGCCCUUCCACACACAUUUCUUCUCAAAUUGUCUUAUUCUAAUUUCUUGGACCACCGCGGAACCACAAUGUCAAUGCGAGGAUGAGCGAGUGCUGUUCAGCUCGCAGCAUUUGGAGCCGGAGCUCGGCUUCCUUUAUUUUUUCGUCUUCUGCUGGUAGACAUUGCCAAAAGGCAAAGAGGAUCCUCUGGCGUUCGUGGAGUUGGUCCUCGAUGCGAUUGAUUUCUUCUCCAAGUUGAGCAAGCCUUUGUGCCAUAGCCAUAUAAUUAUUUGCUUUCGACCGACAUAAUUCUUCUCUAAAAAUUUCAGGGAGCACUUUUCAUCUACACCCAAAUAUUUCAUCAGAAUUUUGUUGUAUGCACACUUACUUCAACAACUAUCACGACUCACUCUUUUUGUUAAAUAUUGUUAUUGCCAUUAAUUUUGAUAUCUUUGACGUUAAAAGACAAUUUUGCCCUUAUUUAUAUUUUUUAAUGCAAAAUUACUAGAAAACCACAACACCAAUUUCAAAUUUCAAUUCACCUGUGUGGAUAUUAAAUUUAAUUUUGACAUCUUUGAUAUUAAAAGAUAAUUUUGCUCUUAUUUAUAAUUUGUUAAUACAAAAUUACCAGAAAACCCAACAUGAAUUUCGAAUUCCAAUUUACCUGUGUGGAUAUUAAAAUUUCGUAAAGGUUAGAAAAAAAGUAAAAAGUUUUUGUUAUGAAGAUCAAAAUAUCCCCUCUGCCAUCAUCCAUAAACGUCCAUUCUUCAUAACAAUCUAGUAAACUUGAAAAAGCAAGAAAUCCAAUCCCAGUCAAUCAAAAAGCCAAAAUUCUUCAUAAAGUUUAGCUUUUCUUGAAAAAUUUUAAUUCUUGAGACCCUAAAUUAACCGAUAUUCAACCCUAAAUUAACCGAUAUUCAAAGUCACAUGUUUCUAUAACGAAAAUCUUCAAAAAUAACACUCAAAUGAAAAUCUUCCAAGUAAAUAAAAAUCUAUAUUCAUAAUAUUUAUGAAUAAAUUGUAAAUAAUAUAAAAUGGUCUAAUUGAAUAUAGAGUGAUUUACAAUUUUAUAGUGCAUUCACUAAAUAGGAAUCAAAAUUAAUUGGAAACAUAAUGAGUUAGAAUCGAAAUAACUAGAAUCGAAAUAAGGAAUUAGAAUCAGAAUAAUUUAUUUACUUGAACUGCAUGAAUCGUAAUUAGAAUGAGCUAUUUAUAUGUUUAUUUUAUCUUAAAAUCAAAAUCGGAGUGAGUUAAAUUGUAUCAAAUUACUAUAAGACCCUUAAUUAUUUUUUAUCAUAAAAUAGUUAAUUAAUGUUUAUCAUAAUUAUUAAUUUUAAUUUUAAUUAUCUUGAUUAUUAUUAUUAUUAAAAAAUUAAUUAUUAUUGUUAAUUAUUAUUAUUAUUAACAAUUUAACUAAAAAAUUAUUAUUAAUUAUUGUUAAUAGAUUAAUUAAUUAUAAUACUUUUUAUCCUUGUUAUUAAUAAUAAUAAUAAUAAUAAUAAUAAUAAUAAUCCAUUUAAAAAUUAUAAUUAUAAUAAAAUCAUUAUUAUAAUUAUAAUCCAUUUAAUAAUAAUUAUAUUUUUAAUUAAAUGGAGGGUAUUUUAGAAAUUUAAAAAUUAUAGGGGCGAAUUGAUACUGUAAGGGUUUUAAUGCAAUAAAACAAAGUAUAAGGGGCUCAAUGAAAAUUUACAAUACAAAAAGUUUCACAAUAUUUAGGAAUAAAUUAUAAAUAAUAUAAAGUGUAAGGGCUACGUGAGCAGUAACUUAGGUGGCCCCUUUGCAAAUAACUAUUGUGAUUAGUGAGGCGCACCCAUCAAGUUCAUUGUAGCUGAAUGUAGAGGGCCUCGUGGAAGUUUAAGUUGUAGGGUCCCAAUCAAAAUGUGGCACUGACACAUUUAUCAAACAAUAUGAUUUUUUGAUAAGGACAUUAGUUUUGUAUUCAUAUCAAGCAGGUCCCUAACUUGUUGGGUUGGCAACGACACGGGAUUUGUCAAUCCCAGUCCCAUUCCGUAUAAAGUGCCGUAUAUGCAAAUGAGAUAAAAAAAAAAUCUUAUUCCUAUUCUUUUAUUUUCUUUUGCGACAAAAAUUUGUCAUGAUCUCGUCUCAUUAAAUAUCUUAUCCCAUCUCAUUAUCUUGAACAGUUUUAAAGGUAAAUAAAUAAAUAGACUUUUUUUUAAAGAUCAUCACAAUUCAAUAUAGCAAAAUUUUUUAAAUAAAUACAAAGUAAAAUAAUCAAAUAAUAGUUUUAUUUUGACUAAGUGCAUGUUCAAAUAUAAUUUUAUAUUAACAUUUUUAAUAGUCUAUUUGCUUCCAUUGCACAUUAAUAUUAAGACUUACACUUCAAAAACUAUAGAUUUAAAUAGUAAUCACUUCAACAAUGUUAAAAUAUCUAAUAAUUGAAUAAUAUAAUAAUAAACAAAACCAACAAGGUUGGUAAUGGAAUGGGAUGAGACGAGAUUUGUCCAUUCCAGUCUUAUUCCGUUUAUACAAGUGAGAUAAAAAAAAAUCUUUCAUUCCUAUCCUUUUAUUUUUUUGGGAUAAAAAUAUAUCUUAACUCUAUCCCAAAUGAAAUAGGAAAAAUUACCAUCCCUACUAACUUGGUGUAAUGACUAAAAGUUGAUUGAAAAAUAUAUAGUUUAAUUUUACAUUUAAUUUUUUUCAUUUUUUUAUUAAGAAUUAAUUGAAAAAUUAUUUUAUUCCCUUAAUUUUACCAGAAUCCCAUUGACUUAACCCCUAGUCUCUUGAUUAAGGCUCCGUUUGGUGCAGCUUUUCAAGCAAAACUUAUUUAAGUAGAGCUUUUGAUAAUAGAGCUUUAAGAAUUUAGUUGUUUGGUUGUCAAUAAGAACUUUUAUUAAAAAUCUAUGAAAUUGCUUUAAUAGAUAAGUUUUCUUAAGUUAUGUUAUGAAAAGAAUAAAAUAAGAUUGUUAAAUAAGUAAAGGAUAUUUUAGAUAUUUUAACAUUUAAAAAAAGUUUUUCAACCUCUACUCCCAAAAGCUCAAACUUUGAGUUUUUGUCAAUAGAGACGAACUAGCUUAUUUAAGCUCUAAAAGCUCUACAAAAAAAAAAAAAAAAAAAAAAAAACAACCAAGCAACAACAAAAAUUAUGAUAAGAGCUUAUGAGAUUAAAUAAAUACGUAUGACCAUUAGACAAGCCAUAUCAAAUAGGCAGUAAAGCGUUUUUAAGUUCAAAAGAUUCAGAUAACUCACUCGAUUACAGGGCGUCUACACCUUAUGCUCGCAUUUGUUGUGAUGCCAGUAGAUGUUGUGACUGUGGUUGUCGUUGUCGAUUGUACUUGAAUUUUGCAGGAGAGCUUAAUAUCCUCCUUAGUAAUUAAGCGUUGCAUCAGUUAUUUUUAAAAAAAAUUAUAUUAGAGUUAUUAUUAAAAAAUUGUAUUAUAAAAUAAAAAUUAAUAAUAUGUAAUAAAUAUGAUUUUUAAAAAUUCAUUUUAUUAAAAUUAAUUAUUUUUAUUUUUAUUAAAUAAAUAUAAAAUUAAAUCAACUUAAUUAUUAAAUUAUAGUGAUUAGUAUUUAUUAAACACUUUAAUAUAGUAACUUUUAAAAUUAUAAUCGACUAACCUUAAUCCAAGAGCCUGAAAUGAUUGUGCAGUUCGGGAUUUUCAAUUUCCUUUCUUUUUGGAACUGGCUUGGGAUUGUCCAAACACGUUAUUGACUGCCUUUGACAGGGAGUAUGGGGACAAAUCAAUUUUGUUUCCUGCAAAACCCUUGAAAUAUUAGUCAACUUACGUAUACCACUUUUGGACCCAUUUUGUCAGCAAAAAGAAAGAGUGGAGCAUUUGUACUCUAAAUUUAACUUUAGACAGUCGCAUUUUAACAAAUUUUUAUAUUACUAAAUUAACCUUAAUAUAAUUUACUAUAAAAGACAAUUUAGUAAUAUAAUAACUUUUAAAAUUAUUAAAUAAAUAUAAAAUUAAAUCAACUUAAUUAUUAAAUUAUAGUGAUUAGUAUUUAUUAAACACUUUAAUAUAGUAACUUUUAAAAUUAUAAUCGACUAACCUUAAUCCAAGAGCCUGAAAUGAUUGUGCAGUUCGGGAUUUUCAAUUUCCUUUCUUUUUGGAACUGGCUUGGGAUUGUCCAAACACGUUAUUGACUGCCUUUGACAGGGAGUAUGGGGACAAAUCAAUUUUGUUUCCUGCAAAACCCUUGAAAUAUUAGUCAACUUACGUAUACCACUUUUGGACCCAUUUUGUCAGCAAAAAGAAAGAGUGGAGCAUUUGUACUCUAAAUUUAACUUUAGACAGUCGCAUUUUAACAAAUUUUUAUAUUACUAAAUUAACCUUAAUAUAAUUUACUAUAAAAGACAAUUUAGUAAUAUAAUAACUUUUAAAAUUAUUAAAUAAAUAUAAAAUUAAAUCAACUUAAUUAUUAAAUUAUAGUGAUUAGUAUUUAUUAAACACUUUAAUAUAGUAACUUUUAAAAUUAUAAUCGACUAACCUUAAUCCAAGAGCCUGAAAUGAUUGUGCAGUUCGGGAUUUUCAAUUUCCUUUCUUUUUGGAACUGGCUUGGGAUUGUCCAAACACGUUAUUGACUGCCUUUGACAGGGAGUAUGGGGACAAAUCAAUUUUGUUUCCUGCAAAACCCUUGAAAUAUUAGUCAACUUACGUAUACCACUUUUGGACCCAUUUUGUCAGCAAAAAGAAAGAGUGGAGCAUUUGUACUCUAAAUUUAACUUUAGACAGUCGCAUUUUAACAAAUUUUUAUAUUACUAAAUUAACCUUAAUAUAAUUUACUAUAAAAGACAAUUUAAUAAAUUUUUAUCAUAUGAACUUUUAUCUACUAUAAACCACAUCAACAAUGAAAUAUUGAACCAAUGUUCACGUCGGAACUUUAUCUAUACUUAUAGACUAGAUUUUUUUUUUUUUUUGGUUAAUAGAAUGGCUAGAAAAACAUCAAGUUGCAUGUUCUAUCUCUUAUAACUGAAACAAAAGGAAUUACAAGCGGAGGUGCAGAACGAACAAUAAGUCUAUAAAUAUGAAAUAAAAUCGACAUAACUUCUAACAACUGCUAACUAUAAUCUUGAGCAAGACCUUAAUUUCCUCUCAGUUUUACAAUUAUUUGCUUUUGAGUGAGCUCUGAUUAUAAAUUUAUCCAUACAUGAAGUUACACUAGAUACGAAAUUACGUGGGCAUAAUUAUUCUUAGAGAAUUAUUUUUUCCUUUAGGAAUUCGUGCAAAUUAUCACUUUCUUUUUCCACUUUCCUUGAGAUAUUAUAUUUGACCUUUUUUAAAUAGUGCUCAUUUGUUUACGGAGUUUUUUUUUUAAUAACCAUUUCUAACCGUUUCAAACAAUUUGGUUCUAAAUAUAAAAUUUAGACCAUCUAUAAAUGCAGCCCUCUCACAUAAAUAGUAUCCAGUCCUAAGUCCACAGCCAGGUUUGUGAGAGAGCUCUCUACAUUAUAGAUGCUGUAAGGCAGUAGGGGUGUAAAAAAAACCCGCUCGGACCGGACCUGGCCCGGACCCGGCCAAUUCGGUCCGGGCAAAACCCGGACCACAUGCACUGAAAAUGCGGGUUCGGGUUUAAGAUUCCAAACCCUACCAUUUUCGAGCACGGGUUCGGGUUCAACACCAAAAAUCUGGAACCCGGAACCGGACCCGGUUUCUAAAUUAAAAAAAUAUAUAUAUAAAAACAAAAAUGUCAAAACCCAAAUCCCUAAUUGGCUAAUUCCCGAUUGAAAGAGGCAUAAGCAGCAAGCCAACAACGUUGUCACCGGCAUCAUCUCUUCUCGUCACCGUCGGCAUUCGGCAUUAACCACCACCCACUGUCACCGUCGCUCGUCGGCAUCAUCUCUUCUCGUUUGCUGACUCGGCUUGGCACGCGGCUUUACUCGGUUGCUCCAUCUCCAGUGGCAGUGUGGCUGUGACUCAGUGACAGUGAGUCGUUCGUGCAGGUGAGGCCUGCUUCUGGGAUAUUUUUCUGGAAUUUGGCCUCUUCGAGUUGCUUGUCCUGCUUCCUGACAUGUUCGGCAGCUGCGAUUGCAGAUUCCUUGGAGUCCUUAACAACUUUGAGCUUGGUGGUCAACUCGAGCAUGGUUCUUUUAGCCCUCUCAAGAUCGCCAAGUGCUCGAGCUCUUGUGCUUUCAGAGCUCUCUAACAGUUUCUUAGUUCUUUCGAUUUCUUUCCGGGCCAAGAGAAGCUGCGUCGUCAGCGCCAUCGUCUCCAACUCUCCAUUGCCACUUUCUCAACCACCAUCUCCAACUCUGCUUCUCAGCUUCUGCAAGAGAGAAUUGCAUGCCAUAUUGCCAUUAUUAUUAAGUUACUAUAUGCGGGUUUCUAAGCCCGGACCAAAAACCCGGACCCAGGUGGUGCCGGGUUUGCGCCUGGCCCGCACCCGGAAAAUCGGGUUUUAACCCGGGUCCGGAUUUUUUGUCCACUCAUCCGGUCCGGUCCCGGGCAACACCAAAACCCGGAUCGAACCCGGAUUUUGCCAAGCCUAUAAGGCAGCCCUCGCCAAACCUAAAUAUAAGAUUGAAUCAAACUCUUUUCGAAUUCGAAUUUCUUUCAAGCUCAAAUACGUCGCUUGGCUUUUCUUAUAUUUUAAGGUACAAUUGGGUUUGAUUUCUAUCCACUCUUAAGGUGCAGUAAAUCUCAACAUUCCAAAUAUAACCCUUUUGACACAAUUCACUUUCUAUUUGGGAAUGGCAAAAAACCCCAUGAGAUGGGGUUGGGGAUUUUUCCCAUUUAAGAAGGGAAAAAUAACAAUUUUAUGUUUAGGGUCUGAUAGGAAUGAUUUUUUGCCCAAUUUUUUUUGGGGAAGGUACAAAGAUGAGCUUGAAUCCUGAUUCUCUUCCCAAUUCGCCAUUUUCUCAAUUUAAUUUUUAAUUCUAAUUUUAUUUUUUAAAAAUAGUAAUGAAUCAAUAAUAAAAUCUAAAUUAUAAAAUAUUAAAUAUUAGUAUAAAUAACAAAUAUCAAUAUAUUUAUACAAAUAUAUUUUGAAAUUUUUGGGCCCAACUAAAUAGAAAUUCUAUUUUAACAUUCAUACAUUUUCAAAAUUAUUAAACUAAAAGAAUCCAGAAUCAAUUUUUCCUUGUGAACUUCUAUUAAAAUUUCACUGCGGUUUAAAAAAAAAUUAAAAAUUAAAAAUCCAUCCCAAAACCGAUUGCUACAAUACUGAGCCGCAAAAGUCAACGCCCGACACCCCACAUUUCAAUUUCAAAUCCAAACUUAAAUCCACCAACAGACACUACGCAAAACAAAUCUACUUGAAAUGAACAGCAAGUCUAAAUCGAAAUCGAAAUGAAAACCUUUAUGAGAGAGAAGUAAGAAGGCUUCGUUGUAUAAAGAGAAUAGCGAUUGAAGACAGUGUCUUCACGAUCGUCGUACGUAAAGCAUACGGAGAUCGGAGACUGUGUACUAACGAUCGAGGGCUGUGUCAAGACUGUCUUCACGAUCGUCGUAUGUGAAGCAUACGGAGAUCGGAGACUGUCUUAACGAUCGACGACAAACUGUCUUCACGAUCGUCCUAUGUUAAGCAUACGGAGAUCGGAGACUGUGUCUUAACGAUCGAGGGCAAACUAUCUUCACGCUCGUCGUAUGUGAAGCAUACGGAGAUCGGAGACUGUGUCUUAACGAUCGAGGGCAAACUGUGUUCACGAUCGUCGUAUGUGAAGUAUACGGAGAUCGUAGACUGUGUCUUAACGAUCGAGGGCUGUGUCGAAACUGUCUUUACGAUCGUCCCAUGUGAAGUAUACGGAGAUCGGAGACUGUGUCUUAACGAUCGAGGGCAAACUGUCUUCACGCUCGUUGUAUGUGAAGCAUACGGAGGUCGGAGACUGUGUCUUAACGAUCGAGGGCAAACUAUCUUCAAGAUCGUCGUAUGUGAAGCAUACGGAGAUCGGAGACUGUGUCUUAACGAUCGAGGGCUGUGUCGAAACUGUCUUCACGAUCGUGGUAUAGAGUGAAUAGAGAGAGAGGGGGCUGUGUUAAACAGAAAGAUUGAAUGCUGUGCCGUGUAGAGAGAUCGAGAAGAAGAGAGAAGAUGGCGGCGCCUGUAGCAGAGCACGGGCUCAUAUUUAUAGGAGAGGGAUUACGGCAACUUAACGGCCGUUAUGACCGCAAAUUGCCUCUGUUAGAAUUAACCGAGAAGUCACGGGAUUACCUGCUGAUCAUCAGCAUCUGGGAAUCUUAUGAGUUUGAACAUCAAACAUGCAUGCUAAACUAUCCACUAAUAUAUAUAUAUAUAAACCGAAAGCUCAGUCAUUUAAACGAUAGCAUUCAGCGAUGAACAACAAUAACUUAAACAUGGAUGUAACUCAAAAUUUAUCUUCACCUGACAGCCAGACAUACGUAUGGUAAAUCGUAGUGGUAGAAGGUUAACAUAUGAGGCAAGUUCAAAGAACAUUUCUCUUUUAUACCAAAAAAAGAAAUAGCUGAACCGGAAGGGACUCACAGUUGAUUAGAGAAUGAGUAUAUCAAUCUAUCUGUGACAAUUUAAUUUAGGUAUACCAUAUGAUUCCAACCUUUAUUACACUAAAAGAUGGUCAUCCCAUCAUUAAUAGAAAAGAAAAAUAAAAUAAAACGGCAAAGUAAUUAAGAAAGAAGUAGAAUUUCAGCUCAACCUUAGGUCAGAAUAGUGUGAGCAUUCUAGAUUUGAUUCAUCUCGUCAUAACCUUCGAACAAGGUAUUAUACACUAGAAACAGACACAUGCGUCCCAAAUUAUGAUAUCCAAAAAUUAUCCUACUCAUGAUUAUCUUAGGUAACUAUCCUACAUUGCAAAUGAAUGUAAUAGCUACGUUUCAAAUUAAAUUCAAAACCAUAAAUUCAAGAGUUAAGUGUUUCUGAAUCAAAAUACCCUCUACGAAUUUUAUAAAUUGGCUUCUAAUUUCAUUAGCAAAAUACACAAAAUCCAAGUGAAUUUCCUCUUCUCUCCCAAACAGUUUUAACAUUUGGCGAUAGAGCUGACGACAAGCAUGAGUAAACAAUGUACAAUAGUGAUACGCAACAAUGAUCAAAGAAAAACAAAUCCUUGAAGUGUAACACCAUGAAAUGAAAAAAUAGGGCGUGGAACAAAUAUUUCUAAUAAUCUUGUUCAUCUUAACCAUAUUUUUUUCAGUGAAAAAUAUUAAUGGCAUCUUAUGUUAUAUUGUUUCAGUAAGAGAAAGAAGAAAAAAGAAAACAAAUCUCUUUCAUAGGGGCUUGACCAAUUUUUUCACGAAAAAUUGACGGCCGUUAUGAGUUCUGUAAAUGCCUCUGUUAGAUUUGAUGGAAAAGUCACGGGGUUACGCGAUGAUCAUCAGCGUCUGAAAAUGUUAUGAGUUUAAUUAGCCAAGAAGAAUUAACCUCCGCUUCAGAUCGAACGACUCCCAAGUAACUACAAACAUAUCACCUUUAUCCUUUUGGUUCCAUCUGCCCACGAAGCUUCAUAUACCUACAAAAUGUUUCUUAAAAUUUUAAGGAAAAAGGAUAAAUACACCCCCAACGUUUAGAUAAAAGGACAAAAGUCCCCCUAACGUUUUAAAAAAUACAUUUACAUCCUCAUUCUCUAACGGAAACAGUAACUUUUAACAGAAAUUAUUGUUAUACCCUUCUAGCAUAUAAAAAAUAUAUAUACAAGUUUAACUUGUGGUAUUAUACCAUAAAAUUUUAUUUAAAUUUUAAACUUGUAUAUUUAACAAUUCUCCACAUGUUAUCAUUUAAACUUGUAUAUUUAUAACUAAUUUUUUAUGUUAUUUAUUAUGGUAUUAAUUGAAAUACAAGUUAACAUUAAUAACCAAUUUUAUUUAUUUUUAUUCUUGAGUAAUGAAUUAAAUUUAUUUGGCUUGAAGAGGGAAUUUGAUAAAAAUUUAAAUAGAGGAAUUGGGUAAUGAGGAUAUAUUUAUAAUUUUAUUAAUAAUAUAUGGACAAAUUGGAUAAUCAACAAUUUUUUUUUAUAUGCUAGAAGGGUAUAACGGUAAUUUCUAUUAAAAGUUAAUGUUUCUAUUAGUGAAUAAGGAUGUAAAUGUCUUUUUUAAAACGUUAGGGGGUUUUUGUCAUUUUGUCUAAAUGUUGGGGGUGUGUUUGUCCUUUUUCCUUUUUUUAAUAAAUUAUAAUCGGACAGCUGGAUCAAAAUUUUCGACUGGGCAAAACGCAAAAUCUACCACGAGUGCUUCAACAACUUCGUUUCAUUUAAAUAUUUAUCAUUUAAUCAGAGUUUGACGAGCAGCGUCGAUGGAAAAUUGAUAGAAAUGAUCCUUACUUUUUUUUUUAUUAUACGAAUAGCAAAUAAAAUUUUCCUUUUUUCAGUUACACAGGUAGGAAAUAAAUUUAUAAAGUCUAGUAUCUACUGUUCGUAAUAUAUAGCAAAUGAAAAUUUUCCAUUUUUCAAUUACACGAACACAUGUAACUGUUUUGUAUAUACCUUUUUCUAGCGGCUUCAAAAAGUUUCAACCUUAUGGAAUGGCACAAUCUUUGUACAUUAUUAUUUUAAUUAAUAACAAGAUUACUGAUCCUGUGCGCCCGGUAAACACUGCUGUGAUUGAGGAAAUGGCGGUUGCUAUUGCUGACUCUUAUCAAAGGCCUUGAUAAAUCGACCAUUUCUUCACAUCUAACUGAGGCAUAAAAGGUAAAAAGCCUAGGUGUAGGAGAGAAAGCUACAACAUAUAUGACACAAAAUCAAUUUGGAUAGGCCUUGCUGAUCAUGUCUGUGAAUGAAGAAGAUUCACCUUGAUGCCAUAGCGUAGCAAAUUAUUAGGAGGCAGGAUGUAUAUGUCGCAUAGUUAAAGGGGGAUUCUAAAUCCUGAAGGGUACAAAGACUUAUGCUUUGAAGCUCAUCUCCCUAUCUAAAACAAGCGAGUUAAGUUCUAUUUGGAAUUGAGAUUGAGAAACUAUAACUUAAAAACUACUGCAUUAAAAUAUUAGGUAAACACUAACUGCUAUAGUUUGGAAAUUAAAUUAAUUUGAUUUUACACUUGUAUAAUGAAAAAUCUAUUAUAUCUUUACUAAUUUUGUCAAAAUUAUUAUUUAAAAGUUAUAGUUGCUACAUAUUGUUAACUUUUAUUUCUUCGUUAUAAUUUUUUUUUUUUUACAGUAGUUGUAACUUAAAAGCCGCUGCACUUUAAUACCAAAUAAGACCGUUGUUAACCAUUUUGAUAGAGUUUGACCAUCUAAUUGACUAAUUCCCCAAAAAAAAAAAAAAGGUAUGGUGGUUACCCGAAUUUUACGUCCACUUAACAUAUAAUUUUUUAGGGGAAGAAAGGGCGGGGUGCUAAUCAAAUUUUUGGAAAAAAAGAAAAAAGAAAAAGCACAAUACUUGUCAAAUCUCUAAAUAACCCUAUUGUUAAACUUUAAUAAUACACUACAAUAAAUGUAAUGUAAAUUAAGUAAUAAAAGAUUAUAGAAAGAUCAAAGAAAUAGGGUUGUAAAUGGGAUUAUUGUGAAAGAAUAAAGAGAGGAAUUCAAGCAAUAAAUAAGAGACACGCCAUACAGCCCAUGCUGUCCUUAUCGGUGUCAAGUUCAUUCUCAUUCAACACAGAGGGUAAACAAGCAAAAAUGUAUAUAAAACACAUGCAUAUUAUUAUUACUAUUAUUAUUUGAGAAGCACAUGCAUAUUAUUUAAUUAAACGUGUUAUUUGGAACUUGUUAAAUUGUUACCUUUGUAGGUCCUUGUGGACUCCAAAUUAAUUGUACGCCUUUUCAACAGAAAAAAGUGCAUUACAUAAUUUUUUCUUUUUUUACUUUAUUUUUGGAAUUUUUUGGAAAAAGCGAUGACUCAUGAGAAGAAGAAGAAUAGUAGAACACGUGGAACAGUCCAAAAAUAUUGUGUAUAAAUAAAUAACGCGGCUUCUGAGUUUUUGACAAUUUACCAUACGUUAAUAACGCUUGAUGAAAAUGUUGCAAUCAGGUAGUGUAGAAUCACUAAUAAAUGAAAUAUGCAAUAAGAAGAGUAAAUAUUAAUAACGCACCAAUAUUACAAAUCAAUAGCUAAGGAUCAAGUGAAAUUUCACCUGCAAAUUAGGACAGCCGAGGAAGCAUCCAUAAACAUAAGAGUAAUUAUACCACUCUGAAAUUUCAUAAGAGAGAAUUAGGACAGCAGAGAAAGAAAUACACAAAGCAAUUUGCAAAGGACAGAGGCAUAAACAUAAUAGUAAUUAUAAAAUUUCAGACUGUAAGAAAAAAGUAAAAAAUGUAUAAUAUUUUUCACAUUAGUCCGACGGUUCGUCAAUGUCUUUGUAAAAAGCAAAUAUUUUCAAAGGUAAAUAACACUCUCCCAAAUGUUUAAUCAAUAAUACAAUUUUUUUUUGAAGAGAUAACUACUGAUUAUAUAUUGAUUCUUCAAAAUAAUUACACAUUUAUCAUAAUAUUAUUUAUUUAUUUUAUAAUUGAUAUAGUACUUUAAAGAUAUUUGAAAAAUUUUUAACUUGACAAUGCUCCUUAAUCAAGGGUGAAGUUUAAAUUAUGUCACAAAAAGUGCUUGAACAAUAUUGAGCAAAGCGUUUACUUGUAUAACUCGAACUGGGGAGCAAACCCUUAAGUGGCUUGACUGAGUUUGCUCCCCAGUUUAAGUCGCAGGGAAGUCGCUUUUGUUGGAAAAACUUGUGCCUCUCGAUUCGAGCGGAGACUUCUAUUCUUGGUUGUGGUACGGACUUAAAGGUGCCUCCCAUAGUUGGGACCCUCCCCAGGAUACCUCGUAGUCAAAAACCAAAAAGAAUGCAUAUGAGGGGAUAAGAAGACUGAAGGUAUGAGUUUGACUAUUAUCACAAUAAUUUCUAUUUCAUAGAUUGAAAUGUGAACAUUAGUGUAUUUUGUGGAAUUUUCUCCGUUACUUUAUAAAAUUACUACAUGUACAUGGAUGAUUGCUUGCUACUGUGAAAGGCGAAACAUUUAAUUUGGAGAAAAUUCCUUCUAGACUGGUAGCAUGGGUCAUAGUUGCCCUAUCGACGAAGUGUUAUUAGCUAAAACCUAUUGCACAUGUCAAUGCAAAAUGGCUUCAAGGUUUCGCUGUAGAACUGAUGACAAGCUUCUGAAAACAACGUGCCAUAUUGAAACACAACAACAAUAAUGGCAGCACCAAUCCAUGCAGUGUAAAAAAUGAAAUGGCCAAUAUUAGAACACGGAAGUAGAUCCAGAGACAACAGCAAGGCCCCAGAACUGGAAAGAAUUUUCUGGAUGAAGUCGAGACUUGAGGUUAGCUGAAUGUGCAUAACAAUACGUGGUUAUGGCUAUAAAAAAAGACCAUAUAUUUAUGGGCUUAGUUUUGCUUUGCACAUUGGCACCCACAAUGCCGAUGAGAGCCGGAAUCAGAUAUUCAAAAAUGUUGGGAUAUGACAUCGACUAGAGGAGAUUUCGCCCACUGCAAAAUCAUUUAAAAUGAUAAAAUCAUCUUCUGCAUAUCCCAUUUUCUUUUAAAAAAAAAUUAAAAUUAAAUAGAUCUUGUAUUAAUUCCUCUCAAUUUGUUUGUCAAUUAUUUGUUUUUGACCGACACAAUUCUUCUCUAAAAAUUUGAGGGAGCACUUUUUAUUUGCACCCAAAUGUUUCAUCAAAAUUUUAUUGUAUACACACUUGUUUCAACAGCUAUCAUAGCUCACCCUUUUCUGUUAAAUAUUGUUUUUACCAAUAAUUUUGAUAUCUUGACGUUAAAAGACAAUUGUACCGUUAGUUGAAAUUUUUAAGUAUAAAAUCACCAAAAAAACCACAACACUAGUUUCAAAUUCCAAUUGACCUGUGUGGAUAUUAAAAUUUCUUAAAGGUUAAGAAAAAAAAGGUAAAAAUGCUUUCUUAUGGGAAUCAAAAUAUCCCCUAUACCAUCAUCCAUAACCGUCUAUUCAUGAUAACAAUUUAAUAAACUUGAAAAGCAAAAAAUCCAAUCCCAGUCAAUCAAUACAGCCAAUUUUCUUCAUAAAGUUUAGCUUUUACUUUAAAAAAUGCUAACUCUUGAGACACUAAAUAAAUAUUUAAAGUUACGUGUUUCUAUAACGAAAAUCUUCAAUUUACCCCUUUAAAAGUUUGAAAACAUUAAUUUACUUCUAUUUUCCAGUCAAAAAAUUAGAAUAAAUGGAGACAAGCUGAUGACAAACUUUUUAACUUCUUAGUGGUAUUUGAUAAAUAUAAAUAAAUUGAAAAUUAUCAUUGUAAGUAGGAAUAAGUUAAAACUUUUACUCCAUAUUUAUUGUGCUUUAAGAAGAGAAAGAAAGAAAACAGAAAACAAACCUCUUUUAUAGGAGGGUUAACAAAAUUUUCAGCAAGGACUUAACCAACUUUUUUCGCGGAAAUUAAAUUAGCAGAACAAAAAUAACAUACGACUUGAGUCAAUAAUGGUAAAGAAAAUGAACGUACACAGAAAAUGAACGUACACAUAAGGGUUUGGAUUUGGUUGAUGAAGAAUGCACUGAAAGCUUUGCAUUUGCUUAUAUAUCACAGCAAACACUGGAUUGAGUUCUCUUUUCCAGGGUAAAUAAGGUAGGGAACAGCAAAGCCGAUCAAUUUGAUAAAAAAAAAAAAGGGAGGGAAGGGGGGGGGAGAGAACUGCCACAGUAAGAACAUCUCAAUCAUCUCUGCUAAAAAAAGUUAUCUCGUGGCUGGGGCAUUUAUAUUUUCAUGUGCGCUGAUGCCGGGAGUUGAAACUGAGGCGGCGAGUCCUCGAGGCCUCUGCUGCAAGAGAGGACUCUGUUAAUUUCGCAAAAAUCUGACUUGGCAAAAUCCACUCAUACAUCAUUUGUCCCUUUGUUGUGAUGUUGAUGCAGUUUCUUUAUUUUUAUUUUUGCUUUUUGUUUUGAGCUCCCAGACAAAAGAGUGUUGAAAAUGAUCGAUUAAUCGGUUCCCCAUUCAAUUUCAAGGUCGAAAGGGAUGACAAGAUGUAUAUUUAGUAUGGUUUAUUUAAUAAUUAUAAAUAUUUGUUUAAUUUUAUGAUCUCUUAUUAAAAUUUUUGUUAUUAUUUAGUUAUUUUUUACAAAAUUUUUAAAGAUUAAAUAAGAUAUUUUAUUUCUAUUAAAAAAAUUUAAAUUUUAAGAUUUUAGAUGUAGAGAUUGAAUUUUUUUUUACAUGGUAAAAUAUUUAAAAUAUUAUUUAUUUAUUUGACAAUCUUAUUUUAUUUUUUUAUAACAUAAAUUUUAAAAAAUAAUUUAUAAAAAUAAUUUCAUAAUUUUUAAUAAAUAAAUUAAUUGAUAAUUAAAUAAAUAAAUUUUUUUUAGUAAAAAUUUUAUUUAUAAGAAUCUUAUUAAUAAAAAAUUUAUUUAAAAAAAUCCUAUUUGAAAAGAUAUUCGGAUCGAAUUUAACAUCCACAUCAUACCGGUACGAGACGUAAGAGGGUUGAAAAUAACGUUAUACACUCGUCAAGGCGCACCAAUCAAGUUCGAGGGGGACAGCGCCCAAUAGCUGAACUUAAAGGGCCCCGUGGGGAACUUAGGUGGUACAGCCCCAAUCAAAAUGCGACAAAUUUAUCAAACAACAUGAUUUUUCCAACGAGGAUAUUAGUUUUGUGUUUGUCACAAAUAGGUCCCUAACUUGGUGUAAUGACUAAGAAUUAACUGAAACAAAAUAUCUUAAUUCUGUAUUUAAUUUUUAUUAAGAAUUAAUUGAAAAUUUAUGAUAUUUUCUUAAUUUUUGCCACAAUUUUUUAAUUAAUUAUAAUUUAAAAAUUUAUUAUAUUAAAUACAUAAUUAAAAGUAUUCAUAUUCCCAACAUCAAACAAUCACUAAGGGUAAAAUGGUAAGAUUAGUAAAAAAAAUUGAUACUCAAAGGGGUUUGGAUGUGUUUUUAAAAUACCAAGGGAGUUUCGGUUAGUUUUGUCAAACAAUAAGGGAGUUUUGCUCUUUUUGUUUCUUUUGUUUUUGUUGUUCAUAGUCGAUAAUGGAUUUGAAAUAGAAAAUAAUUAUAAUUUAUUUUUUCAUUCACUCUCUAAUUAAUUCAAUGGUGCUUAGCAACUUUUGUUUCAGUUUAUGAGCAAUUGGGUGAUAUUUUAUGCCAUGUUCUCUAUCGAGAUGAUGUAACUUAAAAGUUAGGAAAAAAAAGUUGUAAUUAUAAUAUUAAAUUAAUAGUUUGUAAUAAAUAUGACUUUUAAUUAAUAAUUUUGACAAAGAAGUAAUAGACUCUGACAGUAGCGGACCUACAACUGGGCAAGGCCGGGCGUUAGCCCAGUCUAGUUCCAAAAAAAAUCAUUUAUAUCGCUUAUGCUUUAAUUAAUUUUAUAUAUAAGUAUAGAUUUUUUAUUUUGUUUUCAUAUAUAUUCCUAAUUUAGUUAGCCUUAUAUUUUCAUCAAUUUCAUAUAAUAAUAGAGUUUUUAUUUUAUUUUCAAAUAUGUCCCUCAUUCAAUUAUAUAUAUUUUUUCAAUUGAAAUUAGUUACUUAUUUUAUAAAAUGAUUAAAUCAUAUGUUUAUUGAAUAGAUAGAAAACAGUAAGGGUCUAAAAUAUUAUUGGUGCUUAAAUUUAUUUUCAAAAAUUCUAAUUGAAAAAAAAAGUAUGUCAACGUAGUAAAACAUUGUCACUAGUAUUAAAAGUACUUAAAAAACAUAUAGUAACAACUAUCAACAUUUUCAUAAACUUUUUAUGUGAAUUUUGAGAUUUUAUUUAUUAUUUACAUUAUCUAAGAGGACAAGUUAGAAAAUAAAAUUUGAGUAUUUUUAGGAGUUUUUGAUAGAAAAAUCAUCAGCAUUUGGUUUUUUAGAGAGAGUCAGAGUGCUUGGCAAAGAAAUAACGACACCUAAAUACCUUUUUGCCGCUAGAUUGAGUUUAGUUUAUUAUUGAAACUUUUGACUAAUAAUAUUUUUAUAAUUUAAAAAGAUGAAUAAAUUUUAAUUUUUUAAAUUUAUUUAAGCCUAGUAAUUAAGUAUUUUUCAAAUAUAAAAGGUCUACUUAAAUUUUUUAAUUAAUUGCAAUUAUAGGUAUUGAUGAAUUUUAUCUUGAAAUUCUUAAUUGAUUUAUGUAAUUGCAUGUUAUUAUAGGUUCCACUGUUAGAUUCCAUAAACAAAAAGUAGUGCUUUAUACUAGAAUUGUCUUUUAAUUCUACCAUUUUUCUAUAAUUAUUUUUGUUUAGAGUACUGUGUUUAUAGGGUUUUUCGUUUCCCCUUUAUUUGAUGCACUUCUUUCUACCUAUGAAUAUUUAUGUCACUUCAAAAUAUAAAAUUUUUAAUUUAACCCGGAAUAACAUAAAGUCUUGGGUCCUCCCCUGGACCAUGAGCUGAAUGUGCAUAAUAAUAUACGGCUGUGGCUAUUAAAAAAAAAAAAAACCAUAUAUCUGAUGAGUGUGUUUCAAGCAAGGGCGCAGUUUGACUUGCAUAUUUGCACCAUCAAUGCCAAUUGGAGCCAAAAUGAGAUAUCCAAAUAUGUUGGAAUAUGACAUCGAGCAAAAGAGUUUUGGCCCACUGCAAAAUCAUUAAAAUGAUUAAUCUUCUUUUGUAAAUCUCAUUCACUUGGAAAAAUUUAAAUCAUUUGCUUUUGAUUGAGUUUUGUCCAUUAAUUUGAAAUUUUUGGCAAUUACUAGACUAAAAGAUAAUUUUGCCCCUCAUUUGAAUCUUUUAAGUGUUAAUAUCAUAAAACCAAUUGACUUGUGUGGAUAGAAAAUAAGAAAUAAAAGUUUUUCUAUUUUUUUCAGAAUAUCUCCAUCUACCUGACUCAAACUUGCGCCCGUCAAUUUAUAGGUGCACCCGUGCGGAUACGAAACCCGUUUGUUUUCUCAAAGGUUUAAAAAAAAAAAAAUUGAUUUGGGAUUACUUAGUCUUAUAUGAGUCGAUUACUCCAAUAACAGAUGAAUCCAAAAAUCUUCUCUACCUUUAUCUUGCUUUUUUAAAAAAUCUAAUUUUUGAGACCCCAAGGUGGCAUUUAUUUUUUAAUCUGAAAUAUAAAUAGUUCUGAAUUAGUCUAAAUUCUAAAUAAAAUUGAAUAUCUAAUUCUGAAUGAUUUAUUUUUUGUCUAAAUUGUUAAAAAUAAAUAUUAAUUUUUUUUGUAUUUUUAACUUAAAAAAUCUGAAAACUAAUAUUUUUACAUUUGUGCCUUUACGAAUUAUUAAUGUAAACAAAUAAUAAGCAUAUCAAAGAACUUAAAUAAAAUAAUAUAUUAUCAUGAGAUAAAUCAUGUUCAAUUGAAUACAACCCCUUAUAUCGUAAAUUAGUAUAUGUUAAUCAAUUUUAUUGUAGUUCAUGAUGUUUUAUAUGAAAAUAUUCAUAGGAAUAAUGAAGAUAAAUAAUGCUAAUUUGAAGAAAAUAAAAAAAUAAAAAUAAUAUUAGUCUACCACUAUGCUAUCACAAGUUAUAGAGAUUGGUAAUAAUGCUAAUUAUUAAAUUUUAUUUAAGUAAGGAUGAAAAUUAAUUAAUUAGAUAGGGAUAUUUUGGAGAAUAUCUUUUAAUGAUAUCAUUUAGAUUUUUAGAUAAAACAAAAAGUUGAAAAAAUUGGCUUAAUAACUUAAUGACUUAAUGACUAUAACUUUUAAUUAAGUUAAAGAAAACGGACUUAAUGACUUAUCUGAUUGAAAUUAAGUCAAUUAAAUCAUUAAGUCAAAAAGAAAAAAAAAAAAAAGAGCCCCUAAGUUAAGGUUGGUCAAAUGCUGCUAAAUAUAAUAACAAAAUAUUAUAAGAUACAUAUUUUCUUUUUAAUAAAUUGAAUAUAUGUAUAACCUUAAAACUAAUUCUUAGGGUUAUUUGGGAAUGUUGUAGCUUUUAAAAUAAUUAAUGUUAAUUGUGUUGUAGAAAUAAUCAGUUGUGAAGAGAAUCAGUUAAGUGUUUGAUAAAUUUUCUUUUCAGAAGUACUGUGAGUUUUAAAAGCAGUUAUGGAUGUUUGAUAAAUUUUACUAUUAAAUUGCUAUGAGAAAACAAACGACUAUAAUGUAUAUAAUGUAGAAUAAAAUUUAUUUAUACGUAUAAAAACAUGUACAUAUAAUAUUUUUAAUUGUGUAUUAUAAUAGUUUUUACUAAAAAUAAAAUUUAUAAUAUAUUGAUUUUAUUUUUAUCUUAAAACAAUUGAUAAUUAAAUUUAUAAUAUAGUGAAAUAAAUUUAAUAAUAAUUCGACUAACAAAUUGAUAUUAAUAAAUUGAUAUUGAUGAAUUAUAAUAAAAAUUUAUUAAAAUAUUAAUUCUGUUUCCAAUUUGAAUAAGGAUAAUUUUGGGUUUAGGUAAUAAUUUUAAGGAUAUUUAUGAAAUUGUAUUAAAGGAUUAAAUUGAUUCUCAAAAUCAGAAUCUAAAAGCUACUCAUUCCCUACUUUUCAAAAUCAGCUGUAAGAGGGACUGAUUUUGACAAAAGUGAUUUUAAUUUUCUGUUACACCAAACACUAAAAUUAGAUUUUAGAUUUUUAAAAUCACUUUUAAAUCCCCCAAAAGUAAAUCCAAACGGGCCCUUAAUGCUUUAUUGGAAAAAUAUGUAGUUUAUAUGUAGAUAAUAUAUAUUAUACUUAAUUGUUAGGGUUUGAAAAGGAUUGGGAAAAAAAAUGUAAAUUAAAAGGAUUGGGAAAAAAAAGUCAAUUAUGGAAGCCAUUUAUGUUUUGCAAUUGGCGAAGACAGAAAAUUUUUUUUGGGUGGGCUAAAAAUUUUUUCCAAGUCCAUAUGUGAUCUCAAUUAAAGAUAUAAAUCUUAAAAGGAAGUUUCAUUAAUACAUAAGAAAAUACAUCAUAUCUAAGAAGCAAUUAAAUUACAAUUAAACACUACUUAAGUUGUGCCUUACCAUACUUUCGGGAGUUAAACUCAUAUAUUAUCGAGUAUAGACAUCAUUACCUUUGUUAGUGAAUUUGUGAUUGAUUCUUUUAACUUCUUUUAUAGUUUUCUCUUGUUUCGAUUGCAACGAUUGAACGAGUAUAGACAUCAUUUCAAAAUCAUACUGUAUUGUUGUCCACAAAUUCUCUUUCAAUGUAGACAACAAUACAGUAUGAUUUUGAAAUGAUGUCUAUACUCGUUCAAUCGUUGCAAUCGAAACAAGAGAAAACUAUAAAAAGAAGUUAAAAGAAUCAAUCACAAAUUCACUAACAAAGGUAAUGCAACUGUCAGUCCAUCACUAUGACACAUUGAUAUUAUCCAGAAGUCAGGCAAUAAGUUUAAUUAACAAAUUAACAUUAUAUAAUAUACUGGAUCAAAUCUAUGAUCUACCUAUAUCAAUGAUCAAUUUAGCCAUUUAAAAAUUUGAAUGAUAGAAUUCAAUGGCUAAAUUAUCUUCAUUUGAUCUUACACAAUGAAAUUGGAACAACAAUUAAAGAGUAUGAUUUUUAGUCUUUAUUACCUUAUAAUUAAUAAAUAUAUUGUAAAUGAUUGAAUAAAAAUAAAUCUAUUAUCUAUUCUUACCAAGAAGAAGGCGAAGAAAAAAAAAAAUCGUGUUUGAAAUCUCGAAUGAAGUAAAUGCUCACUAUUUAAAUUUAUUUAUAUGAUGACAAAGUUGUAAAUUAAUAGAGUGGUACAAUUGUAAAUAAGAUAGUGGCAUAGUUUCAAUUUUGUAAAAUUUGGACAGGCUAUAGUCCAUCUCAGUCCACACGUAGCCUUGCCACUAGGGAUGGCAAUGGGGAGGGGAGGGGAGGGGACCAAUCUCCCCGUACCCAUCCCUGAUAUUUUGCGUAUGUCUCCGUCCCCUCCUCAUCCUUGUCAUAAUUGUUUGAGAGAAUCUUCAUCCCCUCUCCGAAUAAUAACAGGAGAUUCCCGAUGGUCCCCGAUCCCCGAAUAACUAAUACAUAUAUUUUUUUUGAGUUAAUUAUAUUAAAAUAAAAAAUUCAAACAAAAGUAAAGUUCGAAAUAUAUUUUACAUUAACAUUGAUCCAUUAUAAAAGUCACAUGCAAAAUACAAAUUAUCAAAAUAAUUAUCUUUGUCAAUCUUCAUAAUCCUACAAUAAAAAGAAAAAGAAUUUACUUUUAUAUCGACAAUAAAAUAAAUGAAAUAAAUGUAGAUACUUAAUUAAUAUUUUUAAUAAAACAAAAUUAAAAUUAAAACAAAAUUUUUGGGCUAAUAAAAUCUACCCGGCCUUUUUAAUGUCCUAAAUAAAAAUUUAAGACUUUAAUUAGUUAAUUAAGCCUAAAAGUUUAAUAAUAUGAAUAUUUUAAUAUUUGUUACUUUUACCAAUAUUUAUAAUUUUAUAAUAUAAUUCAAAUAUUAGUAUUUAUUUACUAGUAAUUUUAAAAAAUAAAAUUAAAAUUAAAAAUUAAAAAUUAAAAUAGGAAAAUAGGGAGGGGAUGGGGAUUCCACAUCAUCCCCGCCCCUUCCCUGAAUAAGAAACUGGGUAAGAAAAUUUCCUCAUCUCUUCCCUGAAUAAGAAAUUGGGUAUAGAAUUAUCUCCGUACUCUCCCCGAAUGGGAAAAAUCCCCGAGGGUACCCGUCUCCGUGGGGAUUUUUGCCAUCCCUACUUGCCACCGGUAUAAACAUGGAGAAUAGUUUAUAAAUCCACUAAGCUUAAUUAAAGUAAAAUACUUGACAUUAGGAAAUUUCCAAUAAUCUUGUUCAUCUUAACCAAAUUCUUAAAGUGAAAAGGAUUAAUGGUACCUUGUGUUAUUUUGCUUUAGUAAGAGAAAGAAGAAAAAAGAAAACAAAUCUCUUUCAUAGGGGCUUGACCAAUUUUUUGUUUCACGCAAAAAUUGACGGCCGUUAUGACCGUAAAUGCCUCUGUUAGACUUGACGGAGAAGUCUGGGGGUUUACGCGAUGGUCAUCAGCGCCUGGAAAUUUUAUGAGUUCAAUUAGUCAAAAAGGAUUGAUCUUCGCCUCAGAUGGAACGACUCACAAGUAAUUCUUUUGGCUCGUACCGUCCACGAAGCUUCAUAUUCCCACAAUGUGUUUCUUUUUUCUUUUUCUUUUUAAUAAAUUAUAAUCAGAGUUUUUGAUGGAAAAUUUUAGAAAUGACCCUUACUUUUUUCGGUUACCCGAAUAGCAAAUAAAAUAUUCCUUUUUCAAUUACACAGGUAAGGAAAUAAAUUUAUAGUCUAGUAUCUACUGUUUGUAACACAUAGCAAAUGAAAUUUUCCUUUUUUCAAUUGCACAAACAUGUAAUUGUUUUGUACAUACCUUUUCUAGCGGCUUCAAAAAGUUUCAAACCUUAUAGAAUCGGUGCCGAAGCUAAAAUCAUUUUUUUGGAUGGGUUAGAUUUUUUUUAAAAAUGAAACUUAUUUCUGAAAUUUUUUUUAUACAAACAAAAUUAAGCACACUAUAAGCAAAAAUCUAACCACAAAACUAAAAAAAAAAAAUACAAUGUAAAUAAGAAAAAUAUUAUCAAAUAUUAAAUUUAUUUUUAUUUUUUUAUAAAUAUUAAAAAGUAAAUUUAUAAAUUAUAAUUUUUUUUUCAAAAAACUGCCCGGGUUAGCCUACCUUUUAACUUUGCCUCUGUAUGGAAUGGGUCAAACUUUGGGUUAGUAUUUUAAUUAAUAAGAAGAUUACUGAUCUUGCGUGCGGUGUGCCCGAUAAACACUGUUGUAAUUGAAGAAAAAACGGUAUUGCUAUUGCUGACUCUUAUCAAAGGCCUCGAUAAAUCAACCAUUUCUUCACAUCAAACUGAGGCAUAAGAAGUAUGGAGCCUAGGUGUAGGAGAGAAAGCUAUAACAUAUAUGACACAAGAUCAAUUUGGAUAGACCUUGCUGAUCAUGUCUGUGAAUGAAGAAGAUUCACCUUGAUGCCAUAGCGGAGCAAAUUAUUAGGAGGCAAGAUGGACAUGUCACAUAGUUAAGGGGGAUUCUAAAUCCCGAAGGGUACAAAAGCCUAUGCUUUGAACCUCAAAGCAUUAGGAGGCAGGAUGGACAUGUCACAUAGUUAAGGGGGGUUCUAAAUCCUAAAGGAUACAAAAACUUAUGCUUUAGUGUCUAACACAAGCAAGUUAAAUUCUGUUUGAAAUUGAGGUUGAGAAACUGUAACUUAAAAACUAAAGCACUAAAGUGUUAGGUAAACACUAACGUUGUAGUUUGGAAGUUAAAUUAAUUUAAUUUUAUAUUUAUAUGAUGAAAAAUUUAUUAUAUCUUUAUUAAUUUAUCAAAAUUAUUAUUUAAAAGUUGUAGUUGUUACAUACUGUUAACUUUAAUUUCUUCAUUAUAGAUUUUUUUUUUUUUUUUUUUUACAACGGUUGUAUCUUAGAAGCCAUAGGACUUCAAUACCAAACAAGACUUUCAUUAACCACUUUAAUAGAGUUAGACUAUCUAAUUGACCAAUCCAAAAAAACAAAAAAGUUUGUUGGUUACCAGAAUUUUACGUUCUGUUAACAUAUAAUUUUUUAAGGUAAAAAAAGAAGGGGUGCUAAUCAAAUUUUUGGGAAAAAAAGAAAAAGAAAAAAGUGCCGUACUUAUCAAAUUUCUAAAUAACCAUGUUGUUAAAUUUAAAUCAUACACUACAAUAAAUGUGAUGUAAAUUAUGUAAUAAAAGAUUAUAGAAAGAUCAAAGAAAUAGGGUUAUAAAUGGGGACUCUACCAUGUUACAAUUGUGAUACCAUAUCACACAGUAUUUAUUUUUAUCCCAUAAAACCGUUGGAUUUAAAAGCAAGUGAUCUGACACGUGAGAGGUAGCCACGUUUGUCUCAAAACAUACCGGAAAAGUCGGUUAAGAAAAGGUAAAGUCACCGGUAGCAAAACUCACAGUUUUUGUCUUACCUCUCUCAAAAUGCACGGUGACUGUACGCAUCGCCAGCUCUCUCAAUACUCACGGUGACUGUACGCAUCGACACCUCAAAAUCUCUAAUGGAGCUUCUCUAUCCUGGCCGUCUCGUCCAACACCAAAAGACCAAGUAUCGCUGGCGCCGUCAUUUGGGUAUAAUGGGUUUCAAUUUUGAACCAAUAGAAGGAAAUUUUGUGAAAGAGAGAGGGGGAGGGGAAUUCUCAAAAAUUCGUCAGCCAUGGAAGGCUUGAUAUUCUUUUCUUAAAUCUUAAAGCAUUUCAGAUAUUUGGGUCGUUGUGAUUUUUAUUUUGUCAUGAUGAAUUUUUUUACUUUGGAUUUGUCUCAUUGAAAGGUUUAUUUUAUUUUUAUUUUUUGUGGAUCAUUGAAGUUGCUAUUUUUGGUAUUAUAAAGAUGGGUUGUUUGCAUGCAUUGCAAGAAUAUUGACCUGUUAUGCCAUGUUUGUCAAUUUCAAUGAAAUCUGAGGAAACCCAUUUGCCUGGUUUGUUCAAGGAGCCUUCAGAUUUGUGAGUCAUUGUGUAGUGGGUUUACAAAAUGGUUUGUUGUUGAAAAUGCUUUGGUUGUGACGGGUGAAAUGGUGCCGAAGAUAAGUUGGUUUGAGCACUGGAGUAAUCCUUUUUUUUUUUAAUGUAUGUAUAUAUAAAAAGGAAGAAAUAUCAAGUUUCAUAUACAGUGUUACUUGUUUUUUAUGGCUCAUACAUCGUUUACAUGCCCUCUUUUUCCUUUCAACCAGAAAAUAUCCACAGCGGCUGUAUAUUGUAUGUGGUUCUUUAGCCAACAACAAUAUGUUAGUUUGAUCAUGGAAGUAUAAAUUGAAAAGUGGCAUAAUAUUUUUGUUUUAACCUUUAAUUACCACUUUUCAGUGAGGUGUCUAUUUUGCUUGCUCGUUCAUUUUUUUAUGGGAUUUCGUGUUUGAUCUAGUUUGACAUGCAUUAUAUACAAUUAUCAAUUUUACCAUGAUUAGAGUUUCAUAAAUUUCUUGAAGUGUUUUGUGUUAGGAUCGGUUUAGAAGUGUUAAUUUGUGAUAGACAGCACAUGCAUGAGCCACGAAGAAUGCAUGAGCCACGAAGAAUGCAUGAGCCACGAAGAUCUGGAAGAAUGCCAAAGCCAAAUCCUAAGUUUGGUACGUGAGGGCAUGAGUCCCAUGCAAGCCAUGCAUGAAACAUGCAUGUGCUGAGAUCGUGAAGAUACGUGCUGGGGCUGGAGCCGUGAUCUAGGAAUACGCUUAUCAACGAUUGUGCAGCGAGUAAGGAGGGAAGAUAAGACACGGAAGUUGUUUUCGAUUAUCUUUCGGUUUCGAAUUCUUAGCUAAGUUGUUAUACUCGUUUAUUUAGCCGUAAUUGUAGGAUGGAAACCAAAGUCUUGUUAUUAUAAAUAAGCUCCAGAAUAUGAAUAAAAGUAUUGAGAAUUCUAAACAAUAAUUAUUUGGUCCUUUCUCGCCAUAAGCAGAAAAAUAUCACUUGUGUUACGCGUGAUCAUUGGCUGUCUCUGACUGGGACCUAUCAAUUGGUAUCAGAGCGGGUUAACAAUGAUGACCAACAAAGAAUGUAUUGAGCGAAUUGAAGUUGAUCUGAAAAGCAUGGAGAGCCGAAUGGAACGCAUGGAGAUUGGGAUCAAUGACAAGCUUCAGCGAUUAGAAGACACCAUCAGCAAAUUAGCAGAAGCUUUCAAUGCAUCCAAAGACACCACUAGCCACGGCACCAACGAAACCAUUGGUUCACCGCAGCCAAUUCGAGAAGAAAGUGAAGGAGUAGUGAAGCUGCACGGUAUGCCCAAGUCAAUCAUCAGCGAUCGUGACCCCAUAUUCAUCAGCAAAUUUUGGCAAGAGUUCUUUAAUUUAUCAGGCACCAAACUCAAAAUGAGCUCGGCGUACCACCCACAAACCGACGGCCAAACGGAGGUAAUUAAUCGAUGCUUGGAACAGUACUUGAGAUGUUUUGUUCACCAGUGGCCGCGAAAGUGGCACUCUUUUUUACCGUGGGCAGAAUUUUGGUACAACACCACAUUCCACGUCUCCACCGGAAUGACUCCAUUCCAAGCUUUGUAUGGAAGACCACCUCCAGCCGUGCCCAUGUAUCAACUUGGUUCCUCGCCGGUGCAUGAGGUUGAUCAAGCCUUACAUUCGCGUGAUGAACUGCUCUUACAAUUAAAGAAAAACUUAGCCACAACAGCUAACAGGAUGAAGCAAACAGCUGACAAGGGUCGCCGCGACGUUGAGUUCACAUAGGGAGAUAUGGUGUUAUUAAAGUUGCAGCCCUAUCGGCAGACUUCAGUGUUCAGAAGGGCACAUCAGAAAUUAGUUUGCAGGUACUUUGGGCCGUAUUUAGUUCUUCGCAAAGUUGGAGCCGUUGCCUACGAACUACAAUUACCAGAGAAUGCUCGAAUUCACCCGGUGUUUCACGUCUCUUUGCUUAAGAAAGCCGUGGGCGAUUUCCUUAGCAACAGCGUCGAUUUACCACCUGUGGAUGAUGAAGGCUCGGUGAUCAUGGACCCUGAAGCUAUCCUUGACACACGUUGGGUGAAGAGAGGAGGUAAAGUGAUUGAGCAGAAUCUAGUCCGUUGGAAAAAAAUGCCGGCUGAAGAAGCAACAUGAGAGGACACCACAAUGUUGCACCAACAGUUUCCCAAUCUGACCCUUGAGGACAAGGGUAUUCUUCGAGGGUGGGGCAAUGAUAGACAGCACGUGCAUGAGCCACGAAGAUCUGGAAGAAUGCCAAAGCCAAAUCCUAAGUUUGGUACGUGAGGGCAUGAGUCCCAUGCAAGCCAUGCAUGAAACAUGCAUGUGCUGAGAUCGUGAAGAUACGUGCUAGGGAUGGAGCCGUGAUCUAGGAAUACGCUUAUCAACGAUUGUGCAGCGAGUAAGGAGGGAAGAUAAGACACGGAAGUUGUUUUCGAUUAUCUUUCGGUUUCGAAUUCUUAGCUAAGUUGUUAUACUCGUUUAUUUAGCCGUAAUUGUAGGAUGGAAACCAAAGUCUUGUUAUUAUAAAUAAGCUCCAGAAUAUGAAUAAAAGUAUUGAGAAUUAUAAACAAUAAUUAUUUGGUCCUUUCUCACCAUAAGCAGAAAAAUAUCACUUGUGUUACGCGUGAUCAUUGGCUGUCUCUGACUGGGACCUAUCAAUUUGUGAAACUUAGAAAAUUUAUUUAUACAAUGCUCUAUAUUCUCUCUUUAUAAUUUGUGAAGAAACAGAAAAAAGAGGGAAGUCGUGUUUGUAUUCUCUGAAAAAGAAAACAACCUGAUCCCACCCUGACCUACCCCCAUCGGCAGCAGUAUGGACCUAUAAAGUUCAUCCAACUACUUCGAUAGAAUUGUUAUUGAACCCUUGAUUGACAUGUUUGACUUUCUGGGUAUUUGUAUUUUUCUAGUUUUUUUUUCUUCUUAUUUGUGCAUUUCUCAUUUAAUAGAAUGCAAGAAUGAUGAUUUUUUUUUCAGGGGCUUGAUAGUGAGCAUCAGCAAAAUCAAGUUACGUAGUUGAAUCAAAGAUAUCGCAGCUAUUGGUUAGCUGGGAGCUGUUUUUAUCUAACCGGCCUGGAAGCUCAUAAUCCAAAUCCAUUACGAUUCAUUGUUUUUAUCUACAUGUGGAUUAAUACAUCGGAGCAUCAGUUAGUUGCUGUAAAUUAGUUUAUGAAUUAUUUAUUGAUUGGUGGAACAAUAUCUAAAUGAAACUUUUGACAAAGACACUCUUCUCAGUAUCUAAAUGCAACUUUAUCUAAACAAUAUAAACAGACACGUUAGUAACUUCUCCAAUUAACUCCACUGCAUGUAUCUUGUCCAUCUUCAACCCUGAAUGCUUAAGUUCACAGAGAUCUUCGAACUUUUGACAGGCAAUGCCGCCCUCAAAACAAACCCCAACCUAUACGCAUGUAAAUAUAUUUGGAUUUAUCAUCUGUAUACAGCAAAACAGAUUUUGCACCAAAAUUGAUAAGUAAAUUUUAUAUAUACUAGCAUCAUGAAUCAAAAAGCAAAGGAAAAUAAGCCAAUAUCAUUUAUUUGUGGGUGUGUGUGUGUGUAAUAGUUUACCAAAUGAAAGCACCAUUAGUAAAUUUGAAAAAGAAAAAAAGGAAAAAGGAAUUUCAUGCAAGAAUUGGAAUCCAAAAUGUAAUGGCUCAGUCAGUCUGGAGUCAUUUUAUUGUCGGUGUUGUAUAGUGCCAUAUUAAAGAACAAAGCACUAGUAAGAGAAAAAAGCAUCCCUCACACAACAAACUCCAUUUGUCAUGUUCUAUAGUUCCCCACCCAUUUAAACAACACAUAAAUUGAUAUAAUAAACUUAAAACUUACCUUAAAGAGUAAAAUCUGCACUUAAACUCCACCUACCUGAAGUCCCUAUCAUCAUAGAGAGAUUUAACUGAUAUUGGUUCCAUUAUGUUUGCACAAAGAAUUGCUUUUGUACAUUUAACUUGCUUCUUCAGUUCAGCUGUAGCCUUGGCAAACUUCCUCAAGUCUCCCCAUUAUCAAUUUGUUUAUUGAGCUCAUCUGCAAAGUAUUCAAGCAACAAUAAUCCAUGUUCUGACUGCCAAGUUCUGCAUCUCAUCUAAUAUCCUUAACCUGCAAAAUUGUCAAAUAUCAACUAGCGUCUAAAAGUAAUUAGAUAUGUAAAACAUAACAAGUGGCACAUAAAGAUUGUAUAGAGCACAGAUGAAGUGAAGAAAAAAUAAUGCUACGGGAAUAAUGACCACUCAACUGAUAUUGCAUGCUUAUAUCGCAAAAUUAUUUAGUCACAGAGUACUACAAAUACUGACAAAUAGCUUAUGGAUCCAUCAUACUGGCUAUCAAAUACUAUUGUGCUAACUAUGUUAUCAUCGGCUUCCAAUGCAUGAUUGCAGCUCUUUAAAUCACUAGAUUUCCGCUUACGAGCCCCCGCUGGCCUCAUUCCUGUAAUGAAAUUACAAAAUCAUUUAUCGUUUCCAAUCUCACAUUCUCUGAAUCUAAUAAAUAAACAUACUGUUCUUGCAAGCUAAUUACAAGUUUUAAAUCUUUUAAAAUAAAUAAUAAUAAGUACGGGUUUUAAUAAGGAAUUAACUACUGCAUCGGUUGAUUCGAUCCGCACAAGAACAGAUCAAAGCGACCCGAAAUUUACUCUGAUUUGAUAUAUACCUUAACUUUCAGCACUGCUUAACUUUCGAUUGUACUUUGCAGCGACGAUUAUAAUUUCACCGUCAAUUGCCCAAAAGUGAAAGGUCAUAUUCGUGUUCUAAUCACCAGAAGUUUUUAAAUCCCACAAAAUUGCAAUCCUCCAAUUCUAAUUUUAUUUCUUAAUUAUUGUCUCGAGAUCAAUUUUGUGCUGAAAUCAGUGAAACUCUAAUCAGUUCUAAGAAAUUUCCGGAACCCGCGCUCACUGAGCUGUUAUUAUAUUAAUACUCAACCGGCUGCAACGGUUGCUAGUCACUGCAUCAAUUAUCCAAUAUUUAAUUUCAGCCGUUAUAUCGAACAAGGAAACAUCCAACGACUUUGUUGAAUGAGGGCAAAAACUGUGAUAUGGUACCACAAUUGUAACGUAGACAGACCCUAUAAAUGGGGUUAUUGUGAAAGAAUAUAGAGGGAGGAAUUCAAGCAAUAAAUAAGAGACACGCCAUACAGCCCAUACCGUCCUUUUCUGUCAAGUUCAUCAUUCUCAUUGGACACAGAGGGUAAAGAAGCAAAAAUGUAUGUAAGACACAUGCAUAUUAUUUAAUUAAACGUGUUAUUUGGCACUUGUUAAAUUGUUCCCUUUGUAGGUCAUUGUGGACUCCAAAUUAAUUGUACGCCUUUUAAACAGAAAUAAGUGCAUUACAUAUUUUUUUUAUCUUUUUUUACUUUAUUUUUGGAUUUUUUUUUUUGGAAAAAGCGAUGACUCAUGAGAAGAGGAAGAAGAAGAAUAGUAGAACACAUGUAAUAUCAGUUCUUUUUUUUUUUACUUUUUACUUCUUUCUUUGAAUUUUUUUUUUUAAAUUUUUAUCAUCCAUUUUGUGUCAUUGGAGUCCAAAAAUAUUGUGCAUAUAUAAAUAAUGCGGCUUCUGAGUUUAUGACAAUUUACCAUGCGUUAAUAACGCUUGAUGAAAAUGUUGCAAUCAGGAUUAUUCUUUUAUUUUGUCAAGUUACACUGUUCAAUGUUCUCACUGUAAGGUUGACUUCAAGGGAUGAAAUCGUUUAGAUUAAAAAUAAAAAUAAAGGAAAUUCAUUCUCUUCAAUUUUUUAUUUUAUUUGUACUAAUGUUACAAAUAAAAUAUCAAAUAAUUAUUGAAAUUAGUCUAUAUUAACUCAUAUACUAGGAAUGUCUAUCUACUUACAUUUUGUAAGGAAAAAGACUCUCCACUUAAUGUAUUUUUCGAGUGCCUGGCUACCUUAUUCCUAUGUGCUUCAGUGGGAUGCAAUAACUUUUGCUGAUAGCCUAAUAGGCCCUACAAAUCAUAAUUUAGCAUAGAGAAAUGUUGUUACAUGUUUGUUGGGAUGAUAAAAAAGUCCGGGCCAACUCUGUUCAUUUCUGUGGACUUUUGCUGGAAUUUCCCACGUGAGGGCUUGGACAAGGGUUAAAGGAAAAAAACUUAGACUAGGUCUAAUCCCUUUAUUUUAAAAAAUAUAUAAAAAUUAAAAUAAAAAUAAAAAAUGGAAAAAUGAAAAAAGAAGGCUUAAAUUCCAAAUUCAUUUAUUGAUAACGAUAAACAAAAAUUUAAAAUUAUAAUACUAAAUUUUUUUUAAGUGUUAAUUAAUUAAGAGAGUACUUGAAUUAGAAAAUUAAAUACUAGAAAAUUAAAUCUCUAAAUUUUUAUUUGCUUUAUUUAAUAUUUUAUUUUGAAAUAUUUAUUUUCUUUAAUUCAUUGUUGAUUAUAACAACUUGAUUAUUAUUAACUCAUUUUAAGUUUACAACAAUUUAAAAAAUUUUGAAAAAAAAAAGUGAAAGCCCAAGCCCGACCCAGCUCCGUAUGGGCUCGGCCCUUACAUUUCCACUCUAAUGGCCUUGGGCUUGGGCUUGAAAAAACCGAACAUGCUCACAUUUUGCUAUCCUUGCCUGCAUGUAAGUUCAAAGUUGCAAAUUGAUGAAGUGGAAAUAUAGAAGAUUGAUAGAUUAGAGAAACUAAGUUUCUUAAUAAUAAAAUUUUAUUAGAAAAGUCUAAAUGAAUAAAACGAUAGCCUACCCCUUUUAUACUAAUCCCAAACAUCGAGAAUUUAUCAAAAUAGUAAAAUUCAAAAUAUUGUUUUAUAAUAAAAUUCUCCUAAUCUAAAUAAGAAAAACAAAACAAACGACACCCAAUUUUAAUAUCUAAAAAAAUAAAAUUCUAAAAAUAAUAUAAAAUAACUUAAAACUGUAAAAAGACCAAAAAAAGAAAUAGAAUUUUUUACUUAAUUAUGGAGCAAGACAAGGCAAGCAUUCUAAGUUUGAUUAGUCUCGUCGUAACUUUUGAAAUGAUAUAUUAUAUGCCUAAAAUGAACAUAUAAAGCCCAAGUUAUAACUCCUAAAAGAUACCUCCUUCAUGAUGAUCCUACGCAACUAUCUCACGUCGAAAAUGAAUGCAAAAGUUACAUUUCAAAUUAAAUUCAAAACAAUCAAUUCAAGCAUUAAUGCCGUGUUUUUUUUAACCAAAAUACUCUCUAAGGAUUUUAUAAAUUGCUUUCUAAUUUUAUUUUGCAAAACACACCAAAUCAAAGUGAUUUUUCUCUUUUCUCUCAAACAAUUUCAACAUUUGGUAAUAGAGCUGAUGACAGGCAUUAGUAAACAAUGUGCAAUAGUAAUGCACAACAAUAUAGAAAAGCAAAUUGGUAAAGUGUAAACUAUGAAAUGAUAAAAUAGAGCCUUUUUUUUUUAAGAUCACAUGUUAAGUUAUUGGCGUAUUUUGUCGGGAUCAUAUACUUUUUUAGAUCUACGUGCUUUUGGUCAAAUUUAGCAUAAUUAAAAGUUCAAAACUGAAGUUCAUAUUCAAUAAUAAUAAACUAAUAAUAAUAGAUAAUGUAAUACUGACUAUUAAUUUAGAUCCUACGAUAUUAAAUUUUUUUUAAUACUUAAUAAAAAUAACAACAAUAAUAAUUUUUUUUAAGGGUUAACUUAAUUGUUAACUUAGACUUACAUUGAGUCAUAAAUCAUAGUUUAUAACAACAUUAAUGCAUAUAUUCAUAAAAAUCAUGAUAUUUAUAAUUUAUUUAUUAAAAUCAUGAUAUCACCUAUUCAUUUAACAAAUUAUAAACAUAAAACAAUUAGAUUUUUUUUAAGAUUAAGAAUUAAAUGAAUCUAAAAAACUUAAGCUAAUAAAAUGCAUUAAAGAUUCAAAUUCAAAUUAUUUGCAAAAUUAUAAUUAUUCGUAAAAUUAUAAAAUUUUAAGUUUACUUUCAUUAAAAAGCUUUUACCUUAAUAUACUUUGACUCGCAUGCUAUUGAUAACGCAUAAGCCACGUGCUAAUCGUCCAGUGAAACAUUUUUAUUGAUGUCCUUUUCACGUGCUGUGUUUUAGCCUAUUUUUAAGCAUAUCAUGCUUUUAAGAUCCACUUGCCUAAAAUUCUCAACUCAGCCCAGCACUCGUGCAUGCCAUGCCUUGUCGCUUACCCUACCAAAACGUCCUUGUGCCGUACCAUGCUGAACGGAUAUGUGUCGUGCAUGUGUCGUUCCACCUGUCACCUGGUCCAUUAGUCAUCUCUAGAAAACACCAUAUAUUUAUUGAGUGUGUUGCAAGCAUUGUGUCGCAAGUUGCUCAAAUUUCCCCUAAACGGAGGCUAAAUUAGCGCGCACGAGUACGGUCAGUAAAAGUCUGCCCAAUAAUGGGAUGCACUCAACAGUAAGGUGCGCUGAGCGAUGGGCUGCCUCAUAUAACUAGUGAGUUAUGGUGCACUUAGUAAGUGAAUAGCCCAUAAUCAACAAGCCUAACUCGAUUUUUAGAUUUCUCUACACCUUGUAAAUGGCUAGAUUUUUAGGCAAGUUGCAUGAACUCUCUAUAAAAUAGGGGUGAGCACCCACUAUUUGCUCACCACCACACCACACACACAGCACCUAGCAACUCAAAAACUCUCGUAAAAAUCUCUCUUAUAAUUUCUCUUUUGUGAGCAAUAAAAUAUUCUUUAGCCAUAUUGCUCUCUUCUCUCUAGCAGUAUUGCAAACAUCCUUACUUGGCUAGUUUGAGAAGCUCUUUAGGCUUACUUAACAACUUUUGUACUAGAAGUUAUGUAAGUACUGCACGGGAUUGUUGCGCAAAAUAGUCAUCUCGUGACAACCGGCUUAGUUUUGCUUUGCACAUUUACGCCCACAAUAAUAAAAGCCAAAAUAAGAUAUAAAAAAAUGUUGGGAUUUGACAUCAAGUAGAAGAGGUUUUGCCCACUCCAAAAUCAUCAAAAUGAUUAAUUAUCUUCUAUAUAACCUGAUGAUUUUUUUAACCUUUGAGAAAGCAACCACAGAGGUGGAACAAACUUCUACUCAUGGGGACUUGACAUACGGUUAAUGAAGAAGGGUAAUUUCGUAAAAUUCCAAUCAAAAUUAGAAAAAAGGCAAGCCAUAUUCAAAAGUCAAUCUUGAUCAAACAAACGGCAGGAGGGACAUCUGUAAUUACGGCAUUUUCGAGGAAUUGUUUCUAAAACUAACUAAAACGGGAAAAUGGAAAGGGACAAACACGAAAGCUCAUAGUUUGCUUGGUUGGGCUAUGUUCUGCUAGUAGGAGAGACAGACUGUAGAAAGGGUUUCUUUUCUCUUUUUUUUUUUUUUCUAAACUCUUUUUUUUUUCAAAUAGACAUAUAGCCACGUGUUGUCUCAUAUAAAAAAUAAUACUUUAUAUAAGUCCUAGGUCAGUUGGGCUGGAAAACAUUUAAAAUCGAACAUAUCAGGCACGUUGUAAGUUCGCAAUUGGAGAAUCAUGUUGUCAGCCCCGCAACCCCCAAAUGGGAACUUUAGAUAGAAAAAUAUAGCGUCGCAACGAUAAUAUUUAUUAAUAAUAAAUUUUCUUAUUACAAUUGUUCUUGUCAAAAACUCUUUGAUGGUAUUUCAUGUGUUGAAAAAAAUGUAAAAUAGUUUCAUUAUCAAUACAAUUAAAAACAUAUUUUUUUAAUAUAUACAACUAAAUUAUCACUUGAUUUGUUUUAAUAUAAUGCAACAUGAAGAACAAAUAUGAAUACACAUACAUUAGGGAAUGGCAAUGGGAAGAAUAGGGGAGGGGACCGAUAUCUCCAUACCCAUUUUCAAUAUUUUGUAUAUGUCCUCAUCUGCUCUCCAUCCCAUCAGAAUUACUUGAAAAAAUUUUCAUCCUCUCUCCAAAUAAUAAGAGGGGAUCCCUGAAAGUCUCCGAUCUCCAAGUAAUUAAUACAUUUUUAAUUUUUAAUUUUAAUUAAUUAUAUUAAAAUAAAAUUUUAAUAAAAGUAGAAUUAAGGCGGUAGCUAGCUACCAUAGAAAAUUAGAAAUUAGGUUUUAUGAUGUUGCCUUAACUUUUGUUUUAGUAGAUAAACGUUUAAAAUAUGUAACGAAUAUUAUAAAUAAAUAAAAUUGAGCCAACAAGAUCCUGUUUGGCUUUUUUUAUGUCCUGAAUAGAUGUUUAAGAUUAUAGCUAGUUAAGUAGGCUCAUUAAAGCAUCUGACAAAUUGUUACAUAAAACCAGGAUAAUUAGAGUGCGAAUCAAAUAACCCAAAUUAUAGAUUCCCUAAUCAAACAAACAUAACAAAAAAAAUUUUGAAAUACAAUUUUUUUUUUUUUAUCAGAAAUGCGCAUUGGCACCAAAUAAAAUUGAGCAAGAGCUAAUGGUGUCCUACAAGUUGACAUGGUCUACCUUUAGCAAGAUUCAAAUAAGAAGGACCACAGUAAACAUAAGAGGAAGUAAUUUAACUUUAUAUAUAAAUCCUACAAUUUAGUUGCAAGUAAAAUAACUCCAAUCUGAAACAUCAAAUGUAUAAGAUUCGUAAGUAAAAAUAGGUUACACGAUUAGUUAUUACCUGGAUUACGUUGUAUAUAUUACAUGGUAUACCUAAUCAGACAAAUAACGUGGACAUGAAGUGAAUAACUUAAUUUGAAUCUUGCUAUUUUAUUUUAUAAUUUUAAACUAAUUAAUUCAUGCACACACAUUAUGUAUGCAUUAAGUGGAUACAAUACAACAGAAGUAUUCUACAAUCUCUUAUAUGAAAGUUCUUAAUUCAUGUACUCUUUUUAGAAUUGACCUUUUCAUAAUAUUAUUUGUGAAGUAUAUUUUCAAACUAAUUUCAGAAUAAUUUUAAAUUAUUGUAUAAGUCUAUGUAUCUAAAGUUUCAAUAAACCCCGCGGAAUUAUAAUAUUUAAUUCAUUUUUUUUUCCUCUAUUGAUAACAUCAUUAUCACUUUCAUAGAGUUUCAAUAAGCCCAGCCGAAUAACCUUUUGUCAACGUCACUGCAUAUGCCCCACCUUCUCCCUCUCGACUCUCUCAAGACACUCCAAAAAAUACUCUAAAGUCCAACAACAUUUUACAAUCUCUCUCGAUUUUUCUCGCUUCAGUUUACCAUCCUCAAACACGAACACGAACACGAACAUGAAUUAAGUUAAUUAGUUUAUGGAACACAAACUCAUCGUCAGCAUCAUAUCCUAAUUGAAAAAGAAGGAUUGCGAGGGAAACUAAGCAUGUGCCUUCAUUUUCACUUGAAAUAAAGCGCGAUGGAAAGAUCUCAUGUUAUCACAUGAUCCCGUGUAAUCACCUAGAAGCCCUUCCACGCACAUUUCUUCUCAAAUUGUCUUCUUCUAAUUUCUUGGGCCAUCGCGGAACCACAAUGUCAAUGCGAGGAUGAGCGAGUGCUGUUCAGCUCGCAGCAUUUGGAGCCGGAGCUCGGCUUCCCUUAUUUGUUGGUCGUUUGGUAGGCGUCGCCAAAAGGCAAAGAGCAUCCUCUGGCGUUCGUGGAGUUGGUCCUCGAUGCGAUCGAUUUCUUCUCCAAGUUGAGCAAGCCUUUGUGCCAUAGCCAUACAAUUAUUUACUUUCGAUCGAGCACUUUUCGUCUGCACCCAAAUGUUUCAUUAAUAUUUUGAAGUAUACACACCUGUUUCAACAACUAUCCGGAUCACGUUAAAAGACAAUUUUACCCUCACUUGAAGUGUAAAAUAACUAACUUGAAGUGUAAAAUAACUAAAAAAGCCACAACACUAGUUUUAAAUUCUAAUUGACCUGGGUGAAUAUUAAAAUUUCUUAAAGGUUAAAAAAAAAAGUAAAAAUGUUUUGUUAUGGGAAUUGAAAUAUCCCCUAUAUCUUCAUCCAUAAUCAUCUAUCCAUGAUAACAAUUUAAUAAACUUGAAAAAGCAAGAUAUCCAAUCCCAAUGAAUCAAACAACCAAUUUUCUUCAUAAAGUUUAGCUUUUGCUUUUAAAAAUUCUAACUCUUGAGACCUUAAAUAAACUCAUAUUCAAAUUUACAUUUUCUAUAAUGAAAAUCUUCAAUUUACCCUUUUAAUAUUUUGAAAAACAGGUCCAACUACAAUAUAAUUGUGGUUUCAUACCUAUUUUUUUUUAUCUUUUUGUGAUCCAACCCAAGAGUUGCAAAGGCUAUUCCAACGGUUUGGAUGUUAUUAUUUGAUUAUUAACAAUAUGGUCUCUUAUGUUUACUAAAAGAAUAAAAAAAGAUUAAGUUUCAAAAUUUUGACCCAUUAGUCCGUUAAAUAUUUUAUUAUCAAAGGUAAUUUAGUAAAUGAACAUAUUUAUAUAUUAAAAAUAUGGAUGAAUUAUUUUAACUUGCUAAAAUACUCUCAAAUUCCAUUUACUUAAAAUAUGAAUUAGAUUUUUAUAAUACUAUUUUGUAUUUAGUGUAACACAAAAUUAGACAAGGUUUUAUAUAAAUUUUGACAAUAUUAAAAUGAAAAAUUAAUAAAUAUUAAAUAAAUGCUUGGAUAGUCAUUUAAAUUCAUUAUAGAGUUUAUAAAUAAUAUUUUCAAAAUAAUAAAUUUCUAUAUGUAAAUUUGAAAUUAUGUAAAAUUACUUAGACUUUAUCACACAUAUGAAGCUGAUCAAUUAUUUAUUUAAUAUGAAAACAAAUGAAUUGUAUAAUAUUUAUUCUAUUACUUAAAUUUAAAAUUUGUUGAGAAGGAGAUAGAGGGAAUAAUUUUUUUUAGAAUUUUAAAAUUAUUAUAUUUUAAUUGAGUUUAUUACAUAAAAUUAUUAAAACUUUAGUUUUUAUUAUUUGUAUAAAACAAUAGGAAUUGUUGAAGAAAAUCCCAAAUAAAUUUUUUAGAAUUUUGUAAUUAUUAUAUUUUAAUUGGGGCUUAUUGUAUAAAAUUUUUAAAACUUAUAAUUUUUUAUUAUUUACAAAAAAUUACAGGGACUGCUAAAGUAAAUACCAAAAUGGUGUUUGGUACAACGGGGUAAGAUAGUUUUACCCUUGAAAAACAUUAAUUUACUUCCAUUUAUCAGUCAAAAGACUAAAAUAAAUGGAGACAUGUGGACGAGAAACUUUUUAACUUUUUAGUGGUAUUUGAUAAAUAUAAAUAAAUUGAAAAUUCUCGUUUUUACUUUUUAUUGGGCAUAAGUUAAAAAUCUUACUCUCUAUUUAUUAUGCUUUAACAAGAGAAAGAAAGAAAACAGAAAACAAAUCUCUUCUAUAGCAGACUUAACAAAAAUUUCAGCUGAGACUUAAACCGACUUUUUCAAGGAAAUGAAAUUAGGAGAACAAAAACACUUUGAAGUGGACUGCAUAUAUAUACUCAAAAAUAACAUACAACUUGAGUCAGUAAUGGUAAAGAAAACGAACGUACACAGACGGGUUUGGAUUUAGAUGAUGAAGAAUGCACUGAAAGCUUUGCAUUUGAGUUCUCUUUUUCGGGUGAGUAAGUUAGGGAACUGCAAGGCCGAUCAAUUUGAAAAAAGAAAAAAGAAAAAAACUAAAAUGUAAACGCAGCUUGAACUUGAUUUCUUUUGGUUUUUGGGGAGGGGACGGGGGGAGGGGAGGGAAUGUAUACGCAGCUUCAAACUUGGUUUCUUUUCGUUUUUUUCCCCGGGGGUGUGGAGGCCUGGAGGGAAUGUAAACGAACUAACGAAGCCUCAAUCCUCAUGCAGCUGUAUUUAUAUGAAGUGGGUACUGCUGACUGAUCCACGAAGGAAGACUUUUGAUGUCAUUGGUGUUUCUUUAUUUUUGACCUUUUAGCUAGAUGACAGAAGAAUGCCGAGUGCUACGGACACUCGCGAGUGUCUCAAUCGCGGCUCUCUAUAUAGACACGUGUCUAUCAAAAUGAAACCUUAUCAGAGAGACAGCCGCAAGUAUGACGAGACAAGCGCGAUCGUAAGGAUGGAAGCCGCAAGUAUGAAGAGACAGGCCCAAUCCACAACGAUCCAAGAGCAAUCAUUACCUGCAAACUCAACACAACACCUAAUUAACUUCAAACCCCACCAUAAAUCCACCAACAGUCACUAUUCGAAACAAAUCUACCUCAAAUGCGACGUCAAAUAAAAGGAAUAAAAAGGUUUCCUUAAAAGAGAGAGAGCUGCGAGUAUGAAGAGACAAGCACGGUCCACAACGAUCGAAGGCUGUGUGGUAUGUGUCUUGUAUAGAUUGAACAGAGCAAUCAUUACCUGCAAAACUGAACCAAACACUCAAUUAACAAACAAAUUUCAAUUUGAAACCCGACCUUAAAUCCACCAUUGGGCACUAUUCGACACAAAUCUACUUGAAAUCCGACAACAAAUAAAAGGAAAAAAAAUUCUAAAUCAACAUCGAAAUGAAACCUUUAUAAGAGAGAAAGCCGCAAGUACGAAGAGAUCUGAAGUCCUGUUGGUAUAUGUCUUGUAUAGAUUGACAGAGCAAUCAAAGGCCGUGUCGACCAGAGCAAUCGCAGAAUAGAAGAGAUAAGAGAGGAAAAAAGAAGGAAGAGGAGAGCUGCAGCAGCAAAUGAUCAGAGCAAUCAUUACCUGCAAAACUCAACACAACACCAAAUUAACAACCAACAUUUCAAUUUCAAACUUAACCUUAAAUUGAAACAAAUCUACUUGAAAAUAAAAGAAUAAGCAACUCCGAAUCAAAAUCGAAAUGAAACCUUUUAUAACAGAGACAGCCGCGAGUAUGAAGAGACAGGCACAAUCUGCAGCGAUCGAAGAGAAAUCACCACUACCUGCAAAACUCAACACAACGCCUGAUUAACAACAAACAUGCCAAUUUCAAACCCACCUUAAAUCCACCAACAGACACUAUAACUUGAAAUGCAAUAUCAAAUAAAAGGAACAAGUAGUCUAAAUCAAAAUCAAAACGAAACCUUAUAAAAGAGACAGCCGCAAGUCUGAAGAGACCAGCACGAUCCUAAAGGAUCAAAGCCGCAAGUAUGAACAGACCUGAUUAACAACAAACACCUGAUUACCUGCAAAACUCAACACAACACCUGAUUAUCAACAAACAUUUCAAUUUCAAACCCAAAACAAAUCUACUUGAAAAAAAAAAAAAAACAACUCCAAAUCAAAAUCGAAAUGAAACCUUAUUAGAAAGACAGCCGCAAGUAUGACGAGACAAGCACGAUCGUAAAGGAUGGGAGCCGCAAGUAUGAAGAGACAGGCCCAAUCCACAACGAUCCAAGAGCAAUCAUUACCUGCAAACUCAACACAACACCUAAUUAACUUCAAACCCCACCAUAAAUCCACCAACAGUCACUAUUUGAAACAAAUCUACCUCAAAUGCGACAUCAAAUAAAAGGAAUAAAAAGGUUUCCUUAAAAAAGAGUCCACAACGAUCGAAGGCUGUGUUGUAUGUGUCUUGUAUAGAUUGAACAGAGCAAUCAUUACCUGCAAAACUGAACCAAACACUCAAUUAACAAACAAAUUUCAAUUUGAAACCCGACCUUAAAUCCACCAUCGGGAACUAUUCGACACAAAUCUACUUGAAAUCCGACAACAAAUAAAAGGAAAAACAAGUCUAAAUCAACAUCGAAAUGAAACCUUUGUAAGAGAGAAAGCCGCAAGUAUGAAGAGAUCUGAAGUCCUGUUGGUAUAUGUCUUGUAUAGAUUGACAGAGCAAUCAAAGGCCGUGUCGACCAGAGCAAUCGAAGAGUAGAAGAGAUAAGAGAGGAAAAAAGAAGAAGAGGAGAGCUUCAGCAGCAAAUGAUCAGAGCAAUCAUUACCUGCAAAACUCAACACAACACCAAAUUAACAACCAACAUUUCAAUUUCAAACCCAACCUUAAAUUGAAACAAAUCUACUUGAAAAAUAAAGGAAAAAGCAACUCCAAAUCAAAAUCGAAAUGAAACCUUUUAAAACAGAGACAGCCGCGAGUAUGAAGAGACAGGCACAAUCCGCAGCGAUCGAAGAGAAAUCAUCACUACCUGCAAAACUCAACACAACGCCUGAUUAACAACAAACAUGCCAAUUUCAAACCCAACCUUAAAUCCACCAACAGACAGACACUAUAACUUGAAAUGCAAUAUCAAAUAAAAGGAAAAACAAGUCUAAGUCAACAUCGAAAUGAAACCUUUAUAAGAUAGAAAGCCGCAAGUACGAAGAGAGAAGCGCGAUCCUAAAAGAUCUGAAGUCGUGUUGUAUAUAUGUCUUGUAUAGAUUGACAGAGCAAUCAAAGCCCGUGUCGACCAGAGCGAUCGAAGAGGAGAAGAGAGAAGAGAGAAAAAGAGAAGAGGAGGAGAACUGCAGCAGCAAAUGAGCAAAGGGAGCUCAAUUUAUAAACGACUAAACGAGGGAUUCCGUUUGCUCAUUUGCUGCUGCAGCUCUGGACCGUUGAGGGGGGACACGUGGAGGGAUCGUGGGGAGUGGUGGAAGUAACUGUGGUUGAGUUAAGGUUGACUAGAGUUAUGUGAGGGAUCCAAGGCUGGGUGUUUUCCUUUUGGAUAUGCGUUUUGUCAGUGGGAACGGCAUCGUUUGUUUGGGUUUAAAAUUGAGCACAUUUAUUAUACGUAGCGGAAUCGUACAAAAAUUGCUGCUGCAGUAUAAAUCUGAAGGAAAAAAAAAAAAAUGGUUGGUAUGUGGAAAUUAUACUUGAAACGUUGUCGUUUUUGGCAUAAUUGCUGUGAUAUAUUUAUUUGUUUGUGUUUUUAUUUCUUUUUUCUGGGUUUUAGGGUCACAAUCGGAGAGCGAAGACAAGGUCUCGUUGGAACUCUCUGAAGAAGUUCUUCAGAGCAUGGAAGUGGGCAUUUCUUUUAGAGAUUAUGUAAGAGAAUCUUCUAUUAAGUUUCUGUUUGAGGAACAUACUUGAUUUGCAUUUUAAAUGUAUCUGUUUGUUAAUUCAUUGUCGUUUUGUGUUGAUUCGUGUUUUAACAGAAUGGGAGAAUUAGUUCCUUGGAUUUUCAUAAAUCAUCGAGUUAUUUGAUGAUGGCUAGUGAUGAUGAAUCUAUACGGCUGUACGAUGUCUCUGCUGCCACGUAAGUUGAUCCUCUGUUUCUUAGGAUUUUAUGUUGUCUAUUGGGAAGUGCUUUUAACUAAGAAAUGGCUUUUGAAUAAGUAUAAAAAGCUGGUUUCAAUCUUGCAAUGUUUGUUUGAAAUUGCUGGAAUAAUAAAGUGUCUUUUGAAAUCAAAGGAACCCUUGAAGUGUUUUUCUAGGGAAGUGCUUGAUAUCUGCUUUCAUGGAUAGAACUUUUUGGAUUAGGAAACCACUUGUAGUGCUGUUUGAAGUAGUGCUUCAUAUAUGUUUGAAAGUGAUUUUACUCGAGGGUACUUUCCAUUAAAGCACUGCUGAACGUAUCCUCUGCGUGUUUGAUGAGCUCAUGAAAGCUACUGUCUUUCUAAGAUGGGGAAAAAUGCUUUUUUGAUGAAACAGAAAAAAAAAAAAAAAAAAAAAAAGGAGAACCUUGGAGUGGUUUUCGGGGCAGUGCUUAAGGGAAAUGUAAUUGAUAUAUUUUUCAAGAACUUUUGUAAAAAGGCCUUUUCUUUUUCUUUUUUGUUUUGUUUGCAUAAGCUCUUUCUAUAAGAGCACUGCCAAAUGCACUCCAGUUGUCUUAGCUGAGCUCAUGAUAGUUGGUAUUGCAAUUGUUGCUGAGAGCCUUAAUUGAAAUUUCAGAUGUUUGAAGACAAUUAACAGCAAAAAAUAUGGAAUAUUUGUGUUUUGUAUGUUGGUGAAUUACUUUACUAGGCACUUAUUUGGUACGUUCAUUUAUUCAGAAUCUCUACGGCUUCUUUCCUCGCACUAUAACAAGUACUUGCGUUACUUCAACGGUCAUCAUAACAGGUUUGUAAUUCACUUAUUCUUGUAAAUAUUUCGUAAUUAUUAUUAUCUGUAUAUAUGUUUUACUGCUUCUAGGGUUGUUUCACUUAGUCUGUGCUCCUCCAAAGAUUGCUUUAUCUCUGGUUCUCUUGGUCAAUCUGUUCUGCUCUGGGAUCAACGGGCUGAGAAAUGCUAGGUGGAUAUCAUGCCAUCCACCAUUUUCAAUUGUAUAUAUGAUCUCUGUUGGCAAAUACGGGCCUUUUGCAUGUUCAAGGAAGGCCUGCUACAGCAUAUGAUGAUCAAGGGCUUGUCUUUGCAGUUGCCUUUGGAGGAUACAUAAGAAUGUUUGAUGCUCGUAAGUAGGAGAAGGUUAAAAUUAAUAUUUAAGAACAUCUUGGAAGUUUAUAUGUCGUACUUUUAUCAUGCACUAAUUUGGUUAAAUUUGGAUACAUCUUCUCUGAUGGUGUAGAUGUAUCAGAUUCUGAUGCUGUAAAGUUCAGCAAUGAUAGGAGACUUAUGCUUCCGACCUCUAUGGAAGGACAUAUUCAUGUGCUUGACUCAUUCCAAGGCACACUUGUGAGUUGACUUUUUCUUUCUUCAUCUCCCAAAUGUAACAUAUCGUACAUAUAUACCCCUCUAUACACUGGAAUCUCUGUUAAUGAGCUUUUGUUUACUCUUGUUUUUAUUUAUCCACUUAUGAUGCCAAGCCAGUUUCUCGCAAUUCCACAUUGGAGGCAUCUUUCAGCCCGGUAGAGUUUCUCCUUUGAGUUCUUAGGGCACAGUGACUUGGAUAUUUUGUUAAUAUUUGCUUUUGGCUGUUUUGAUAUUUUAUAUUAAAGUUCUUGCACUUGUGCUGUAUAUAAUUCUCAAAUUUGUUACCACCUUGUUGGUAUAUUGAAAUACACGACUUGAAAUGUUGGGCAUCAAGCUUGUUUCCGCAGAAUUCUUUGAAAUAAAUUCAUUUUCUCUUCUUCAUUGACUUGGUUUGAAACCCACUCCCAUCCAUGCAAAUCCAAAUGCAUACGUAUUUUCAUCUGGUUGUGCUUAUUAAUAAAAAUAAAUCAAUGAAAUGCUCAAAUAGCAAGUGCACCCACACAUGUGGAAGCAGCCUGGUGCGGCCAAGCACCUCUCAUUCGUUUUAUGUGAUACAAUUGGUUUGUUGCACUCUUUGUGCUAAUUUUACUUUCUCGAUUUUGGAAGGUUCUGAUGAUGGUAGUGGAUAUGCUUGGAGUGUAGGGAGCGGGAAAGGGGUAUGAUAAGCAAAAUUCCUUGAUUCUCAUGCCUUUUGAAUGCUUAGAAUUCAAAGGGAUGUUAUUUCCCUUACACUGACCCCAGUCAUAGCAUUCAUUGUCUUCUAGCCAAACCAACAAUGCUUUUGAAUCUACAUUUGAGCAUUUACCUUAAGCACCAGUUUGCAUAAUGAGUUCUGUAUCCAAAGACUAUAUUCUUUGGAUGUUGGUAUUGUUAUUAUAUAAACAUUGUUUGGUUUUGUUUAUUUUUCUUGUCAGGGUUGUUAGUUGGAUGAGUUUUCAUACAGAGCCUCCUGUCAUAAAAUGGGCCCCUGGAAGUCUCAUGUUUGUUACGGGGUAAUCUGAGCUAUCAUUUUGGAAUCCUAAUGUGUCUAAACUAGGAGCUUACGAUGGGAGGAAGUAAAGUUUCUAACACUCAGCACCCUUAAGUAUCUGAAUAUUGAUGUCUAUCUAUUGCUGGGAGGGGAACUUGUUUGUAAGGAGAUGUUCAAUUUCCUAUAGUAGUAUGUAAAUGCAUCUGACUUACCUGCUAGUAACCUUUCCUAACAAGUUCUGAAGAAACAACAGUAGAUCUGGUAUCAGUACUUUAUUCAGAAGAGCAUUUCUUCUUACAUGCACAGCUAAGAGUACAUGAAUUGAGCUACUGAAGCCCUUCCUGACCAACCUGGCUAAGGCUCCUUUCAGUUUGUCCUCUUCAUGGUUCUUUGGCAGGCAACAGCGUAAGCAAUUACCUGGACUAUGAGGCCUUUUGUAGCGGGGUGGGCACUGCCUAGGCAGUUUUUGAAAAAACUAGGAGCUUUAUUUGUCAUUGACAUUUGUAGCACGAUUAGUUAUUACCUGGAUUAAGUUGUAUAUAUUACAUCGUAUACCUAAUCUGACAAAUAACAGGUUGCAAUCCAAGUUUUGUUGAUCAUGAAGGGUUUGAGCAUGAUAGUCCAUUUAGGUCAUUAGGUCUCCCUCGAAUUGCCACGUACACACUUCAAUCCUCUCAACGAGCGUCCCCGCAACGUCACACUCCACAAUAAUCUGAAAUAAUUUAAAACAAUUAUAUACUUCUGGCUGCUCUUAUCUCCCUUCUCACCAACCGAGUCACUGGUUGGUUACAUUUUACUAACACCGCCGAAUGAGAGAUCAUAAUCCCUAUUACGUGUCCACCCUAACUGAUCACAACAUUGUCAUUUUUUAUCUAGCGUUAGCAACGCGUUGUUCAGUUGUCAUAGCUUCGAAACCGCGUUAUUUGUUUAUACACUACAUUUUUGGACUCAAGGCACAAAAGGGAUAAUAAACAAUUGUUAUAAACAAUUGUUAUAUAGUCUGCAAGGUCCAUUCCAAUUGUGUUUGUGUAUAUAUAUUUUAGCUUUCUCUCCUACACCCAGGCUUUAUGCCUCUCGUGCCUCAGUUUGAUGUGAAGAAAUGGUCCAUCAAGGCCAUUGGUUAUAUAGUCAGCAAUAGCAAUAUUGCCUUUCUUCAACCACAGCAAUGUUUAUUGGGUACGCAGGAUCAAUUAUCUUCUUAGUAAUUAACAUAAUAAUAUAUUAUGUUUGUAAAUGUGUAAAUAAAUUUUAUUCAAUAUUUAUAGUUUUACAACAAUUUAAUAUUAAAAUUUACCAAACAUAUACAAUUGUUUUUAUAACUCACAGCUCCUUUAAAAAUAAGUUUUUGCAAACGUUUAAUUAAUUUUUUUAAAUUGAUUAUUUUUAUAGCACAGCUAACAUCAAUUAUUUUAAAAGCUACAGUAUUACCAAAUUGACUCCUUACUCUUUUUAUUAAAAUUAUUAUUUAAAAGUUCUAAUUGCAAUAUGUUACCAACUUUUAUUUCACAUCUAUAAUUUUUUUUUCACAACAGCUAUAACUUAAACGUCGCAUCAUCUUAAUACCAAAUAGGGCUAUAGUUAUUUGGGACCUUUUUUUUUUCCCCCCCUUUUCCCUCUUCUUUAGCAACCUACAAAAAACACUAGAAAUAAAACAGAAAAAUUGAGUAUGAAAUUAAGCAUUAGUUAAGUAUGAAGUUGGGUGAGUCGAGUAUAAAAUUAAGUACUUUUCUAUAUGAUUUUAAAUAAAGGGUUUUUUAAUAUUUUGCUUUGUGAUUUUGGAUAUAUUUCUACAAUACCAGUAAACUAUGUAAUAAGCAUAUAUUUGUUGUUUUGUUGUGAAUGGGACAUAUCUAGCGCCAUUUGCUCUAGGGAUGGCAAUGGGGCAGAUAUGGGUUGGAUCUACUUUGCUCCAAAUUCAAAUCCAUAAUAAAAAUCAAGAUCCGUAUCUACUCCAGAUCUGUCAUGAAUCCAUAUUUUUUGCUCCAUAUCCAGAUCCAAAAAAGAAAUAAAUAUCUAUAUCUACUCCAAAUCUUAAAAAAAAUUAAAAUCCAAAUCUGUUCUACAUCUGUCAUGAAUUCUAAAACUCAGUAAUAAAAAAUUAAUAAUUUUUUAGAAUGAAAAUUGAAGGCUUAAAUGUAUUGAUAAAAAAUAAAUUAUAUAAUUUUUCUCAAAAAUAUAAUAAAUAUUGUAGCUUAUACUUUUAUCUCAAAACAAUAAAUAAGAAAGAUAAUAAAAUAUCAUUCAAAAGUAAUUGUAGAAGUAAGAUCAAUCUAAUAUUCUAUUGUCUCCUUCAUCAUUCUAAUAUCCACGACACACCUACCAUCAUUUCUACAACAUUAAAUAAUGACAUAUAAAUUAAAUAUGAUUUAUAUUCAGUCCUUUAUUAUUUUUAUUAUGAUCAUAUUUGACUAAAUAUAUGAAUAACUAUAUUUUUUAAAAAUUAUUUGGCUUGCAAUUUGAAUAUUUAGGCUUGGCUGACCUUUAUAUUUACAAAACUAACCUUUAAGUUUUAAGAGUUUAAAUGCAUGGUAAAUACCACUAAUAUGUUAUGAAUAAAAUUUAUUAUUAUUAUAAUUCCAUAAUUGUUAAGAAACUUUUAAAAUAAAAUAAAAUUAAAAGAUGAGUGAAUAUGAAUGUGGAUUUAGAUAUUAAGAUAGAUCCAGACCUGCUCCAGAUCCGUCUUAGAUCCGCACAUCGAUAUUCAAAUUCGAUCCAAAUUCAUUUUAAACUGACCCAAAUCCGAUCCGAUUGGAUUUGGAUCACGUGGAUCUUGGGUCAAAUCCAAUCCAUUGCCAUCCCCAAUUUGCUCCCGUGACUGAUCUUUAUAACAGAUCCAAUUACCCUCAUUAUAGUCUUGAUCGAAAGCUAACAUAGCACAAUUCUGAUAUGUAAUGUGAGUGAUGGGAGAGUCACAAAUUAUUGUAUAAAUUUAUUUUAUCUAAAUUAAUUAGUAUAAAUUGAUAGAAAUAUAAAAUAAUAAAAAUAUAAAUCACGUAGACCAAGGUGUAUUUAAUAUAACUAAUAAAAUUUUACUCGAUCAGUUUAUAUAAGAAUUUGUAAUUUUAUUAUUACUCAUGGUACUUGAACAGUGGCUGAUUGGUCAGCUAGUGGUAUAAGUGGCAACGACCAAACUGUUGAGUCUCCACGUGGGUUUCAAAAUGAGUCAAGAGUCAAGAAAUUAGCUAUCAAGUUAUGAAAAAUAUUUGUAAACAUGUCUUUGAGAUGAUACAUUGUCAUAAUCAACAUCAUAUCCUAAUUGACAAAGAAGGGUUGCAAGGGAAACUAAGCAUGUGCCUUCAUUUUCACUUGAAAUAAAGCGCGAGGGAAAGAUCUCAUGUUAUCACAUGAUGCCGUGUGAUCACCUAGAAGCCCUUCCACACAUAUUUCUUCUUAAAUUGUCUUCUUCUAAUUUCUUGGGCCACCGCGAAACCACAAUGUCAAUACAAGGAUGAGCGAGUGUUGUUCAGCUCGCAGCAUUUGGAGCCGGAGCUCAGCUUCCCUUAUUUGAUGGUCGUUUGGUAGGCGUCGCCAAAGGGCAAAGAGGAUCCUCUGGCGUUCGUGGAGUUGGUCCUCAAUGCGAUUGAUUUGUUCUCCAAGUUGAGCAAGUCUUUGUACCAUAGCCAUAAAAUUAUUUACUUUGGACCGAUGCAAUUCUCUUCUAAAAUUUUCAGGGAACACUUUUCAUCUGCACCCAAAUGUUUCAUCAUAAUUUUAUUGUAUACACACUUGCUUCAACAGCUAUCACGGCUCACUCUUUUUGUUAAAUAUUGUUGUUGCCAUUAAUUUUGACAUCUUUGACGUUAAAAGACAACUUUACCCUUAUUUAUAUUUUUUAAUGCAAAAUUGCCAAAAAAACCACAACACCAAUUUCUAAUUCCAAUUGACUUGUGGGGAUAUUAAAAUUUAAUUUUGGCAUCUUUGACAUUAAAGAGAUAAUUUUACCCUUAUUUAUAUUUUUUAAUGCAAAAUUACCAAAAAAACCACAACACGAGUUUCCAAUUCUAAUUCACUUGUGUGGAUAUUAAAAUUUAUUAAAGGUUAGAAAAAAAGUAAAAAUGUUUUGUUCAAAAUAUCCCCUUUGCCAUCAUCCAUAAACGUCCAUUCUUCAUAACAAUCUAGUAAACUUGGAAAAAGCAAGAUCCCAGUCAAUCAACCAGCCAAAAUUCUUCAUAAAGUUUAGCUUUUCUUAAAAAAUUUUAAAUCUUGAGUUAAAAAUUUUAAUUCUUGAGACCCUAAAUUAAUUGAUAAUGAAAGUCACAUGUUUCUAUAACAAAAAUCUUCAAGAAUAACAGUACAAUGAAAAUCUUCAAGUAAAUAAAAAUCUAUAUUCAUAAUAUUUAUGAAUAAAUUGUAAAUAAUAUAGAGUGGUUUAUAAUUUUAUAGUGUAUUCACUAAACAAGAAUCGAAAUUAUUUGGAAACAUAACGAGUUAGAAUCAGAAUAUAUAGAAUCAAAAUAAGAAAUUGGAAUCAGAAUAAUUUAUUUACUUGAACUGCAGGAAUCGUAAUUAGAAUGAGUCAUUUACAUGUUUACUUUGUCUUAAAAUCAAAAUUGGAAUGAGUUAAAUUGUAACAAAUUACUAUAAAAUCCAUAAUUAAUUUUUAUCAUAAUAAUUAAUUUUUAUUUUAAUUAUUGUGAUUAUUAUUAUUAUUAAUAAAUUAAUUAUUAACAAUAAUUAUUGUUAAUUAUUAUUAUUAUUAAAAAGUUAACUAAGAAUUUAUUAUUAAUUAUUGUUAAUAGAUUAAUUAAUUAUAAUACUUUUUAUUCUUGUUAUUAAUAAUAAUAAUAAUAAUAAUCCAUUUACAAUUUAUAAUUAUAUUUAUAAUUAAGUGGAAAUUAAAGUGGUAGGGUCUCAACCAAAAUGUGGCACGAACACAUUUAUCCAACAGCAAGAUUUUUCGAUUGCCAUCCCCACUAAUUUGGUGUAAUGACUAAGAGUUAAUUGAAAAAUAUAUAGUUUAAUUUUACAUUUAAUUUUUUUUCUUUGUUGUAUUAAGAAUUAAUUGAAAAAUUAUUAUAUUCCCUUAAUUUUACCAGAAUCCCGUUGACUUAGACCCUAGUCUCUUGAUUAAAGCGUUUUCAAGUUCAAAGAUUCAGAUAACUCACUCGAUUAUAGGGCGUCUGCACCUUACGCUCGCGUUUGUUGUGAUGCCAGUAGCUGCUGUGACUGUGGCUGUCGUUGUCGAUUGUACUUGAAUUUUGCAGGAGAGCUUAAUAUCUUGUUUAGUAAUUAAGUGUUGUAUCAUUUAUUGUUAAAAAAUUAUAUUAUAAAAUAAAAAUUAAUAAUAAGUAAUAAAUAUGAUUUUUAAAAAUUAAUUUUCAUUAUAUAUUGUCAUUAAAUAAAUAUAAAAUUAAUUUAAUUUAACUGUAAAAUUAUAAUAAUUAAUAUUUAUUGAAUACUUUAGUAUUAUAACUUUUAAAAUUAUAAUGGACUAACUUCAAUCCCAAAAGAACCUGAAAUGAUUGUGGAGAUCGGGAUUUUCAAUUUCCUUUCUUUUUGGAACUAGUUUGGGAUUGUCCAAACACGCUAUGGUAUGCGUUUGACAUGGAGAAGGGGGGACAAAUCAAUUUUGUUUACUGCAAAACCCUAAAAAUAAUUAGUCAACUUGCGUAUACCCCUUUUGGACCCAUUUUGUCAGGAAAAAGAAAUUGUGGACCAUUUGCACUCUAAAUUUAACUUUAGAUACUGGUAUUUUAAUAAAUUUUUAUAUUAUUAAAUUAACCUUAAUAUAAGGAUCCAGCUACGGUACACAUGUUGUAUGGUAUCCCGCAUUUUGUUCAUAUAUGACUUUGCCUUUAAAUGUAACAUAAAACUUGCAUCAAUUGCAUAGAUGUAUUCUCUUUGGUUAUUAAUAUUGACACUCCUAUUGUUUUUCAAAAAAAUAAAAUGGUGAAAGGUUUGACACAUAAUUUUAGAUUAUUUUUAAAUUUUUUAUUUUUAUCAAUUGAUCUACUUUAUUAUUAAAAUUAAUGACAGUAUAAGAGCAAUAACUUGAAAAAACUAAAACAAAAGGAAUUACAUGGUCACCGUCUGGAACUGGAAAUGUUUUGAGUUUACUUAUCCUUUUGGUUCGCACCGCCCACGAAGCUUCAUAUUCCUACGAUAUGUCUUUUUUUUUUAAAAAUAAUAAUUUAUAAUCUGACAGCUGGAACAAAGUUUCGACUUUCGAGUGGGCAAAACGCAAAAACUACCACGACUACUUGAACAACUUCGUUACAUUUAGACAUUUAUCAUUUAAUCAGAGUUUGAUGAGCAGCGUUGAAGGAAAGUUUAUAGAAAUAACCCUUACUUUUUUUCUAUUUUCGAAUAGCAAAUAAAAUUUCCCUUUUUCAGUUAAACAGUUUCAAGUCUAGUAUUUACUGUUUGAAGGAGAAAAUUAUGGUGUAACGGUGGUACCGUGCUACUGUUGUACUCACCCGUUGGAUCUCAAUGAAUCCACUCAUUCAAGUGGAUUCAACGGCUGAAUGCAACAGUGGCACGAUACCACUGUUGCACCGUAGCCGGACCUCUAUUUCAAUUACACAAACAACAUGUAACUGUUUUAUAUAUACCUUUUUCUAGCGGGUUCAAAAAGUUUCAACCUUAUGGAAUGGCACAAUCUUUGUAUAUUAUUAUUUUAAUUAAUAACAAGAUUACUGAUCCUGUGUGCCCGGUAAACACUACUGUGAUUGAGGAAAAAGCGGUAUUGCUAUUGCUGUUUCUUACCAAAGGCCUUGAUAAAUAAACCAUUUCUUCACAUCAAACUAAGGCACAAGAGGUAUAAAGCCUAGGUGUAGGAGAGAAAGCUACAACAUAUAUGACACAAAAUCAAUUUGGAUGGACCUUGCUAAUCACGUCUGUGAAUGAAGAAGAUUCACCUCGAUGCCAUAGGAGAGCAAAUUAUUAGGGGGCAGGAUGGACAUGUCACAUGGUUAAGGGGGUCUCUAAAUCCCGAAGGGUACAAAAACCUAUGCUUUGAAGCUCACCUCACUAUCUAAAAUCAAAUAUGACUUGAAUGCGAAAUUACGUGUGCGGUAAGUUCUUAUUUGGGAAACUGUGUUGUGCGUCCCACAAACUCCAAAUGGGAGCUUGCCGCAUGUUCAAUCGUGCUUAUAGAGUGUGUCCGCAUGCAUCUAAUUGAGAUCUUAUUUACAGUAUAAUACACUUCUAAAAAUUUAGAUAGCAAUAUAAAACUUUACAACUAUAAUAUUCAUUGAUAAUAAAUUUAUUUAUUAUGAUUGUUCUCGUUGAAAACUCCUCAAUGGAAUUUUAUGAGUCGAAAAUAACGUAUGAUAGUUUAACUACCAAUAUAAGAAAAAAUAUAUUUUUCAAUAUACAAAACUAGGUUAUUGCUUAAUUUGCUUUUAAAAUCUUUUAAUAAUAACAAAAAUAUUCAUAUAUUGCAACACAUAGAGCAAACAUGAAUGCAUUAUAAAAUUAUAGAUUUUAAAACUAGACAAAAGAUUAAUCAAAAAAUGAAAAAUUAGAAUUAUGUAGACUUACAACUUAUGGGUCAUUGUUGAAAGACUAAACAAUUGAUUUUGCUCGAAUAGAAAACAAAAAAAAUAUUAAAGACUAGUCCAUUAACCAUUAUACUAACAUUUUUUAUGAUUGUUUUUUAUUUUAAUAUUUGUUCUCGUGUCUUUAAUUGAAUUUCAUGAAAUGUUAAUUGCUAAUUAAAUUAUUUAGAAUUAGACAUUUAAACGAGGGAUAAUAUGAAAUAUUUUAAAAUUACUAGAGUCACUUUUAAAUUUUACAAUGCAGCUGGGGCAUUUUUCAUAAAUAACAAACAAAAUACAUUUUUUUCAUAUAAUCAUCAAAAAAAAUUUAAAAGCCAGCCAGGGCAUGUGCCUCAGCUGGUCCCAUGCUGAUUCCGCCCCUGUACGUAAGACACACGCAUAUUAUUUUACAAGGUACCACCAAUUUUUGUCUUUUGUGAUGUCAAAUUUCAUUUAACUCCUUAUCUUUUUUGAUUUACGGUUUAUUUAUAACAUUAUAUCCUUUGACAGGUAACUUUUUAAAAUGAAUUUUAUUUAUAAUUUAUUUAUAAGUUUAUAUACUUUGGCUGGUGAUCUGCUCAAAUGUAAUUUUAUUUUAUUUAAUAUUAUUUAUCUUUCUAAAAGAAUAAAUAUACAAUAAGCCUGUGACUAGAUAAUAUUAAAUAAUAUUUUGAAUAAAAUAAAAAUAUUAAAAAUUUAUUCUUUUAAAUAAAAUAAAUAAUAUUAAAAAAUAAUAUUUAUUUUUUAGGACUCACAAUUGCUUAUUCUAUUUUAUUUAAUAUUAUUUAAUUUUUAAAAAUAAAUAUAAUAAUAAGCUUGACUAAAUAAUAUUAAAUAAAAUAAUAUAAAUAUUAUUAAAAAUAAUAGUAAUUUUUUUAGACUCAUUACUGAUUAGUUCAUUUUAUUUAACAUUAUUUAGUUUCAUGAAAGAAUAAAUAUAAUAAUAAGCCUUUGACUAUAUAACGUUAAAUAAAAUCAAAUAAAUAAUAUUAAAAAAAUAUUUUUUUUAUAAAAUAAAUAAUAUUAAAUUUUUAUUCUUUUGAAUAAAUAAAUAUAUUUUUUAAGACUCACAACUGAUUAUUUAUUUUAUUUAAUAUUAUUUAGCUUUUUAAAGAAUAAAUAUAAUAAUAAGUCUAUAACUAAAUAACAUUAAAUAAAAAUUAAAUACUAUAAAUAAUAUUAAAUAAAAAUUAAUUAAUAUUAAAAAUUAUAUUUAUUUUUAAUGCUCACUACUGAUUAUUUUAUUUUAUUUAAAUAUUUAGUUUUUUGAAAGAUUAAAUACAACAAUAAGCCUGUAACUAAAUAAUAUUAAAUGAAAUGAGAAUAAAUAAUUUUAAAUAAUAUUUUUUAAUAAAUAAAUGAUAUUAAAAAUUAAUUUUUAAAAUAAAAAAAUUAAUAUUAAAAUAAAUUUAUUUUUUAAGACUCAAUUAUAAUUAAACAACAUAAAAUUUUAAACAAUUUGGACUUAUGUGCUAAAAGUUUUAAUUAUUUAGCUCUUUUGCAUUUUUGAUAAAUAGCAAGGAGCAUAAUGUUAAUAUUUAAAUAAACGAUUCACUACCCUUAAAUCUAUCUUUUCAUUGAAUCCAAUGAUCAAAAAUUAAAACCAAUGACCAAGAAUUGAAACUACAAAAAAAUAAAAUCAUAUGGUAUCUUACAACUGUUGUAAGAUAAUUGAGUCUUUUAAUUACACGUGUUAUUUGGAACUUGUUAAAUUGGUCCCUUGUGGGUCCUCGUGGACUCUAAAUUAGCCGUACACCUUUUAAAUAGAAAUAAGUGCAUUACAAUUUUUUUCUAUUUUACUUUAUUUUUGAAAUUUUUUGGAAAAAGUGAUGACUCAUGAUAAUAGAAGAAGAAGAAUAGUAGGAUACAUGUAAUAUCGGUUUAUACUUUAUAUCACUUUUUACUUCUUUCUUUGAUUUUUUUUAAAUUUUUUAUUAUACUUUUUUGUGUCUUUGGGGUCCAAAUAUAUUGUGUAUAAAUAAAUAACGUGGCUUCUGAGUUUAUGGCAAUUUACCAAGCGUUAAUAAUGCUUGAUGAAAAUGUUGCAAUCAGGUAGGGCGGACACAUAUAGAGAUUAUGAUCUCUUAAUCAGCGGUGUUCGUGAAAUGUAGCCAACUGCUAAUUCGGUCGGAGACGAGGGAUAUCUAGUGCAACCAGAAGUUCAUAAUUGUUUUAAAUCAUUUGAGAUUAUUGCGGAGUGCAACGUGUCGUUUGUUAAGAGAAUUAAAAUGAGUCAAAAGGUUUAAGAAAUAAGCUUUGGCUGCUUGGAAAAACCGCUUUCGAGCCUCCACAAAGUAUUGUAGGGCUUAAAUUCUUUUCAAUUAUGAAUAGUAAUUAAGUGAAGACAGUUUUCUUUUCAAUAAUUACCUAAUUAUAAAUUUAUCAGUAAAAAUUUCAUUUAAUAUGAAUUGUAAUAUAAGAAAAGAAAAAAAAAGUAUUCACUUAUGAUAAUAUUCUUAUUUGUAAACGUGUCCUGAGAAUUGAGAUGAUACAUGAUCGUCAAUGUCAUAUACUAAUUGAAAGAGUAGGUUUGCGAGGGCCUGCCGUGCUAAGCAUGGGUUUUCAUUUCCCUUAACCGCUUGAAAUGAAGCAUGAGGGAAAGAUCUUAUUCCACCUAUGUUUUAUUAUUAAUAAAUAAUUUUUUUUUUAUCUAUUAACCAAUAAUUAUCGGAGCGAGUUUUACUCAAGAGAACUUCAAUAAUAAAAAAUGUUUGAUCUCACUGAAAUGACAAGUUAUUUAAGGUUAUUGAAAAUCUAAACAAAAAUUACUUUUAGGAAAAUGCUAAACGAAGAGAAUGGCGUGAGAACGCAACGUGAUAAUAUUAAAUGUAUAGUAAAUGUCAACUUUUAGCAUUUUCUCUUUCUCACCACGAGUAGCUUUUGCACGACAGAAAAACAAAACAACGUUCAUCACAAAGCUAAUUUUUCUCUCACCCAACGUGAAAAUCACUUUGGCUCAUUUAUUCACCAACGACCACCGAAUAGAUCUAGAGUAGUAGCAAGUGAGGGAGAGGAGUAGUAGAUCUGGAGUACUAGCGAGCGAGAGAGAGGAGGAAGAGGAGGAGGAGUAGCGAGUGAGGGAGAUGAGUAAAUCUCAACAUUAUUUUUUUCUUUCAUACUAGCCUUUUAAGGUUAUAAAAUUCUUUUGUUUUUAUUAACAAGAAUGCUGAAAGCUGCUACUGAAAGAAACGACAUUACUGUAUGUCAUUUCUCUCGGCAUUCUUGGUAAUUAAUUUAUAUUUGUACCACUCUAUUAAUUUACAACUUUGCCAUUCAUAUAAAUAAAUUUAAAAAAAAAAAGUAAAAUCUUAGGUCCAGCCUGAAUGGGCUCACAUUUAGCACUACUCUUACUUUUAUGCUAUCGCAUGAUAUCGUGUAGGGACGGCAAAAUACAGGUUUGGUCUAAGCUUGGAAGGCCAAGCCCAUUUCACGAGAGGCACAACAGGCUAGACUGGUCAAGCCUAAUGUGAGCCCAUUCAGGCUCAAGCUGGACCUAAGAUUUUACUUUUUUUAUUUUUUUAAAUUUAUUUAUAUGAGUGGCAACGUUAUAAAUUAAUAGUGGUACAAAUGUAAAUAAAAUAGUUGAUUUUUUGUAAACUUUGCAUAAUGACAAUUUUGUAAAAUUUGGACAGGCUGUAGCUCAUCUCAGUCCACACAGCCUCACCACUAGGUAUAAACAUGGAGAACAAUUUAUAAAUCCACCAAGCUAAAUUAAAGUCAAACACUUGACAUUAAGAAAUUUCUAAUAAUCUUAGAAAUAAACUAGUCGAUAAUCACUUGAGAUCAUUUCCUCACCCCAUAAUCCAUCAAUUAACUGAGAAAUGACAACUCACCAAUUAGUUUUUCAUCAGAACUCAUAACACAGAACUUACCCAUUCACAUAAUAAAAACAUUGACAUUAAUGAGAGAGUAGCUUAAUCAAAUAAUAAUCCAUUAAUAAAAUGAAAAUUAACAACUUGUACCUUCAUAGAUGAUUCUUGUGCACUUGACUUUCUAAGUAAAGAACGUCACUAUUCUUUUCAAGAAGGCAGCCACCACAAAGCAUAGAAGCUUCUUCAUAUAAUAGUACAACAAUCAAAACCUGAAACAUACGCAUCAGUAUUAAUUUAUUAUAAUUUAGCAGCAGUAAAUAUUUUUUUUCAAAAGUUAUCUGCAGUAAAUAUAAGAAUAACAAAGAAUAAAAUCUUAGAUCAACAACAGAGAACCUAAACUCUACAACUUGCUUGAACUACUAUCAACAUCAUACCACAUAAUCAAAUAGACAAAAUAGUGUAAUAUAUAAUUUGUAUUGACCUCCAUACUAUCACGUAAAAAAUAUUGUAUUAAAAACAAAGGGUAAUUUUUAGGGACCUCCCCUGAGGUUUACCGUAUUGACACAUAGAGAGAAUGUAUCCACGUAAUUACAACCACCUCCCCUCCCGUUAGUAUCCGGUUAGUUUGACUGUUAGUUGACUGUUGAAAUUACUAAAUUACCCUUCCCGCCAAAAUUAUAAGUUAUAAAAUAAGAGAAGAGAACCGAUAAGUAAUAAACUUAACGCUAGAAUCACAAAAGCUAAAAAAAGACCAAAUUACCCAUCUAUGUGAUGUGAUUUCAUUUACAUUAUUUGUUAUUAAAAAAACAGAAAAAAUAAAUUAAAGCUGCCAUUAUUACCGUUGUAAGUAAACGGUAAUAUUUUGAGUAGUAGCAGCAACUAUAAAAGGCCUGGGCAAGUUAGCAAAUGACCAUAGCAGAAUUUCAUCUUCAUCUUCUUCUUACGAUUUUAAGUCAUCAUCCAUUCAACUCUUGAACAGAAGCACUCAUCAUCAUCAUUAAAAGCAUUCAUCAACUCAUCAAAGGAAGCAUUCAAUUCACGACAACAGAAGCAUUCAUCAUCAGCAUCAUCAGAAUCAUUCAUUUAGUUCAUUGACAAAAGCAUUUAUUCAUCAAUUUAAGCAUUCAUCCAACUCACCAACAGAAGCAUUCAACAUAAUCAAGAUCAAACACUAUCUCAACCACAUGGAUUCUGAAAGCUCAAACACAUCCAGCCGAUCAAAUACACAACCAAUUUAUGAGCCAACUUGGAGGAACUUUGUUAAUGGGAGGCUGAUUAAGUUUUCAAAUCGAAUAUGUAGAUGUCGUAUGAGAGCCAAGGUGAUGAUAUCUGAAUCGGAUGAGAAUCCUCACAAGCUUUAUUAUAGAUGCCCGAACAUAACAACAUGCGGAUACUUCAAAUGGUGGGUUCCAGCAAGGGAUGAUUUCAACAAUGGAGCUGUGUUUGAGGGGAAUUUAAGUGCUAUUGUGCAUCAUGAUACCCUAAAUGCUAUUCAAUCAAAUCUGAAAGAAGUGAAGACUAUUAUGAAGAAGCUGCAAAGGUCAGGAUUUGGUGAAGGUGUUGUGAAGAUGAUUAUGUACUUGAACCUAGUUAUGUUUGUGCUGAAUUUAAUUAUGCUUAAGAACUAAUAUGCCUAAGCUAUCCUAUGUUUGCAGAAUGCAGUGAAGUGUAAAAUAUAGUGAUUUUUCUGUGUAAUGUAUUAAUGGAUAAAAAAGAUAAUGCAUGUGACAAUAAUCUAUUAUACAAACUGAUAAUAUUUAGCAUAGUAAGCGAAUAACACAGCACAAGCUCCUGUCCAUAAUUCAGCAAGCACACACAAUAACAAUAAUUUAUAAUUACAAGCUCUUGUCCAUAAUUCAACAAGCACACACAAUAACACAGCACAAGCUCCUGUCCAUAAUUCAGCAAGCACACACAAUAACAAUAAUUCAUAAUUACAAGCUCCUGUCCAUAAUUCAACAAGCACACACAAUAACAAUAAUUCAUAAUUACAAGCUUCUGUCCAUAAUUCAGCAAGCACGCACAAUAACACAACACAAGCUCCUGUCCAUAAUUCAAUCCUUAAAUAGAAUUACAACUAGUAAAUCCCUGAGCAAAAGUAUAAUAACAAUUUCAAGCACAUAACAAGCUUUUGUUAAAACUAACACUAUGAAGCACACACAACAACUCCUAUCACACAGGACAGCCGGUAAAUCCCUGAGCAAAAGUAGAGAUACAAUACAAAUUCAUUCUCAAACUGACAGUAUCAAGCACAAUAAACACAUACAGCAAGUCUCACUUUGUAAUAUCAAGCACAAACAAAGCAAAUUCUAUUGUUUCAAGUGACAGUCGCAAGCACAACAAACACACAAAGUAAGAAACCACGGCAGUAACUAAGUAAUGAAACUACAUAAACUAAAAUCAAUAAAGAACUAUGUAAUAAAACUACAUAAACAUUACUUGUGACUAUAAAUUAUAAAUUCAAAUGCAUUCCAGCAACAAUAAAGUGUCACAUGUCAUUACUGUCGCUACAUUAAUUUUUUCACCAGCUACCACAGCCUCUAUCUCCAUGUAAACAUGACUGCAAGUUAUAAAUAAUAGCACAUGGUAAGCAAAUAACAGCAAAAUCGUAACUAGAAUUGUAUAUUUAUAUAAUAAGAAACAAAUGUAUAUUUAUAUAAAAUUAAUAUAUCAUAAGGGAUGUUAGCAGAUGAACUUUAGUUGACCCCAACCAAAUUAUUAAACUGCAGUUAUCAUUAAUGCAUGCUUGGGCAUUUACAUGCCUUUCGAAAGUUUGUUGCAGAUGGUGAUUAUUCGAUCAUGAGUUGAAACACUUAUAAAUCCAUAACUAAGUUCAUCUACUUGCCAGAAAUCAUUUUGAUUGAUUAGUAACUUAUAACAAGCUUAAUUAACACUAACAGGGGAUGUGGAUGCUCUUUAAUCUAUAUAUAAAUGGGCAACUCAAAGUUAAAAUUUCAUAAAAAAAUCCUCUCAAAUUUGUCGGCUGAAUUAAUUUCAACAAAGUGGUCACUCGUAAAAUUAGAGACGGCCUUAAAUUUACAGUGACAUGUGCAUGCAAAGAUCUUUUAAUCUUUCUUUGAGCUGGGCUUUUAAUCCAUUGAUUGAACAUGGAAUCAUCGUCAUGCUUUGCAGACAACUUUACAAUUUCUUUUUCUUUAUUAUUUUUUUGAGUCUCAGGGUUGGUGGAAAUUGAAACGAAAAACCCAUUUUCAUUUUUAUUAACGCAAAAUCGUCCCACUCAUCUAUUGCAUCUGUUGCAUCUGAUUUAUAUCUUUAAAUUGUAAUAAAUGAGGAUUACCUCUUUUUCGCACCAAUUCCAGUUGCGAUUGAAGGCGUUCGUCGCCGGUACUUAGUUCGUUGCGCACUUGCGCCACCACCAGAGCUCAUCUCGUUACCUCUUUUUUGCACCAAAUCCUUAAUGAAGCUCUCCUUCACAGCUACAUAAAGAUGAAGAUGUUGUUCGGUGUUGUUUACGUGAAAGAGGAGGCUAAGUGUAACAUUCAUUUCGUGAAAAUUUUUAUUUGCUUUUGUCCACUGGUUAUUGCAGAGCACUGGUUAAUGGAGUAAACUCUUACAAUUUUCUCAGGCGUUCAUCCUCACAAAGCUGCACUUUUGAAUUCUUUUGAAUUUUAAAAGGCAAUUUUACAUAUUUACCCUCACAUACUGAUGCCAUACGUAACCGGAUACUAACGGGAGGGGAGGUGGUUGUAAUUAUGUGGAUAUAUUCUCUCUAUAUGUCAAUACGGUAAACCUUAGGGGAGGUCCCUAAAAAUUACCCUAAAAACAAAUUAUAAAUUGUUUAGUGAUCACAAUGGAUCCUGGAAAUGACAACAACUACAUUAUUAUAAUGAGUUUGACAUGUCAUUGUACAUGGAUUCGUUAUGAUGAAUCAUGAAACACCGUUGAGUAGUUAAUUCAGCCACUUUUCACCUAUAAAUUCGAUGGCAUACUUUGAAUACACAACAUGGUUAUAAAUAAAAAUUUAGAGAAUUUUUGUGGGAAAGAAUAAUUUUAUUGACAAAAGAUUAAGUACAAAAUUAUAACAUCUCCAUUUUUAAUAUAGCUGACAUAAGUUAUUUGAGUUAAAAAAAAAAAAAAGAGGGAACUUAGAUACGCCAUAUUAAAUAGGGCAGUAAUAAAAAAAAAUCUAAUUAACAAAAAUUAUUUGAGCAAAUGACAAAUAUUCGCUAAGAAACUCUUUUUCAUUUUUUUCCCAAAUAAUAAUCAAUGUUUUUUUCCACUACGCAUUGAAAGAGCUCGCAUCGACAUCAAUCAUGAACCAGUCGUGGCCUAUAUUGCCUGCAUUAUGAAUACCACCUAUGACCUUUAGAGCCUAACCGUUUAUCUCAGUCUAUUUUUAAUACUCAGUCACAGGUCCAGACCAUUCAAGUUCAGGACAUGACCCUACUAGUCCCAUUAUAUAUCUAUUUAAAUUUCUUUUUUUUAGAAUGUCUAUUUAGAUUUCUUAAAUUUAAAAAGCAAAUCAACAUCUAGCCCUUAAAAAAAAAAAUCUAAAAUCAACAAAGCUAUUAUUUUGAAGAUAUUUUGAAUUCCAAUUCCCAAUUAAAAUCAUGAAUAUAUCAGCUAUAUCAUAGCAUCAGCAUAACUAGUAAGUGGUGACAUCAAAUUUUCAAAUAUUUGGAACUGGAAGCAAAUAUCUAGUUAAUGAUUAAAGUAGCUGACGAAUAAAACCUCUUGUAUUAUCAUAGAGGCUGCCCCAAUAGCUUGCAAUAACUAUGGAUGGUGCAGUAAAGUUUCAGGAUAGAUGAAUAAACUAAAAAGCAAAAGAGAAAUAUCAGUUGCAGCAAGAACUACGUCAUCUCCACCUCGAUUAUUAUUCAAAUAUUAACACCAAAUGGCACUGAACAGCACAAGAGGAAGCAUCAUCCAUAUUUUAAAUGUAUCUGAAUAGCAUAAAUAUGAAAAUCAUUGCAGAAAGUAAAAGAAAAGAAAAAAGUAAAGAGAAAUUUAUCUCACAGCAUUCCUAUUAUUAAAAAUGUGCUCCGAGAUAUAACUUCAUGCACAUUCAGAAGUUCUCAGGCCAAAGAACAUUAUAGCAACUACAAAAACUCAUGAGCCGGCAGGUCUUGUCCCUGUACAAGGUGAAACAACUAAAAUUAUGCUUUUAAGAACUUUGCAAUAACUAAAAUUAUUACUCAAUACAUAUAGAAAACUUGGGCUCUGGAUACCUAUUUUCCCAAAUCUUGGGGUCUGUUCUUUUCUCCUAAUCAGUGAGGUGCAUGUAAAAUAUAUAUACACAGAGAGAUAGAGAGAGAGAGAGAUUAAUUAGUAUACAUUCCAUUGGUAGAGUUUCUAGCUUAGAAUUUAUAUCACAGGAAUUGCAUAUUGAAUUGAAUACAUAUGAGUGUGUAUUUUUAUUGCGGAGUCUAAUGAUAGAAAGCAGGCUUCAUUCAUUUUCAACAACAAGCAUUGCAAAGUUCAAAAUUUAUAUCACGGUUCAAUCAAUAGGGGAAUUCAUUUCCCAUCAAAACAUAGCAUGUGACAAGAAUGAACUCUAUAUAUAUGUAUAUGUGUGUGUGUGUAUAUAUAUAUAUAUAUAUGUAUGUAUAUAUGAACACAGGAAGAAAAUUAUUUCUAUCUGAAAAUCGAGAUCACUCAACCAAACAAUGGUACCUUCCAAUCUACCUAGUGUAUGUAUAUAGGCAUCCACUGAUUGAUACUUUGAAUUUAAUUAAUAAAUCAACUUCAGGUGUCAUGUUUCCACAUUAAAUAGAGAGAAUAACAAUUAACUAGAUAUGACAGAACUGGUUAAAAAUUUGCUCAAAAUAUACUAAAAAGAUCAAAUUUUAUUAUUUUUUACCUGCUUUCAUGUCUCUCCAAUGUCAGAUCAUGUCCUCAAGCAACUCUUUCGGCUUUCUUCGCCCAUUUUUCUUCUUUUUACAGCAUGAAGCUAAUACAAAGCCAAAUGAAAAAGUAGAGUAGUCAUUUCAAAUUCAAUUUAAUUGUCAAUUGAAAAGUUCAAUUGUUACCUUCGUCAACUGUAGAAUCAAUAGUUAAUGAAAUAUACAAUGAGAAGAGUAAAUAUUAAUAACGCACCAAUAUUACAAAUCAAUAGCUAAGGAUCAAGUGAAAUUUCACCUGCAAAUUAGGACAGCCGAGGAAGCAUCCAUAAACAUCGGAAUAAUUAUAUCACUGAAAUUUCAUUAGAGUAAAUUAGGACAGCAGAGAAAAAAAUAAACAAAGCAAUUUGCAAAGGACAAUUUUUCACCUAAUUUUUGUUAAAAAUAUCAAAAACUAAAUUGAAUUUUUUGGAGAGUAAUCAAGUUAUUUAUUUAAAAUACAUUUUUAAAUAUUUUUUUUAGAGUUUUGAACAAGACAAUUUUUUGAUAAUUGAAAUCAAGUACCAAAAUAUUUUUUAUACUGUUUUAAUUUCUCACUAAGAGUUAACUACGUAUUUUUUUUAGCACUGAUAUAUUAAAUAUUAUCAUUAAUAUACUUAUAUUUAUUUAAAAAAAAUCAAAACGCUAUUUCCUUAAUAUCAUUUAUGCAACAAAAUCAUCAAGGGAGCUUCUGUCUUUGUACACUAAAAAAUUAUAUAUAGUUAAUUCACUUGGUCAAAUAUCCAAAUAGUUGAAGUUAGUUUUUAUUGUUUAUUUGGUAAUGAAAUGGGUGCUAAGUGAGGUCUGGUAAAGCCUGAAGGAAUAAAUAGUGAUUUUAGAUUCAUGUGGGUGCUUUGAAUUAAUCAUUUUGUCAAGUUUCGCACCACCGACCCCAUUAAUUUCUAUCCGUUGCAUUUCAGUCAACAAAGCCAACGAAUAAUAGCUGCGGGCUGUCACAAUGCCUGUCAGUUACAGUGUUAUAUAACUUAGCCGCGGCCUUAGUUAGACUCAGUUCGAGCUCGUCUAAAUUUGGAGGGGCUUUUGGAGGGUUUGGGCCUGCUAUCAAUAGCUAAGGCUUGACCUGAGCUUGAAAAAGCCUAUCCCAGACUCUUAAUUUGCUAUCAUAGUUAGAAAGAAAUCUUUUGUAUGUCGAAAGAUUGGGUCCAGUUAUGUUACAACAGUGGUACGGUAUCACUGUUACUUUCAGUCAUUAGAUCUUAUUAAUACAACUGUACAAUUAUAGAUCUAAUGGCUAAAAGCAGCAGUUGUACCGUACCACUGUUGCAACAUAGUUUUGGCCUAAAAGAUUACACAAGUGGUGGAUUUUUGUUUCUUGACUAAUGUCUUUUUUGACCAUUUUCGUAUUUUGGUACAACUCAGAAGCGUGGCGCUUUACUCAGAUACUUAUCAUUGUUUUUUAUUCUUUUAUUUUGUCUAAGUUAUUACUGUUCAAUAUUCUCACUGUAAGGUUGACUUCAAGGGAUGAAAUCGUUUAGAUUAAAAAAAAAUAAAGGAAAUUCAUUCUCUUCAAUUUUUUUUUAUUUGUACUAAUGUUACAAAUAAAAUAUUAAAUAAUUAUUGAAACUAGUCUAUAUUAACUCAUAUUCGAGAAAUGUCUAUCUACUUACAUUUUGUAAGGAAAAAGAUUCUCUCCACUUAAUUGAAGAAACAAUUCACCACGGAUGCAAUAAUUAUUUCUUUAAUUUAAUGUAUUUUUCGAGCGUCUGGCUACCUUAUUCCUUUGUGCUUCAGUGGGAUGCAAUAACUUUUGCUGAUAGCCUGAUAGGCCCUACAAAUCAUAAUUUAGCAUAGAGAAAUGUUGUUACAUGUAGGGAUGAUAAAAAAGCUCGGGCCAGCCUUGUUCAUUUCCGUGGGCUUUUGCUGAAAUUUCCCACGUGAGGGCUUGGACAAGAGUUAAAGGAAAAAAACCUGGACUAGGUCUAACCCCUCUAUUUAAAAAAUAAUAAUAAUUUUAUAAAUUAAAAUAAAAAAUGGAAAAAUGAAAAAAGAAGGCUUAAAUCCCAAAUUCAUUUAUCAAUAACGAUAAACAAAAACUUAAAAUUAUAAUACUAAACUCUUUUUUAAGUGUUAAUUAAUUAAGAGAGUACUUGAAUUAGAAAAUUAAGUAUUAGAAAAUUAAAUCUCUAAAUUUUUAUUUGCUUUAUUUAAUAUUUUAUUUUGAAAUAUUUAUUUUUUUAAAUUCAUUGUUGAUUAUAACAAUUUGAUGAUUAUUAACUCAUUUUAAGUUUACAACAAUUUAAAAAUUUUGAAAAAAAAGUGAAAGCCCAAGCUCGGCCCAGCUCCACAUGGGCUCGGCCCUUACAUUUCCACUCUAAUGGCUUUGGGCUUGGGCUUGAAAAAACAGAACAUGCUCACAUUUUGCUAUCCUUGCCUGCAUGUAAGUUCAAAGUUGCAAAUUGAUGAAGUGGAAAUAUAGAAGAUUGAUAGAUUAGAAACUAAGUUUCUGAAUAAUGAAAUUUUAUUAGAAAAGUCUGAAUGAAUAAAACGAUAGCUUACCCCUUUUCUACUAAUCCCAAACAUCGAGAAUUUAUCAAAAUAGUAAAAUUUAAAAUAUUAUUUUAUAAUAAAAUUCUCCUAAUCUAAAUAAGAAAAACAAAACAAACGACAUCUAAUUUUGAUAUUUAAAAAAAUAAAAUUCUAAAAAUAAUAGAAAAAUAGAAAAACAACUUAAAACUGCAAAAAGACCAAAAAAAGAAGUAGAAUUUUUUACUUAAUUAUGGAGCAAGACAAGGCAAACAUUCUAAGUUUGAUUAGUCUCGUCGUAACUUUUGAAAUGAUAUAUUAUAUGCCUAAAAUGAACAUAUAAAGCCCAAGUUAUAACUCCUAAAAGAUACCUCCUUCAUGAUGAUCCUACGCAACUAUCUUACGUCGAAAAUGAAUGCAAAAGUUACAUUUCAAAUUAAAUUCAAAACAAUCAAUUCAAGCAUUAAUGCUGAGUUUUUUUAACCAAAAUACUCUAAGGAUUUUAUAAAUUGCUUUCUAAUUUUAUUUUGCAAAACACACCAAAUCAAAGUGAUUUUUCUCUUUUCUCUCAAACAAUUUCAACAUUUUGUAAUAGAGCUGAUGACAGGCAUUAGUAAACAAUGUGCAAUAGUAAUGCACAACAAUAUAGAAAAGCAAAUUGGUAAAGUGUAAACUAUGAAAUGAUAAAAUAGAGCCUUUUUUUUUUAAGAUCACAUGUUAAGUUAUUGGCAUAUUUUGUCAGGAUCAUAUACUUUUUUAGAUCUACGUGCUUUUGGUCAAAUUUAAUAUAAUCAAAAGUUUAAAACUGAAGUCCAUAUUCAAUAAUAAUAAACUAAUAAUAAUAGAUAAUGUAAUACUGACUAUUAAUUUAGAUCCUACGAUAUUAAAAUUCUUUUUUAAUACUUAAUAAAAAUAACAACAAUAAUAAGUUUUUUUUAAGGGUUAACUUAAUUGUUAACUUAGACUUACAUUGAGUCAUAAAUCAUAGUUUAUAACAACAUUAAUGCAUAUAUUCAUAAAAAUCAUGAUAUUUAUAAUUUAUUUAUUAAAAUCAUGAUAUCACCUAUUCAUUUAACAAAUUAUAAACAUAAAACAAUUAGAUUUUUUUUAAAUUAAGAAUUAAAUGAAUCUAAAAAACUUAAGCUAAUAAAAUGCAUUAAAGAUUCAAUUUCAAAUUUUUUUGCAAAAUUAUAAUUAUUCGUAAAAUUAUAAAAUUUCAAGUUUACUUUCAUUAAAAAGUUUUUACCUUAAUAUACUUUGACUCGCAUGUUAUUGAUAACGCAUAAGCCAUGUGCUAAUCCUCCAGUGAAACAUUUUUAUUGCGGUCCUUUUCACGUGCUGUGUUUUAGCCUAUCUUUAAUCAUAUCAUGCUUUUAAGGUCCACUUGCCUAAAAUUCUCAACUCAGCCCAGCCCACGUGCAUGCCAUGCCUCGUCGCUUACCCUACCAAAACGUCCUUGUGCCGUGCCACGCUAAACGGAUAUGUGUCGUGCAUGUGUCGUUCCACCUGUCACCUGGCCCAUUAGUCAUCUCUAGAAAACACCAUAUAUUUAUUUAGCGUGUUGCAAGCACUGUGUCGCAAGUUGCUCAAAUUUCCCGCAAACGGAGGCUAAAUUAGCGCGCACGGGUACGCUCAGUAAAAGUCUGCCCAAUAACGGGAUGCACUCAACAGCAAGGUGCGCUGAGCGAUGGGCUGCCUCAUAUAACUAGUGAGUUAUGGUGCACUUAGUAAGUGAAUAGCCCAUAAUCAACAAGCCUAGCCCAAUUUUCAGAUUUCUCUACACCUUGUAAAUGGCUAGAUUUUUAGGCAAGUUGCAUGAACUCUCUAUGAAAUAAGGGUGAGCACCCACUAUUUGCUCACCACCACACCACACACACAACACCUAGCAACUCAAAAACUCUCGUAAAAAUCUCUCUUAUAAUUUCUCUUUUGUGAGCAAUAAAAUAUUCUUUAGCCAUAUUGCUCUCUUCUCUCUAGCAGUAUUGCAAACAUCCUUACUUGGCUAGUUUGAGAAACUCUUUAGGCUUACUUAACAACUUUUGUACUAGAAGUUAUGUAAGUACUGCACGGGGUUGUUGUGCAAAAUAGUCAUCUCGUGACAACCGGCUUAGUUUUGCUUUGCACAUUUGCGCCCACAAUAAUAAAAGCCAAAAUAAGAUAUCAAAAAAUGUUGGGAUUUGACAUCAAGUAGAAGAGGUUUUGCCCACUCCAAAAUCAUCAAAAUGAUUAAUCAUCUUCUAUAUAACCUGAUGAUUUUUUUAACCUUUGAGAAAGCAACCACAGAGGUGGAACAAACUUCUACUCCUGGGACCUGACAUACGGUUAAUGAAGAAGGGUAAUUUCGUAAAAUUCCAAUCAAAAUUAGAAAAAAGGCAAGCCAUAUUCAAAAGUCAAUCUUGAUCAAACAAACGGCAGGAGGGACAUCUGUAAUUACAGCAUUUUCGAGGAAUUGUUUCUAAAAAUAACUAAAACGGGAAAACCCGAAUGGGAAAAUUGGAAAGCGACAAACACGAAAGUUCAAAGUUUGCUUGGUUGGGCUAUGUUCUGCGAGUGGGAGAGACCGAUUGUAGAAAGGGUUUCUUUUUUUCUUUUUUUUUUCAAAUAGACAUAUAGCCACGUGUUGUCUCAUAUAAAAAAUAAUACUUUAUAUAAGUCCUAGGUCAGUUGGGCUGGAAAACAUUUAAAAUCGAACAUAUCAGGCACGUUGUAAGUUCGCAAUUGGAGAAUCAUGUUGUCAGCCCCGCAACCCCCAAAUGGGAACUUUAGAUAGAAAAAUAUAGCAUCGCAAUGAUAAUAUUUAUUAAUAAUAAAUUUACUUAUUACAAUUGUUCUUGUCAAAGACUCUUUGAUGGUAUUUCAUGUGUUGAAAAAAUAUAAAAUAGUUUCAUUAUCAAUACAAUUAAAAACAUAUUUUUUAAUAUAUACAACUAAAUUAUCACUUGAUUUGUUCUUAAAAUGUUUUAAUAAUAGCAAAAAUAUGGAUAUAAUGCAACAUGAAGAACAAAUAUGAAUACACACACAUUAGGGAAUGGCAAUGGGAAGAAUAGGAGAGGGGACCGACAUCUCCAUACCCAUUUUCGAUAUUCUGUAUAUGUCCUCAUCUCCUCCCCAUUCCAUCAGAAUUACUUGAGAAAAUUUUCAUCCUCUCCCCAAAUAAUAACAGGGGAUUCCUGAGAGUCCCCGAUCUCCAAGUAAUUAAUAUAUUUUUAAUUUUUAAUUUUAAUUAAUUAUAUUAAAAUAAUUUUUUUAAUAAAAGUAGAAUUAAGGCGGUAGCUAGCUACCAUAGAAAAUUAGAAAUUAGGUUUUACGAUUUUGCCUUAAUUUUUGUUUUAUUAGAUAAACGUUUAAAAUAUUUAAUGAAUAUUAUAAAUUAAAAAAAAAAUUGGGCCAACAAGAUCCUGUCUGGCUUUUUUUAUGUCCUGAAUAGAUAUUUAAAAUUAUAACUAGUUAAGCAGGCUCAUUAAAGCAUCUGACAAAUUGUUACAUACAACCAGGAUAAUUAGAGUGCUAAUCAAAUAACCCAAAUUAUAGAUUCCCUAAUCAAACAAACAUAACAAAAAAAUUUUGAAAUGCAAUUUUUUUUUUCAGAAAUGCGAAUUGGCACCAAAUAAAAUUGAGCAAAAGCUAAUGCUGUCCUACAAGUUGACAUGGUCCUCCUUUAGCAAGGUUCAAAUAGGGAAGACCAUAGUAAAAAUAAGAGGAAAUAAUUUAACUUUAUCUAUAAAUCCUACAAUUUAGAUGCUAGUAAAAUAACUCCAAUCUGAAGCAUCAAAUGUACAAGAUUCGCCUCAUCAAAAAAAAAAAAAAAAAUGUAUAAGAUUCGUAAGUAAAAACAGGUUACACGAUUAGUUAUUACCUCGAUUACGUUGUAUAUAUUGCAUGGUAUACCUAAUCAGACAAAUAACGUGGACAUGAAGUGAAUAACUUAAUUUGAAUCUUGCUAUUUUAUUUUAUAAUUUUAAACUAAUUAAUUCAUGCACCCACAUUAUGCUUGCAUUAAGUGGAUACAAUACAACAGAAGUAUUCUACAAUCUCUUAUACGAAGAUUCUUAAUUCAUACUCUUAUUGGGGACUCUUUUUAAAAUUGACCUUUUCAUAAUAUUAUUUGUGAAGUAUAUUUUCAAACUAAUUACAGAAUAAUUUUAAAUUAUUGUAUAAACCGAUGAUUGAUAACACCGGGUAGACUAAUGAGACAAAGUCAAAACCAUUAGCCGGUCCAACAGCUCCACUCAUGUUAGCUUCCGUAAAGCACAACUCUAUCGACUCUCGUGACGUCUAGCAUCUUCGUUUAUAAAUACCCCACCUUCAGCCUCUCGACUCUCUCAAGACACUCCGACAGCAAGACUUCAGUUGGGGUGGGAACCGUUGGUGCUGGAAGAGGUGGUAGUCAUGGAAGCAAACAAUAUGGAGAUAUCGGCGGAGGCUGGUGGCCAGCCCCGCCGGAAGCUAUGAAUAUCCUCAACUGGAAUGUUCGGGGUCUGGGGAAUCCCUGAACAUUUCAAGCCUUAAGAAAAAUCCUCCAAUUGCAUGGUGCUCAGCUGGUGUUUUUGUGUGAAACAAAGGUAUCAACCAUGCAAAUGAAUGUGAUUGCAAAUAAGCUGAGUUUUGAGAAUUGCCUUGCGGUGAACUGUAAUGGAAGAGGAGGCGGAAUAGCAAUGCUCUGGAAGUCAGAUAUUGGGGUGCAAAUCAAUUCAUAUAGUUAGCACCACAUUGAUGCCGAAACUCAAAUGCCAAAUGGAAAUCGAAUGCGAGUUACAGGAGUGUACGGACAUCCGGAAACAGGUUAGAAAAAACACACUUGGAUGCUCCUUAGGCGGCUAGCGGUUUUAUCUUCUAGCCCUUGGUUGUGUUGUGGAGACUUUAAUGAAAUUUUACAUCCGGAAGAGAAGAGUGGCGGCAAUGACAGGAACGUGAAUUUAAUUAAUGAUUUCAGAGAAGUUUUGAGAGAUUGUGGGUUAAAGGAUGUCGGGUAUCGGGGGUAUGCUUUUACUUGGAAUAAUGGAAGAUAUGGGAAGGGAUUCGUUGAAGAAAGGUUAGACAGAUUUGUUUGCACAAAAGCUUGGAGUGACAGAUUUGUGGACUGUGAAGCAAGCAACCUGGACUUCGGAUCAUUGUCCCGUGUUGAUGGCUGUUCAAGUGAGAAGGGAGAGCAUGAACCAAAGGGGUAGACAUUCCUCGCGAAUCCAUUAUGAGGAUAUGUGGAGCUCGUAUGAUGUAUGCAAAGAAAUAAUUAAGGAGGAAUGGAGUUGGUUUAGAAACUGGAGCAGUGAAGAUCCAGCCCAAUCCUUUCGACAAGCAACAAAAGUUUCGAUGGGUAGGCUGUUGGGGUGGAGCAAGCUGGAGUUUAAAAAAGCGUGACAGAAAAUUAGAGAAGCUAAAGAAUCAGCUGCAGUAGUUAAAACAAAGAAGGGUGCAAUAUGAAAGUGGUGAGGAAAUUCGGAAGGUGGAGAAGCAAAUCCAAAAUAUUCUCAUGGAUGAAGAAAUCUACUGGAAGCAACGCUUAAGAGCAGAUUGGCUCAAGGAGGGGGACAAAAACACAAAAUUCUUCCACGGCAAAGCGACGGCAAGAAGAAAAAAAAAACAGAAUUUGGGGGAUUGAAGAUAAUUUCAGGAGAUGGAUUGAGAAGCCAAAAGAAGUAGAGCAUGAGUUUUGCAACUAUUUCACCAAUCUUUUUACAUCAACCCAGCCAAGCCAAGAUCAAAUUGCAGCAGCCUUGGAAGGAAUAACUCCGAGAGUUUCAGCUAGCAUGAAUGAGAGUUUGGGGGAGUCGUUUACAGCCGAGGAAGUCUUGGAAGCUUUGAGUCAAAUGUGCCCAACGAAGGCUCCGGGGCCGGAUGGUUUGCCAGCAGUGUUUUACCAAAAGCAUUGGCAUACGGUUAAGGAGGGAGUGCUCACCACUUUUCUGCAUAUCCUCAAUUCACAAGGUACCAUAGGCCCUCUAAACCACACUUACAUUGCUUUGAUACCAAAAAUCGGAAAGCCUAGGAAAGUGACAGACUUUAGGCCUAUUAGUUUGUGCAAUGUUAUCUAUAGAAUUGUAGCUAAAACAGUUGCUAAUAGAUUUAAGCAAAUUUUGCACAAAAUCAUCUCUUCGUCGCAAAGUGCCUUCAUCCCCAAUAGGUUGAUCACUGACAACAUCAUAGUUGGCUACGAAUGUUUGCACAAGAUAAGGCAUUGUAAAGGCAAGCGAAAUGGAUUAAUUGCAUUAAAGCUUGAUGUUAGUAAAUCUUAUGACAGAUUGGAAUGGAAUUUUUUAGAGCAAACUUUGAAAAAACUAGGCUUCUCGCAUCAAUGGAUUAGCUUGAUCAUGAGGUGCAUUAGUUCGGUUUCAUUUUCUGUGUUAAUAAAUGGCUCAGUGAAAGGCUUAAUUAAACCCAAAAGGGGCUUAAGACAAGGUUGCCCCCUCUCUCUGUAUUUGUUUAUUACAUGUGCAGAGGCUUUUUCCUCAUUGCUGCAGCAGGCUGAGCAACAACGACUUAUUCAUGGGCUAUCAUUUGGAAACGAUUUGAAGAUUUCGCACCUUUUAUUUGCUGAUGACAGCCUUGUCUUCAGCAGAGCUUCCAUGGCCGACUGUCAAAAUUUGAAGAUGAUCCUUGAGCGCUACUCCACAGCUUCCGGUCAAAUUUUUAAUUUCGAGAAAUCUUCUCUUUUUCUCAGUGGCAACGUACAUCAAGAUCAAGCUGAGGCAAUUGGGAAUCUCUUUCAGCUCAAUAUUGUGUCGAGACAUGAAAAAUACUUAGGCUUGCCAUCUAUGAUCGGGAGAAAGAGGAGCAGUUUUUUCAGUGACAUCAAGCUGAAGGUUUUCAAUAAGAUCUCAAGCUGGCAGCAUAAAUUUUUUUCUUGCGGAGGGAAAGAAGUCUUAAUCAAAGCGGCUGUUCAAGCCAUCCCAGCCUACGCAAUGAGCGUUUUUAAAAUUCCGAUGGGUGUUUGUGAUGAUAUUAAAAAAAUGGUGGCAAAGUUUUGGUGGGGCUCCAAGAGGGAAGGGAGGAAUAUUCACUGGGCGAAGUGGGAAAAGAUGAGUCAAGCUAAGUGUAAUGGAGGGAUGGGAUUUCGUGAUUUUUCAAGUUUUAACCGAGCCCUUCUAGCAAAGCAAGGCUGGAGGAUUCAGCACUGUCCAGACUCGCUGGUGGCAAGGGUCCUGCAAGCCAAGUAUUUCCAGUCAAAAAAUUUCUUGGAUGCAAAGCUCGGCUCAAACCCUUCAUAUAUUUGGAGAAGCAUUCUGUGGGGAAGGAAAGUAAUUUGCUCGGGCUCUAGGUGGAGAGUUAGCAAUGGUCAGAAAAUUCAUAUUCAUAAGGCUAAUUGGAUCCCACGGCCUUCCACAUUCCAACCAGUGGUUAAGCCAACUUUGCCUUCUGAUGCUAUGGUCUCUGAAUUAAUCAAUGAGGCAAACUGCUGGGAUAAGAAGAGGAUUUAUGAGCAUUUCGACAAAAUGGAUGCUGAUUUAAUUACUAAGAUUCCUCUGCCUCGAAGACCAAGGGAGGAUGAGCUGAUUUGGCAUUAUGAAAAAAAUGGCCAGUUCUCGGUUAAAAGUGGGUACCAAACAGCUCUCCAAAUAAAGUUUCCAGCCAUGCCUUCAAGCUUAGUGGUUUCCAAAAAUGAGUGGAAUAUUAUUUGGUCCCUUGCUUUGCCUCAAAAGAUCAAAAUUUUUGCCUGGAGAGCAGACAAAAACCAACUCCCCUCAGCUGAGAAUCUGUGGAAGAAAAAGAUAAUCCAGGAACCCACUUGCCAAGUGUGUGAAAUGGGAACGAAAAAUGCUUUUCAUGCUCUUGUGGCCUGCAAAUCGGCUGAGAAGGUAUGGAAGCUAAUCCAUUUUGAAGAUGAUAUUCAUGCAGCUCACAAUCAAGAUAUUUUAAGUUUGCUGCAUGCUAUGAAAAGAAUGAGAAGCAGAGCUGACCUGGAGCUGUUGGCAACAAUUUUUUGGGUAAAAUGGAAUGCUAGGAAUCAGUUGCUUUUCAAAGGAAAAAGGGAGAACCCCCAGAUUAUGGUAGCUAAAGUUGAAGCUAUGAUUGCAGCUUAUAAGAGGGUGCAUUCUCCAGCUGAGGCUUGCAGUGAAACAGAGCAGAGUGUACCUUCCCAGACAUGGAAUCCCUCUCAAGAUGGCUUCAUAAAAGUAAACAUUGAUGCAGCUAUCAGCUUCGAAAAGAACAUUGUAGGGCUGGGGGCAGUGAUCAGAGAUGAUUCGGGGCAUGUUACAGCAGUUGCUAUCAAGGUUUCUAAGUUUCAUGGAGAUGUUUCUUAUGCGGAAGCAGAAGCUAUGGAAUGGGGUAUGUUAGUGGCGAGAGAAGCAAAAGUGAAAGCUGUAAUUGUGGAAUCAGAUUCUCAAAGUGUGGUCAGUUUAGUUAACAACAAGCAGGGCAGCAGAUCCGAGAUCUAUUGGGUUGUUUCAGAAAUUCAGAAGGUAGCGGAAAACUUCGAACGUGUUAGUAUUAAGUAUACGCCUAGAUCUUGUAAUGUUAUUGCCCACUCUUUAGCUAAGUUAGCUUUAGAGAAGUGCGAGACUGUUGUGUGGAAGGGUUCAUACCCUUUACAAGUGAUGUAUCUCCUUUCAUCGUUGAUUUAAUUGAAAUCUCUUUUCAAAAAAAAAAAAAAAAAAAAGACACUCCAAAAAAAACUCCAAAGUCCAACAACAACAUUUUACAAUCUCUCUCAAUUUUUCUCGCUUCAGUUUACCAUCCUCGAACACGAACACGAACACGAACAUGAAUUAAGUUAAUUAGUUUAUGGAACACAAACUCAUCAUCAACAUCAUGUCCUAAUUGAAAAAGAAGGAUUGCGAGGGAAACUAAGCAUGUGCCUUCAUUUUCACUUGAAAUAAAGCGCGAUGGAAAGAUCUUAUGUUAUCACAUGAUGCCGUGUGAUCACCUAGAAGCCCUUCCACGCACAUUUCUUCUCAAAUUGUCUUCUUCUAAUUUCUUGGGUCACCGCGAAACCACAAUGUCAAUGCGAGGAUGAGCGAGUGUUGUUCAGCUUGUAGUUUUUGGAGCCGGUCCUGGGCUUUCUUUAUUUUUUUCAUCUUCUGCUGGUAGGCAUCGCCAAAAGGCAAAGAGAAUCCUCUGGUGUUCGUGGAGUUGGUCCUCGAUGCGAUUGAUUUCUUCUCCAAGUUGAGCAAGCCUUUGUGCCAUAGCCAUCAUUAUUUGCUUUCGAUCGAGCACUUUUCAUCUGCAACCAAAUGUUUCAUCAAUAUUUUGAAGUAUACACACUUGUUUCAACAGCUAUCCGGAUCACGUUAAAAGACAAUUUUGCCCUCACUUAAAGUGUAAAAUCACUAAAAAAGCCACAACAGUAGUUUCAAAUUCCAAUUGACUUGGGUGGAUAUUAAAAUUUCUUAAAGGUUAAAAAAAAAGUAAAAAUGUUUUGUUAUGGGAAUUGAAAUAUCCCCUAUAUCUUCAUCCAUAAUCGUCUAUCCAUGAUAACAAUUUAAUAAACUUGAAAAAGCAAGAUAUCCAAUCCCAGUGAAUCAAACAGCCAAUUUUCUUCAUAAAGUUUAGCUUUUGCUUUUAAAAAUUUUAACUCUUGAGACCUUAAAUAAACUCAUAUUCAAAUUUACAUUUUCUAUAAUGAAAAUCUUCAAUUUACCCUUUUAAUAUUUUGAAAAACGGGUCCAGCUACAAUACAAUUGUAGUUUCAUACCUAUUUUUUUGUCUUUUUGUGAUCCAACCAUUGGAUCCAACCUAAGAGUUGCAAAGUCUAUUCCAACAACUUGGAUGUUAUUAUUUGGUUAUCAACAAUAUGGUCCCUUAUGUUUACUAAAAGAAUAAGAAAAAAUUAAAUUUCAAAAUUUUGACACAUUGGUCCGUUAAAAUAUUUUAUUAUCAAAGGUAAUUUAGUAAAUGAACAUAUUUAUAUAUUAAAAACAUGGAUGAAUUAUUUUAACUUGCUAAAAUACUCUCAAAUUCCAUUUACUUAAAAUACGAAUUAGAUUUAAUAAUACUAUUUUGUAUUUAGUGUAACACAAAAUUAGACAAGUUUUUAUAUAAAUUUUGACAAUAUUAAAAUGAAAAAUAAAUAAAUAUUAAACAAAUGCUUGGAUAGUCAUUUAAAUUCAUUAUAGAGCUUAUAAAUAAUAUUUUCAAAAUAAUAAAUUUCUAUAUGUAAAUUUGAAAUUAUGUAAAAUUACUUAGACUUUAUCACACAUAUGAAGCUGAUCAAUUAUUUAUUUGAUCUGAAAAUAAAUUAAUUGUAUAAUAUUUAUUCUAUUACUUAAAUUUAAAAUUUGUUGAGAAGGAGAUAGAGAGAAUAUUUUUUUUAGAAUUUUAAAUUAUUAUAUUUUAAUUGGGUUUAUUACAUAAAAUUAAGUUUUUAUUAUUUGCAUAAAACAAUAGGAAUUGUUGAAGAAAAUGCCAAAUAAAUUUUUUAGAAUUUUGAAAUUAUUAUAUUUUAAUUGGGGCUUAUUGUAUAAAAUUUUUAAAACUUAUAAUUUUUAUUAUUUACAGAAAACUACAGGGACUGCUAAAGAAAAUAUCAAAAUAGUGUUUGGUACAACGGGGUAAGAUAGUUUUGCUCUUGAAAAACAUUAAUUUACUUCUAUUUAUCAGUCAAAAGACUAAAAUAAAUGGAGAUAUGAUGAUGAUAAACUUUUUAACUUUUUAGUGGUAUUUGAUAAAUAUAAAUAAAUUGAAAAUUCUCGCUUUUACUUUUUAUUGGGCAUAAGUUAAAAAUCUUACUCUCUAUUUAUUAUGCUUUAACAAGAGAAAGAAAGAAAACGGAAAACAAAUCUCUUCUAUAGCAGUCUUAAAAAAAUUUUCAGCUGAGACUUAACCCAUAAAUUUUUAAAAACUUUUUGGUGGAUUCAUAUACAUUGAACUAGUCUUCUUUCUAUAUUACAUGGAUUAAAUUUUGAAAUUAGGGCAACCUAUUGUUAAAUCUGCCUUUCAAAUUAUUGACUUAAUAUUGCCCAAAAAAAAAAAAAAAAAUUUUCCUAUUACAGAAUUUUUCAUUGUUGCAGGAAACUGGAGUCGCAGCUGACAGUGCUCAAGGGCAAUCCUUAAAUUAAAUUUCAUUGCAAUCUUUGAAAUUUAAAUUAUUUGAGAAAAAAAAAAUCUUUGCAUAAUAUUGAACAACGCAUUUUCUUGUAUAAUAUCAAUGAAACAAUGCAUGUGAGGGGAAUAAAAAGAAUAAGACAGUAAUUAGCACUAUUUCAAGCAAAGAAAUCUGGGCACUAAUAUAUUUUCUCUGUUACUUUGCAAAAUUACUGCAUGUACAUGAGAUGAUUGCUUGCUACUGUAGUAUUGUGUAAGGUGAAACAUUUGAAGAAGAAUCCUUCUAAACUGGUAGUGUUGGUCGUUGUUGUCCUGCCGAGGAAGUGUCAUUAGAUUGAAACCUACUGCAAAUAUUGAUACAAAAUGGCUUCAAGGUUUCGUUGUAGAGCUGACGACAAGCUUCUGUAAGCAGCGCCCCAUAUUGAUGCACAACAAUGAUAAUGGACGAGCAAAGCCAUGCAGUGUACAAUAUGAUAUGACCAAUAUCAGAGCGUGGAACAAAUGUGGAGGCUAGCGAGACUGCAGAAACAGAUCCGGAGACUCGUGCUACAAGGGCCCAAGAUUGGGAAGAAUUCUCUUGAUGAGCUAAAUGUGCAUAACAAUAAAUGGCUGUGGUUAUGAGAAAAGACCAUAUAUUUGUUGUGUGUGUUUCAAGCAAGCGCUCAGUUGUGCCUUGCGUAUUUGCUCCCACGAUGCCGAUGAGAGCUGGAAUGAGAUAUCCAAACACGUUAUGGUAUGCGUUUGACAUCGCAGAUAAAUAAAAUUUGUUCCUGCAGAACCAUUAAAAUACUAUAUUAAGGAAAGUAUUAGAUCCAUUCCUUUAGAAAAACAGGAAUUUAAGAGAUCAUUAUGUAUUUAGUCUCAUUUAAUAUUAGUUUAAUUUUUUCAAGUCAUAGUUAUUGUGAAAAAAAAAUUAUUAAAUACUUUUAUUGAUUGGUAAGGAUUUAAAAAGGAAAUUUGGGAUUUUUUUUUUGUUUUCUUGUGAACAUUGACGGUAUAUAUGUAGGGUAAAGUUUUAUUUUUAAAUACACGUUGUGGCUCAGGUCAGAGAGAGAAGGGAGACGGUCAAGAUUGCUGGGUUGACUUUCUUUUCCCGUCAGCCAUUUUGUAAUAGAUUGAUCAGAGCAAUCAUUACCUGCAAAACUUAACACAGCACCAAAUUAACAACCAACAUUUCAAUUGAAACAAAUCUACUUGAAAAUAAAAGAAAAAGCAACUCCAAAUCAAAAUCGAAAUGAAACCUUAUCAGAGAGACAGCCGCAAGUAUGAAGAGACAAGCACGAUCCUGAAGGACUAUUACUCCAAAUCAAAAUCGAAUUAUAAGAGAGAAAGCCGCAAGUACGAAGAGAGAAGCGCGAUCCUAAAAGAUCUGAAGUCGUGUUGUAUAUAUGUCUUGUAUAGAUUGACAGAGCAAUCAAAGGCCGUGUCGACCAGAGCAAUCGAAGAGUAGAAGAGAUAAGAGAGGAAAAAAGAAGAAGAGGAGAACUGCAGCAGCAAAUGAGCAAGGGCAGUAUUUAUAGGACAAACUGAGGCCUAUAAAGGGUCCACUAGUGGACCAGAGCAAUCAAAUGUGGAUUUGAGACUAAAUAUCGACGAAGCUUUUGUGUAUAUAUUGUUUUCGUGAACUUCUCAUCUUUUAUUUAAUUGAAUUGAUAAAGGUAAUGCGAUGGAGUUGGAGUUUUACAAAGUAACUCCAAAUUUUACAAAGUAACAUCGAUAAAGUAGUAACAUCGAUAAAGUAACAUCGAUAAAGUAAUAUUGUAAGUAAGGAAAAAAGCCAAUAUUUUCCAUGUUAGGAACAUCGAUAAAGUAGUAUCAUGAUCUUCAAAUUCAAUAAUUCGGUACUGGAUUUUUUAAUAGCUGAUGGUGGUGGAAUUUCUGCAUGAAAAAGGUAGGAUAUAAACCAGAAAAAUCAAUAAAGCAUGUCAUGCAUGUUACAUUGCUACUCCAAGCGAGUAAAUUUUUCUACAUCGGAUAUGACUUGUUACGAUCAAGUUAAUAAAAGUUCAAAUCAAGAAAGAAAUCUCGACGUAGACUAUGUCGUGGACAGCGGGACACGUAUGAUGAAUCAGAUGCUGGUUACUCUUCAUAUAGUUCCUGUACAACAUAAUGAUUACUUACAAUAUUACUUUAUCGAUGUUACUUUAUCGAUGUUACUACUUUAUCGAUGUUACUUACUUUAUCGAUGUUACUACUUUAUCGAUGUUACUUUUCAAGUAGAUUUGUUUCAAUUGAAAUGUUGGUUGUUAAUUUGGUGUUGUGUUAAGUUUUGCAGGUAAUGAUUGCUCUGAUCAAUCUAUUACAAAAUGGCUGACGGGAAAAGAAAGUCAACCCAGCAAUCUUGACCGUCUCCCUUCUCUCUCUGAACUGAGCCACAACGUGUAUUUAAAAAUAAAACUUUACCCUACAUAUAUACCGUCAAUGUUCACAAGAAAACAAAAAAAAAAUCCCAAAUUUCCUUUUUAAAUUCUUACCAAUCAAUAAAAGUAUUUGAUAAUUAUUUUUUUUCACAAUAACUAUGACUCGAAAAAAUUAAACUAAUAUUAAAUGAGACUAAAUACAUAAUGAUCUCUUAAAUUCCUGUUUUUCUAAAGGAAUGGAUCUAAUACUUUCCGUAAUAUAGUAUUUUAAUGGUUCUGCAAGAACAAAUUUUAUUUAUCUGCGAUGUCAAACGCAUACCAUAACGUGUUUGGAUAUCUCAUUCCAGCUCUCAUCGGCAUUGUGGGAGCAAAUAUGCAAGGCACAAAUGAGCGCUUGCUUGAAACACACACAACAAAUAUAUGGUCUUUUCUCAUAACCACAGCCAUUUAUUGUUAUGCACAUUUAGCUCAUCAAGAGAAUUCUUCCCAAUCUUGGGCCCUUGUAGCACGAGUCUCCGGAUCUGUUUCUGCAGUCUCCUUGAUCUCCACAUUUGUUCCACGCUCUGAUAUUGGUCAUAUCAUAUUGUACACUGCAUGGCUUUGCUCGUCCAUUAUCAUUGUUGUGCAUCAAUAUGGGGCGCGGUUUACAGAAGCUUGUCGUCAGCUCUACAAUGAAACCUUGAAGCCAUUUUGCAGUCAGCUCUAUAACGAAACCUUGAAGCCAUUUUGUAUCAAUAUUUGCAGUAGGUUUCAAUCUAAUGACACUUCCUCGGCAGGACAACAACGACCAACACUACCAGUUUAGAAGGAUUCUUCUUCAAAUGUUUCACCUUACACAGUACUACAGUAGCAAGCAAUCAUCUCAUGUACACGCAGUAAUUUUGAAAAGUAACAGAGAAAUCAUAUUAGUGUCCAGAUUUCUUUGCUUGAAAUAGUGCUAAUUACUGUCUUAUUCUUUUUAUUCCCCUCACAUGCAUUGUUUCAUUGAUAUUAUACAAGAAAAUGCGUUGUUCAAUAUUAUGCAAAGAUUUUUUUUUUCUCAAAUAAUUUAAAUUUCAAAGAUUGCAAUGAAAUUUAAUUUAAGGAUUGCCCUUGAGCACUGUCAGCUGCGACUCCAGCUUCCUGCAACAAUGAAAAAUUCUGUAAUAGGUAAAAAGUCUCUUUUUUGGCAAUAUUAAGUCAAUAAUUUGAAAGGCAGAUGUAACAACAGGUUGGCCUAAUUUCAAAAUUUAAUCCAUGUAAUAUAGAAAGAAGACUAGUUCAAUGUAUAUGAAUCCACCAAAAAGUUAUUAAAAAUUUAGGAUUUAACACUUGGAAAUGGCAAUUAGGUACUACCUCAAGAGAUUUUACAGCUUGAACCAACCAAGGGGGUAUGUUUGCAAUUGCUGUGACUAAGUAUAAAUAGAUGGUUGGUCAGUGGUAAGAACCAGCCUUCUAGCAUCUUUAGGCACAAAGAACUCAAGAAAAAACCCCACAUGAGACACAAGACCCAAUGCUCAGCAUGCAGCAAGCUUAUCUAGAUUCAGGUGCUUUAAGAAUCAAAUUCACAUUACAUGAAAAGUUCACUAUUCAGAAUGGCACUCUGUAUGACAGCAAAGAGAUAAGUGGAAGAAAAAAAAUCUGAAAAUCAACAUACCUUUUUCUUUGUGAUUAGGUAGUCGAACCCCACUAACUCGCUUAUUUCAAGCAGCCAGGUCAGCUCAACACGGUCGUCUUGUAUCCUUCAAGAUGCACAACCCUUGUGAAAUUUCCAUCCUGGUUCCUACUAAUUUGCUCCACAAUUGCAUUCCCAAUCUAUUUAUGUGAAUCGUAUUUCCAGAGAUCAACUCGGCAUUGGCAAGGUCCAUCCAUAUUGUUUUUGCAUAUGUUGUAGCUUUCACUCCUACACCUUUACGCGUCUUAUGCCUCAGUUUGAUGCGAACUCAUGGUUUGUCAAGGCCAUUGGUAAGAGUCAGUCAGUCAGCAAUAGUAAUAUCUGCCUUUCUUCAAUCACAGCAGCGAGUAUAGGGCACGCAGGAUUAAUAAUCUUCUUAUUAAUAUAGUAGUUCAAAGUUUGUCACAUUCCAAAUGGUUGAGACUGUUUGAAGCCACCAGAAAAAGUAAAUAUACAAAAGUCAGUCUUCCACUUAACUGAUAGCAAAUACUAUAUGAAAUAUGAAAAAUUACUUCAGCUACAUUGUCUUACCAGUUCAAGGAUAAACUGCAACAGAGAUUCAAUUUUCAGUCUCCUACGAAUAAUUCUUUGGAGGGCCAAAAAAAGAGGAUUAUCUAAUCCAUUAUGUACAAACCACAAAAGCUUGCUGAGAGGCAUAUUACACCAUUUUCAACCAGUUAAACUCAUAAAUUUGAACCUUUAUACUCUCAUAUCCUCUUGAACCAUAUGGUAUUGGGCAUUACGAGCAUUGUACUCACCAGAUCUCAAACUAAAAGACAUGAAAGUUAAUCCAUAAGGUAGGUAUAUCUUGUAAUUUGACCUGAUUUGAUCGUGGGAUCUGGGCUGCAACAACUGGACGGGAUCUCAAAGGGACUUGCUGGAAUCUUGCAUGUUCAACUUCCUGCUACGACACCACUAUUAACAUCCCAAUUUUCUUAUGAAAACACACGGAGAUAAUAGAAUGAUAUCUCAAUGCUUCAAGCCAUUCACAAACAUUUUCCAUGUAAUUGGUUGCAAUAUCAGACGAGCUUAAUCCUGCCACCAAUAAUCUGCUUCACCUUGAAGCACGAAUAAGGCAAACACGCUAUCCUCCACUCGUCAUUCGG